CCUUGGGAUCAUUGUUCAAAUCUUUAACAGCCCUGUCUCUUGAACUCAAAGUCAGUGUCCCGUCAAGCCUCCUAUACUGGAUGCAAUACUGAUUCAGUGAAAUUUCAACCAAAUCCAACAUGCUAGUCCACUGGGAGAAAACAAUUGCUUUUAUUGGUCCUUCAGUUGACGAGUUUGAAUAUGCCAUCGACGUAGCACUGGAUCCUGUGGAACCAUUAAAUCCUAAAAUUGGACUCUCAACCUUACAAGGGGGUUGAACCUCAAGAACAUCUUUGAUUUUUGAGGAACUAUACUCAUGCUGAUUGAUGUAUCAUCAAAUGUGGAAUUUGAGGAACUAGCAUCAAGGUUGUCAGAGAUUCUUCUUCUAAGAGUAGCUUCAGAGAAAACAACAUCGGAACCAAGUUGUUCUUUGCAGUCAGAAGCAGGGCAAGUAUUAUCAUCUCCUGUCAAGUAUUCUGACACACACUGAUAGCAGAAAACAUUGGCUUCUGAGUUCUGCGUUUGGGGAAAGCAAUGAGGAGAAGGAUUGGGGGGUUGAGGGUAUUUUCGCUAUUUCAGUGAUUCAAGUUCAAGCCUUUUCUUCUCUUUAAUUAACUAAAAGAUAGCUUAUAAAUUGAAUUUAGCAUUCCAAUGAUAAAUGUAAAUGAAAGACUUAAAUAGUUAAUAUGACAUUUUAAAUAUUGUAAAUAUAGUUUUUUUUUGUAUGUGCACUCUAAUAAUAUGUUAUUUUAAUCAUUUAUUUAUAUUUUAAUAUAUUUAAUAUACAAAUACUUCACUUGUAACUUUGUUUCCUUGCAUGAGCUUCUAUUUUUAAGGGCAAAAAAGGGGCAAGUAUAAAAUAAAUAAUCGAUGCUCAACAACUAUUUGUAUAAUCUUCAUCUUUUAGAUUUUAUGAUAAAAUACGUAGAAUUAAUAUUUUAUUGGGAUAAAAGAUAUUUUGAUUUUUACCUAUUAAUUUAGCAAUAACUUUGUUUCCUUUUUUUAACUUCUUUUUAUUGCUCUUGUGAUGGAGGUGGAAUUAAUGAAGUAGUUUAACAAAUAAUAGAAGUAUUUUGGAUAUGCUAGGGGUUUUGUGAUAUUUCAUAGAUGUGGAGGGUAUUUAUGCAAAAUUAUUCAAAUAAAUUAAAUAUAUGUGUGAGAUUUGGUUUCAAUAAACAACUUGAUUUAUAUUCCGAGUAUUUACGAGAUUAUGUAUCUUUAUUUAUAUACAUUACUCAAUUUUCUAAUUUAAACUUUAGUUAAUGCUACCAUUUUUUUUAUUUGUUAAUGCAUAUAAUUAAUUGUAGAUUUAUUUAAGUAAAUGCAUCCAUCAUCUUUUCAUUUCCAACUAUUUUUGUUCAUCAUAUAAAAAAUAUAUUAAAAACACCAGCAUAUAUGUUCAUUUAUUUAUGUUUGAAAGAUUUUUGAAUGGCACGGUCCAACAAGGUAGCAUAAUAUGUAGAGAAUGCUGGUAUUUAUCUUUAUAAUUUUUAGAGUGAAAGAAAUGUUGAUAAUUCCUUAAAAUAACUUGAGAAUUUUGGAUUGAAUUGGUUUGAUGAGGAAUAACUCGUGGAUCCAACAUUAUACAAAACUUUAAUAUUAUAAAACUAGCUCAAAGUAUAUCAACGAGGAGAAAAAAUCUUUUGUCCUAAGUUCUUAAGCGAAUAAAAAUCCCGAUAUAUAAAGACUCCAUCCCUUUCUAUUAUAAUAAAGCAAAAAUCUCACACAUAUAUUUAAUUUAUUAUUUGCAUGUGAAUUAUUUCAUUAAAGCAAGCUUACUUUUUUCCGUGCAUGAACUAAUUUAUGAUUAUUUUAUAAUGUUAAAACUUUAAUGUUUUCUUCAAUUAUUUUAAUAACUUUUAUUUAAUAUUAUUUUAUCUUAUUAAAUCUAUUAAUUAAUCAUUAUAAAUUCAUGAGGUGUUCAUGUAAAUACUAUCUUUGACGUGCUGGUUAUGUGGGGUUUAAUGGGUGGGGUUAUGUGGCCAUAUUUCCAUUGACGUGCUGGUUAUGCAAAAAUGCUCCUAACCAUUGGGAACAAAAACAAUAUGUUGCAAAUUUCACGUGGCUGGUGGGAUCCACUGUGCUGAUUUGUUACUUGGCUAGUCGCUGACAUAGCAUGCCACCUAUACACAUUGACAUCAUGAUUGCGUCAAUGAUGUCAUCCUUAUCCGGGUUAGUAACGUGUGUCGGGUCGUUUGGUAUUUAGGUCGGGUUAGCAUAUCCAAACAAAGAAGACUCUUUGCCGGCACGUGUUUGCGCGUGCAACUAUGUCUCACGUUAGAAUUUUACGCCGUUUUCAUCAGCUUGCUCCUCUUGAUCUCCUCUACACGAUGGUAUGUUCAAAACACCGUUUUGAGAACUUUUAUUUUUGAGAAAAAAUCAAACACCACUCUAAACCAAAGCUCUAAUACCAAUUGUUGGGUUUUCGAUCGGUGGUGUUCAUGAUCAUUGCUCAUUGGAGGCUGAGCACGCUGAUACAAUAUUUAACAUGAUUCGGCAAAUCACCUACGUCCAUGGAAGAAGUCCAUAUUAUUAGAAAUAGAUAAAGAAAGGUUACAACAUACAUGGAGGGGACGAUCACUUCACUCAACUCAACUCUCAUUCAAGGGCGGAGCCAGGAAUUUUUCAUGUCCUGUGCUAUUAAAUAAAUAUAUAAUUUUUUUUUAAAAAAUCAAUUAUUAACUUAUGUACAUGAAUUUUUGAAGUUAACAGUAAAAUUUUAAUUCAAAUACAUUAUCCAAAAUAUUAAAAAAUAAAUUUGAAAGUACAUAAAAUUGAAGUGAAAGUAAAAAUAAACUCACUAUUAAAGUUAUAUCCUUCGAUGUUUUGUGGAAUAUAAUUCAUUUAUAAUCAAAGCUGAAUCGAUAUUAUAACAACUACUCAACCGAGAUAAAAUAACAAUCUCAUGUCAAGUAGAAAACAAAGUAAUUAAAUUUUUUUUCUCUCUCAAUUCCUCCUUCCUUCAUUUGAUUCUUUCUUAGAUUAGUAUUUUAUAAGUUAGGCUUUGUAAAUUUACAAGGUAAUUCUCUCACUUUUUUUAUUUUUUUUCCUUGGAUUUUUUUAUGUUUUCCUCUUACUUUUCUCUCUUUCUCUCUCGCCUUUUCUUUUCUUUCUUUGCCUAUUAUGCUUCUGCCAAGUCAGCAACAUAUAAAAGGAAGGAAGAGCUGAUUUGUUUUAUUUUUUAAUGACAAAUAAUCAUUUUACUCUUAAUGAGUCGUUUUGUUUUUAUUUGACGGUCUUUUUUUUGUUAAUACUACCAAGCUUCGUUCAUCCUAAAAUUUUAACCAGAUUUUAUUCAAUAUAUUUUAAGAUCCCUCGUAAAAUUUCGGCUUAAUCUGAUGGUCGGAUUGAAAAUUAUGUCUAAUAACGUAAAACUGCUUAAAUUGUGUUUUUUCAUAAAAUUUCUGAAAUUUUAACCCAAGCUAAAAUAUCAUAUUAGAAGGCUCCACAUAAAUUUUCAGAAUUUUUUGAUAACUCAUUUGAGAAUUACGAAUUUUUUUAUAUAAAACUAGUCAAAAAGUAUUGAUAAAAUCUUGAUCUAGGCGGCUGGUGCUGAUCGUAAUAACUCAUCUCCCCUUUGAUCAAAAGCUUUCUUUUUUCUUCUUGGGUUCUUCUCUUUUUCUUUGACAAAGAAGUCGGUUUGGUGCAAGGGAAGGAAGGGUACUAUAAAACAAAGGUCUGUAAAGGAGGUUUUGACAGUGGGAAGCUUAGAGGGAGUUUCUUUCUUUCUGGAGAGGCAAAUGCGGUUGCUUUGCUUUAUAGAAAGAAGAGAAGGGAAGGGAAGAAAAGAGAAAACAGAAAAGAUGUCAUCCACUAAGGGAAGCAAUGAAGGAUCUUUGCUUUUCCACACAGUAGUGUAUGUAUGUGUAUGUAUUGGCAGGUACAGGGCAAGGCAAUAUGAGAACAGGUUAUCUACUGCGACUUUCUCUGUAUCUUUCAAGCUUUCCACGCAGUCACAGCUUGACGAUGUCUUUCCUCCUCUAUUACUGCGUCAGGAUGUCUUUUUGGAAAUUUAUUGGUAUUUAAUUUUAAGAUAAUUAAAAUAAGCAUUUGUCAAAAAAUUGAUAAAUUAAUUUUACAUAAAAAAGUCAAAAUUCUCUUUUAUUAUUUAUUAUUUAUUUUGACAAAAAUAUAUAUAUAUAUUUUUUUUAAUUACAACAUAGUUGUUUUAAUAAAUAAAAAACUUGAAGUAUUCAACAAUUUUGAAUUAUUUAAAUUAAAACGGAAAAAAUAUAUCUUUUUAAUCAAAACUUUCAUUCUUUAUUUAUAUAUUUUUUGUUUUAAUAAAAAUAUAUCUUUUUUUAUUAGAAGAAGCGUGGUUUUUCAAAUAAAAUGAUUUUAAAAACAAUUUUUAAUACAAAAAUAAAGACAUUGUUUUUCCAUAAAUUUCUGUUUUUCAAAUUAAUAUCUAUAAAUUAUAUAAAUCAUCCUAAAGUAAUUAGACGAGCAGUUGGAGCAUAACAAAACAAAUGUGUUCCUAUUUAUAGAGUAAGGCUUAAAAAGAUGAUGAAGCAGAAAGAAUAGCAGAUCAAUUUACCAUUUUACCUAGCUACGAUACACCGUUUCACCAAUAUAUAUUUCAGGGCUCUCUUAACAUUUUGUAGAUGGAGCGCAUGCCAGUGAGGGUCCUUCUGUUCUGCCUGAAGAGAUGACAAAUAUACCAGUGAGGGUUGAAUCGGUCAUUUACUAUUAUCUCACAAGUUAAUAAACAGUUGGUAAUUGAUUAUCAUUCCUUUCCAGCAAGAUAUAUUGUUCAUUAUUCUUAUUUUCCCAUGGGAGAAGGAAGUUAUCUUUGAAGUUAAUCUUGCUUGUCAAUGUUAUUUAUAAUUUUAACUAGGUAUGGUUGAGAGUGUGAUUGUAGUUAUUUUUUAAAGUAUUUAUUAUUUAAAAAUUUAUUAAAAUAAUAUUUUUUAUUUUUAACAUUAACAUAUUAAAAUAAUUUAAAAAAUUAAUUUUAAAAUAUAAAAAUAAACAAUACCUCUAUCUGUACGCGGAAAGGUGGUAUACAUAAGAACCCCCCCCCCCCCCCCCCCCCCCCCGAGAGGGAAGUGAAUGAAUUGAGGUUUUUAAAUAUAGAUUCGAUUGAGAAUAUUUCAUUAAACUUCCUUGUAAGGAUUUGUAAACACAAAUUUUAGUAUUGAAGAUUAAGUAAGAAUAUGUGUAUAAAUAUUUAAUUUUAUUAAAAUUUAUGAAAUCAAACCAAGAUUUGUUAUUUGCAAAAAUAUGAAUUUAGAUGCAUGUUGCCAAGUGAAAUUUGAUGGUUUGAUACUUUGAGGAAUAUUUUGAUAUUUGAUGGUUUAAUACUUUGAGGAAUAUUUUGAUUUGUCUUUAAAGUGUAAUUAAAAAAAUCUUAUUGAACAUUUAGCCUUGAUCAAAUAGAGCUUUUAAAAAAAAAUUAUUGCUUAAAUAGCUUGUUUUAAGGAAAAGAUUUUAUCCCCAAAAGAAUUAUAUUCCUCUCUAUAUCUAAAGUGAGACCCUCUUUUUUUCAAGAUUUAUAAGAGCACUCCUAUAUUUGAAAAAUGCAACAUGUUAUUAUUUUAUUGGUUAAUUUUUAUUUAUAGAACAUUAUAUUUACGAUAAAAUAUCUUAAAUAUUUUAUUUUUUAAAUUUUUAUUGGCAAAGAAAUAAAUAAAGAUCUAUUUAUUUUUAUUAUCAUUUAUUUCAAAUUUAUUUUUCCUUUUUAUGUAAAAAUAAAAUAAAAAUGAUAUACAACAAGUUUUUAUUGUUAAAUUUUUUUGGUUCCACAGGGUUGACUGGAAUUUCUGAAAUUUCUUUUUAUACCAUGGCGUGGAGGCUAGGAAUUAGAGGGGAGAAGAUAGAAGAAAAGAGAAGAUGAAGAUGAGUUAUGGAAAAAGGAGAGAAAUUAGGGGAUUUUGUUUUUCAUAAUUUGGUGAUAAAGUUGUAACAUUAAAUUAUUAAAGGUUGGACUUUUUAGUUAUUAAAUCAGUUAUAAUUUCUUUAAAGUUUUUAUUGAUUAAUUUUUUGGGUGAUCAAAUUAGUAUUAAGAUACUUGAAAACUAUGGAAAAAAAAACAAUAAAAGUAGAGAAAGUAGCAGAAAAUUCAAAUUUAUAUAGCAGAAAAUUCCAGAUUUUAGAGGGGAAAUUCAAAAAGUAAAAUCCUAGAAAACAACCAUCCGGAUAUGAUUUAAAAUACUUUUUUAUAUUUUUAAAAAUUAUUUUUAAUAUUAAUAUAUUAAAAUCAUAUAAAAAAAUAAAAAAAAUAAUUUUAAUUUAAAAAAUUCAAAAUUUUUAAAAAUAUAGCUUCAAUCCUAAUUUCAUACACAACCGAAGUCUAUGUACUGACACUACUUUCUUAGAUUCAUUGUGCAUUUGUGCGUGUCAAAAGAAUAUAGGGAGAGGGAGGGACCCUCUGCUUUCAAGUUGUCUACAGGCUCAGAUGGAUUUGGACACACAAGAUAAGAAGGUAGGGUCAUGUUCUUCGCCUUUGCAUGACUAAUUUGACAGCAGUGGUUCGUGGAAGAUGCUGCCAGCUGCAAUCAAUCAAUUAAUACAGUGAGGGAGGGGCCCUCUGCUUUCAAGUUGAAUGCAUCUCCCCAUUCCAAAACAUUACGGAAUUUUGUAAUUUUUCUAGAAAAUAAAAUUCUAGAAAAUAACCGUCCGGAUAACAGAUUAUGGAAAUAUGGGACCGGAUAUGAUUUAAAAUAUUUUUUUGUAUUUUUAAAAAUUAUUUUUAAUAUUAAUAUAUUAAAACCAUAUAAAAAUAUAUAAAAAAUUAAAUUUAAAUAAAAAAAAUCGAAAAUUUUAAAAAUAUAGUUUCAAUCCUAAUUUCAUACACAACCGAAGUCUAUGUACUGACACUACUUUCUUAGAUUCAUUGUGCGUGUCAACAGAAUAUAGGGAGAGGGAGGGACCCUCUGCUUUCAAGUUGUCUACAGGCUUAGAUGGAUCUGGACACACAAGAUAAGAAGGUAGGGUCAUGUUCUUCGCCUUUGCAUGACUAAUUUGACAGCAGUGGUUCGUGGAAGAUGCUGCCAGCUGCAAUCAAUCAAUUAACACAGUGAGGGAGGGACCCUCUGCUUUCAAGUUGAAUGCAUCUUGUUAAAGCUCUAGGCGCGGGGACGUGCCAACAAAAGUAUACUGUCUAGAAUUCAGCAACGAUGGACAGCGACAGCCUUACAUAGACAUAGAUGAAUUUGGCAGGCAGCGUGCGAUGGUCUGUGUGAGUCUUUGAGCUUGCGACUUGGCAUAGACGUGGGGUCUUAGAUAAUGGACCUCCUAAGUCAGCAGCUGACGCAGCAGAAACUGGCAGUUGGGACUGCCAAGUAGACAACCAGAAUGUGGGGGAAGUGGCAGCAUCAUGGGGGCAGAACGUGGAAGCAUAACUAGGGUGCUCUCCAAGCCACUAUGUCCUGAAAACAGGGGAUCAUGGGUGAGAGGAAGUGCUCCACCAUGUCCUGAAAACAGGGGAUCAUGGGUGAGAGGAAGUGCUCCACCAUGUCCUGAAAACAGGGGAUCAUGGGUGAGAGGAAGUGCUCCACUAUGUCCUGAAAAUGGGGGAUCAUGGGUGAGCCUGCAGCUCACAUAUUUGUCUAUAAAUAGGCUGCAAAGCCUUUGUUGUGUAGCAUGUGAUUUCUGUGCAUAGCACACACACUCUUAUUGUGUAAUCCAUUAUUAAUGAGAUAAAUAAAGGUUGAGAGGUAUUCUUGUAUUCUCGGUGUGCUUGCUUGUGUUUGUUCCUUGUUUACGACGAAGCAAUUGUGAGAACCUCUAUGGGUGAGCGAAACACAUAGUCGUAGGAAACACGAGCGAAAAGGUGAGGGAAGGCUUAGUCUAGUUGGGACUAGACUGCCGCAAUGGGUUGAAUUUUUUGGUGCGAAAAAUUUAACCUCGUGACAAUUGGUAUCAGAGCACGGUUGAUUCUAAAAACAUGCAGCAGAAGUCAUGGAAGCUAUUCAAGAACGGUUGAUGCGUUUUGAGACUUUUGAUAGGGUCGGAUGAAGAAGGCGAAGAACGUUCUAUUAUUGAUCGCUUGAAGAAAGCUAUGGAAAGUGCUGAAAGGGCUGAGAGCUUGUACAUUUCUCUUGCGGCAGAAUCGAGUGAACGAUUAGCUACUGUCGAAGAGACGAUUGCCAUUCUGAAAAGGGCAGUGACAAACGCUCCUAUUAGGGUAAGUACUUCUAAACCUAAAGUGCCUGAACCAAAGUGUUUUGGUGGGGCAAGAAGUUCCAAAGAGCUUGAGAAUUUUUUGUGGGACAUGGAGCAAUACUUUAGCGUUGAGAAGAUCAGCGUGGCUGAACAAGUGGAUCUUACCGUGAUGUAUCUCACGGGAGAUGCGAAGCUUUGGUGGCGAACGAGAACCAAAGAGGAUUUAAGUGCUGGACGUCUAAAGAUUGAGAUGUGGGAUUGUCUCAAGCAGGAGCUGAAGGAGCAGUUCCUUCCGAAUAACACAUCUUGGAUAGCGCCGGAGGAAUUGAAAAGGCUCAACAUGAAAGGUCAGUUCGCGAGUAUGUUAAAUCUUUCAGUUCUUUGAUCCUCGACAUCGAGAAUAUGUCCGAGGAGGAUAGGUUGUUCAACUUCAUGUCUGGAUUGCAAACUUGGGCGCAAGCGGAACUAAGACAACAGAACGUAAAGGAUCUGUCCUUCACUAUUGCUACUGCGGACAGUUUGAUUGAUUUUAAAUCAACUACUAGAGAGGGCUAUACAUCAGCCUCCUUCAAGUCUAAGGGAAGAAACAAGGAGGAAAGGACAAGGAAGAAGUUUGGUGGGGGUGCAUCGAAGGCUGCUGCCGUGGAUAAGGGCAAGGCUAAGUUUAUGGGUGCACAAGGUAAGGGUACUAAAUCGAACUUUACUUGCUUCAUUUGUGAUGGUCCUCACUUUGCGAAGGAAUGUCCGAAGAGGGAGAAGUUGAAUGCUAUUUGGGCUGGGUAUAGCGAUGAGGAUGGGGGGUAGUCACGCACGUCAAUCCUAUGCGUGUGAUAAACUGCUUGGUAGCUAAAUCAGGGGAUGUGGCUGCCGAAACCUGCCCUGUUGAUCAAGACUUGGCGAGGAUUGAUGCAUUGCGAAAAGGGAAGUCAGGUGCUACGGACAAUCUAAUGUAUGUGAAGAUUGGGAUAAAUGGCAAAAAUGUGAAUGCUAUGCUGGAUUCAGGUGCAACCCAUACGUUUGUGGCAUAUCGACUGGUGAAGGAACUUGGCUUGCGGCUGAGUGAUAGCCAUACAUCAAUGAAGGUAGUAAACUCGAAGGCACAGAGGAUUGCAGGGAUGUCUUACGAUGUGCCGAUAAUGCUGGAUCAGUGGAGAGGUAAGCAGGACGUGCUGGUCGUAAAUCUCAAUGAUUACAAUAUUAUUCUUGGCCUUGAUUUCUUACGAAAAGCCAAGAUUGUUUUAAUGCCAUAUCUCAAUGGAGUCAUGAUUGUGAGUGAGGGAUGCCCAUGUUUCGUCCCAGUUGUAAUGUCGCAACUGUGAAUGUCGUGAAAGGGGGAAAAAGCUUGGUCUCGACAAUUGCUAUUGAUAAAGCGUUGUGAAAAGGAGGGGAAGUGUUUCUGGCAACAAUAAUGGACGAGAAAGCAGAAUAUUGUGGAGAGGUGCCAAAAGAAAUUGCUAGCGUGCUGCAGCAAUUCGCGGAUGUAAUGCCGCCUCAGUUGUCGAAGAAACUCUCGCCUAGGAGGGCCAACGACCAUCAAAUUAAGCUGGUGCCGGGGACAAUGCCACCAUCUCAAGCCCCUUACCGAAUGUCGCCAAGGGAAUUAGCAGAAUUGAGGAAACAAUUGGAAGAGCUAAUUGACUCAGGGUUUGUCCGGCCUUCUAAGGUUCCGUCUGGUGCUCCGGUUUUGUUCCAAAAGAAGACGGAUGGGAGCCUUCGCAUGUGUGUGGACUACUGAGCACUCAACAAGGUAACAAUCAAAAACAAAUAUCAUGUUCCUUUAAUUCAGGAUUUGAUGGACAGAUUGUGUGGAGCCUCAAUCUUUACGAAAUUGGACUUGCGAUUGGGGUAUUGGCAAGUGCGGGUUGCUGACGGUGACGAGCAUAAAACUACUUGUGUGACGAGGUAUGGUUCAUACGAGUGUCUAGUUAUGCCAUUCAGCCUAACAAAUGCUCCAGCAACAUUUUGCAAUCUAAUGAAUGAUGUGUUAUAUGAUUUCUUAGACAAUUUUGUUGUAGUCUACUUAGAUGACAUUGUAAUCUAUAGUAGAGGCAUUGAAGAUCAUGUAACUCAUCUUUCUAAAGUCCUAAGUAGAUUGAGAGAAUAUGAAUUGUAUGUGAAGAGAGAAAAGUGUGAGUUUGCAAAAGCUGAAAUCAUGUACUUAGGCCACUUGAUUGGAGAAGGACAGGUGAAGAUGGAUCCAAGGAAGAUUCAAGCCAUUAUCGAAUGGACAACACCAAAAUCAGUCCUGGAACUGAGAUCAUUUUUGGGGCUUGCAAACUACUACAGACGAUUCAUUAAGGGCUAUAGCAAGAAGACAACUCCUCUCUCGGAUCUUCUAAAGAAGAAUCGGAGAUGGGAAUGGAUGGUUGAUUGCCAGCAAGCUUUUGAGAAGCUGAAGACAACGGUAGUAUCAGCUCUAGUUUUGGGGCUGCCUGAUUUUGAGAAGCCAUUUGAAGUGCAUAUUGAUGCUUCGGAUAGGGCCAUUGGUGGAGUGCUCGUACAAGAGGGGCAUCCGGUCGCUUUCGAGAGUCAGAAGCUAAAUGACGCGGAACAUAAUUACUCGACAUGUGAGAAAGAAAUGACGGCAGUAGUGCAUUGCCUUGGCAUAUAGAGAGUAUAUCUGUUGGGGCCAAAAUUUGUUGUCAAGACCGACAAUGUUGCUAACACAUUCUUCCGGACGCAGAAGCAAUUGUCGUAGCUGUUGUAACCUAUUUUUGGGUCCCCACAAAAUAUAUAUAAAAAUAUAUAGCCAAAGGAGGGUAGAAAAAUAAUAGGAGGUAGAAGCGCUCAGAAAAUGGUUGGAAAAUUGGUCAAUAAGGUUAAAAAUACAAAGAUUGGAUUUUUAACAGUAUAUUCUUGAAGGAGGAGAACCCUGUUGAGAAGGAAAAUUUGAAAUUUGAGGAGAAAAACCCAAAUUUGGAUGUUUAUGGACUUAAUUGGAUUUUUAAAUGAAUUUAUAGGAGAUUUGAUUGGAAGAAAAAUUGAUUUUUAAGUCAAUUUGGGUUUUAAUUAGAAGAAAUUUAAGUUCUGGGGCCAAAAUAUAUUUUUUAGGAAUUUAUUAGGUCAAAUCAGGGGCCUAAUUGCAUAAAUAUUGAAGUUUAAGGGCCAAUUGGGGACUUAAUUGAGAAAAUCCGAAACCAGGGACCAAAUUGGAAGAGGCGCGUAAAUGGAGGGGCUGGAAUUAAUUGAUUCAGGGGCCUAAUUGAAGAAAUUAGAAGUUUUUUGAUCAAUUAAGGGCUCAAUUGCAUAAAUCAGAGGCCAAGGACUAAAGUGAAAAACGCGGCCAACAAGAGGGGCGGAGACCGAAAUUGGCAGGGAUGCAAUUGAAGAAAAAAAAGAUGAUUGAGGGCUGAUUUGAAAUUUGGCGCGUUUUGGCGCCACAUUUAAAUGAAACGGCGCGUUUUCGCCAAAACGACGCCGUUUCAUACAUUCAAAAAAAAAAAAAAGAGCAGAACGGUGUCGUUUUGAACGACACUGUUCAUCUUCUUCCCCCGAUCACGCAGCGGGGAAGAAGGAAAAAGGGUUGCUUUAAUUUGAAUUUUUGCCGGCCACUCUCUCACCUGGAGCCCACCGACCGGACACAAUGGCCGACCACCCACCACGCACCUGCCAAAAAACCGGUGAGGGGGCCGAGCCUUGGCAGUCGCACCCAAUGGCCGACCGGCCGGCUGCUCCCCAUGCUCCACAGCGAAAAGCCACUCACUUGGCUCUAUAAAUAACAGCCAACACAGCAGCAAUGAGGGGAGGGAGAGAAGAGAACAGAGGGGAGGGAAGAAGGAGAAAAACAAAAACAGAGGAGAGAGAGAGAGGAGGAACCGAAAGAAGAGAGAAACCGAGAGGAGAGAAAAACAUAAAAAAAAAACAGAGGAAAGAAAAACAGACUGAGAGAAGAGAGGGAAGGGAAGAAAAAGAGAAGACCGAAACAUAGGAAGAAAAGGGAAACGGACGUUCGGAACAACUGCAGCGCCGCCUGGAGCCGCCGUCCGUGAGCUACGCCACCGCCACCAGCCUCUGCCGCAGCACCGCCAGCGACGCACAGCCUCCUCCGCGCCAGGUAACUUUUCUUCCCCCCUCAUUCUCGCGUUUAUUUUUUUUCGUUUCCUUCCCCACAUGCAGAACGAGUAGCGUUCUGCAUGCAGGGGUGGGGGGGAAAAUAAUUCCCCCCGCCCCGUUUUGGCUUGGGCCAGGCGGAUCCUGGCCCAGCCCUGUCUUCUGGGCCGGGUCUGGCCCAGAAGAUAAUGUUUAGUUUUUUUGGGCCAAGAUCGGCCCAACCCAUUUUGGGCCGAAAUCGGCCCAACAAUUUUGGGCUGAGUCCGACCCAGUCGGUUAGGCCGGACCAGCCCAGCCCAUUGAAUAUUAUAUAUUUUAUAUAUAUAUAUAUAUAUAUAUAUUAUAUUUUGUAUUAUUUAUAUAUAUAUAUAUAUAUAUAUGAAAAAAAAUUAUAAAAAUUCUGCAAAAAUUAUAAAAAAAUAUGUGUUUUUGUUGUAAUUUUAUUACUGUAUUUUGAUUAAUAUUGGUUGGUAUUUUAUACUGUAAAGAUACAAAAUCCGGUAUUAAAAUACCCGGUUUUCAUCAAAACAUCAAAGAUUUUCAAAACAAAAAAUGUCUUUUGCUUUCAAAAAAUUUUCUAAAAAUAUCUUUGAAAAUAUUGUUGAUUUUUCUGCAUUUAUUUUAUCAAAGUGGAUUAAUGUUUGGUUGUAUUUUUUACAAACCCAGUAUUAAAAUACCCGAUUUGCGUCAAAGCGUACUAAAAUACAUAUUUAAAAAAUGUUUUGUUUUAAAAUACGGCCUAGUCUCUCCAAUAUAUAUAUAUAUAUAUAUAUAAAUAUUAUAACAUCAUUUUUUUACACAACAAAAGAAAUUUCAAAACAAUAUAUGUAUUAGCAUGCAUUUUGGCUGAACGGUUAGGUUUUACCCGAUAAGAUAAGGACCUCCUUAUUGAGGAGGACUUUUCUUGAACCAUAGGCGGACCAACAACUAGGAAACACAACGAAACCUUGAAUUUCAUCAGACAAAUAAACAAUGCAGCUUACCUUAGGUAGGGCGUAUUUGGGGUGCUAAUACCUUUCUUUUACGCAACCAGUCCCCGUGCCCGAUCUCUGAGACCAGUUAGGGUUCCUAGUGACCAAAAUACUAGGUGGCGACUCCCACACCAUUUUUCACUGCUAAGAGACAACAAAUUCCUUGUCUCCCCACAUUGACCAGAUAUAUAUCUCCCCAUCCCCCAUUACAUUUAUUUUUUUGGGUGGACGAUCGCCGCGACGUCGCUCACGUGUGACAGUAGCGACAAGCUCGGUGGCAGGAAUUCUUGGCCGAAUAUGAUUUUGUAUGGGAGCACAAAACUGGGAAGCCACAAUCAGGUUGCGGAUGCACUCAGCAGACACGAAGUAAUUGCUACUAUUCUUGCUAUUGUUCAGGUGGAGUCGGACAUGCUGUGUCGACUUCGUCAAGCUGCGGGGGAAGACACAACGUACAAGAAGCUGGUUGAGCUUGUACGAGAAGGGACAAUACGGAGGUAUUGGUUGGAACAAGACCUACUCUAUGCAAAGCGGGGUUGAAUCUUCGUGCCGAAGGGAGAGCUACGGAAACAUUUAUUGAUGGAGACUCAUGAUCCGCGUAGAGAAAGGAUGGUUGCUCUCCUGUUGCAGACUUAUUAUUGGUCGAAGAUGAAGGACGAUGUAGAACUUUAUGUCAGGACUUGUCUAGUGUACCAGUAAGACAAGACUUUACGGCAGCAAGAGGCAGGCUUGUUACAGCCGCUGCCAAUUCCAGAAAGGCCUUGGGUGUCGGUUUCGAUGGAUUUCAUUAUUGGUUUUCCAAAGGUGGAUGGCAUGAACACAAUCAUGGUUGUUGUGGACAGAUUCACUAAGUACGCGGUGUUUGUGGCUGCCCCGACAAUGUGUACAGCCGAAGUGGUCGUUGAAUUAUUCUACCGCAACGUGGUGAAGUACUUUGGAGUACCUUCUGAUAUUAUAAGCGAUCAUGAUGUGCGAUUCAUGGGCAGAUUCUGGACAACAUUGUUCAACAUGAUGGGAACAAGGCUGAAGUUUUCGACUGCCAAUCACCCGCAAAUUGAUGGGCAGACGGAAAGGAUAAAUGCUUUGCUGGAGGAAUAUUUGAGACACUACGUGACAGCGAUGCAACGAAACUGGCUGGAGUUGCUGGAUAGUGCGCAGUUUUGCUAUAAUCUUCAAAAAUCCUCGGCAACGGAAGCAAGUCCGUUUGAGCUGGUUUUGGGAGCCCAACCCCAAACUCCUGCCGAGAUUGCAGUGCAGAUAUCGGGUGGGAAGAGUCCAACGGCGUACAGGUUUGCGAUGGAAUGACAAGAACUGUUUGAGCAAGCCCAAAAUAGUUUGUGUAAGGCAAGGAAAAGGAUGCUCAAAUAUGCUAAUCAAAAGCGAAAAUUGCUAGAAUUCAGUGUGGGUGACAGAGUGUUGCUCAAGUUAACUCCGCAAAUUUGGAAGAAAAUUAUUGGGACGACGAAGCACCGAGGGUUGGUGCCAAGGUAUGAUGGACCUUUUAAGAUCAUCGAAAAGGUAGGGGCCGUCACAUACAGGUUGAAGCUGCCCGAACGGCUAAAGCUUCAUCCUACUUUUCACGUAAGUUACUUGCGGCCUUUUUAUGAAGAUUACGAGGAUUCGAAAAGAAGUAAGUAGCAACGAGCUCCUCCUAUGAUUCACAAGCAAUUUGAUGAUGGUAUUGUCAAGGUUAUGGAUCAUCGUCGACUCGGCCAACAUUGAAAGAAUCGGCGAACAAAAUUCUUGGUAAAAUGGAAGAAAAAUGAGGAGGUUUUGUUGGAAAAAGAUAUAGAUUUAUGACAAUUUGAGGACCAAGUGCAAGACUACCUCACGUCUAUUUCGAUGAGGACGUCAGACUUUUCUAGUGGGGGUGGUUUGUUAGAGCUCUAGGCGCGGGGAUGCGCCAACGAAAGCACACUGCCUAGAAUUCGGCAGCGAUGGACAACGGCAACCUUACAUAGGCAAAGACGAAUUCGGUAGGCAGCGUGCGAUGGUCUGUGCGAGUCUUUGAGCUUGCGACUUGGCAUGGACGUGGGUGCUUAGAUAAUGGACCUUCUAAGUCAGCAGCUAACGCAGCAGAAACUGGCAGUUGGGACUGCCAAGUAGACAGCCAGAAUGUGAGGGAAGUGGCAGCAUCAUGGGGGCAAAACGUGGAAGCAUAACUGGGGUGCUCUCCAAGCCACUAUGUCCUGAAAACAGGGGAUCAUGGGUGAGAGGAAGUGCUCCACUAUGUCCUGAAAAUGGGGGAUCAUGAGUGAGCCUGCAACUCACAUAUUUGUCUAUAAAUAGGCUGCAAAGCCUUUGCUAUGUAGCAUGCGAUUUCUGUGCAUAGCGCACACACACUCUUAUUGUGUAAUCCUUUGUUGAUGAGAUAAAUAAAGGUUGAGAUGUAUUCUUGUAUUCUCGGUGUGCUUGCUUGUGUUUGUUCCUUGUUUACGAAGAAGCAAUUAUGAGAACCUCUUUAGAUGAGCGAAACAUAUAAUCGUAGGAAACACGAGCGAAAAGAUGAGGCAAGGCUUAGUCUAGUUGGAACUAGACUGACGCAUUGGGUUGAAUUUUUCGGUGCGAAAAAAUUAACCCAGUGACACAUCUCCCCAUCCCAAAACACACCAUUUCAUCCCUACUUUACAACUUUCAGACCAUUCUUCUCUCUCUUUUCCUCAAUCUUUCUUCUUUGAUUUCCCAAAGAAAAUAAGAGAAUAUGGCAGCAGAGCUUUUUCUUACGUUUGCCAUGGAGGAGACUUUGACAAGGGUCAUUUCCAUAGCUGCUGAAGGGAUCAGACUUGCUUGGGGAUUGGAGGGACAGCUGCAAAAGCUCGAAGACUCCUUGAUCAUGAUCAAAGUUGUGCUCAAAGAUGCAGCCAGAAGGCCCGUAACAGACGAUUCUGCGAAGCUUUGGCUGGAGAAGCUACAAGAUGUAGCUUACGACGCUGAAGAUGUUCUCGACGAGUUUGCUUAUGAGAUUCUCCGAAAAGACCAAAAGAAGGGAAAGGUACGUGACUGCUUUUCACUGCACAACCCUGUUGCAUUCCGUCUGAAUAUGGGUCAGAAAGUUAAGGAGAUCAAUGGAUCACUGCAUGAUAUUCAGAAACUUGCAACUCGCUUUGGGCUGGGAAUUGCAUCUCAACAUGUAGAGAGUGCUCCUGAAGUUAUCCGGGAUAUAGACCGAGAGACAGAUUCCUUGCUUGAAAGCUCAGAAGUUGUAGUAGGAAGGGAGGAUGAUGUCUAUAAAGUUAUGAAAUUGCUGAUUGGCUCGAUCGGUCAACAAGUUCAGUCUGUUGUCCCUAUUGUUGGGAUGGCAGGUCUUGGAAAGACUACCAUAGCAAAGAAAGUUUGUCAAUUAGUAAGGGAGAAAAAACAUUUUGACGUGACUCUAUGGGUUUGUGUCUCUAAUGAUUUCAGUAAAAGGAGGAUAUUAGGAGAGAUGUUGCAAAAGAUUGAUAAAUCUACUGGUGGGUUGAGCAAUCUAGAUGCAAUUCUUGAAAAACUUCAGCAAGAGCUGGAAAAGAAAACACUUCUUCUUGUUCUUGAUGAUGUGUGGAAUGAAGACUAUGAUAAGUGGGCUGGUUUGAAGGAGGGACUGUUAAAAAUUAACAGCAGGAAUGGGAAUGCUGUUGUUGUUACAACCCGCAGUAAGAAAGUAGCAGACAUGAUGGAGACUUCUCCUGGGAUUCAGCACGAGCCAGGGAGACUAUCAGCUGAUCAAUGUUGGUCCAUUAUCAAGCAAAAGUUGAGCAGGGGUGGACGAGAAACAAUACCAUCAGACUUGGAGUCUAUUGGAAAAGAGAUUGCAAAGAAAUGUGGAGGGAUUCCAUUACUUGCUAAAGUUUUGGGAGGAACUCUUCACGGAAAGCAGACGCAUGAGUGGCAGUCAAUUCUACACAGUAGAAUUUGGGAUUCUCAGUAUGGAGAUAAAGCUUUGCGCAUAUUGAGACUCAGUUUUGAUUACUUGUCAUCGCCAACAUUGAAAAAAUGUUUUGCAUACUGUUCCAUUUUUCCUAAAGAUUUUAAAAUCGGAAGGGAAGAGCUAAUUCAACUUUGGAUGGCUGAAGGUUUUCUCAGGCCACCAAAUGGGAGGAUGGAAGACAAAGGCAACAAGUGUUUCAAUGACUUGCUUGCAAAUUCCUUUUUCCAAGAUGUUGAAAGGAAUGAGUGUGAGAUCGUAACAAGUUGCAAGAUGCAUGAUCUUGUGCAUGAUCUUGCAUUGCAGGUCUCAAAAUCAGAAGUGUUAAAUCUGGAGGAGGAUUCGGCUGUUGAAGGGGCAUCUCAUAUUCGUCAUCUAAAUCUCAUAUCUCGUGGGGAUGUUGAGGCAGCAUUUCCAGUGGGUGAUGGUAGAAAAUUGCGAACUGUUUUCUCAAUGGUUGAUGUAUUCAAUGGGUCUUGGAAAUUCAAAAGCUUGAGAACUCUCAAAUUGCAACGGUCUGAUAUCACAGAGUUGCCAGAUUCAAUUUGCAAGCUGAGACAUUUGAGAUAUCUUGAUGUCUCACGUACCAGAAUCAGAGAAUUGCCAGAAUCCAUUACCAAGCUCUACCAUUUGGAAACAUUAAGAUUCACUGAUUGCAAGUCACUAGAGAAGCUUCCCAAGAAAAUGAGAAAUUUAGUCAGCUUGAGACAUCUCCAUUUUGACGAUCCAAAGCUAGUGCCAGCUGAGGUGAGACUCUUAACACGCCUUCAAACUCUGCCUUUUUUUGUUCUGGGUCAAAAUCAUAUGGUUGAAGAGCUGGGAUGUUUGAAUGAACUAAGAGGAGAAUUGCAGAUAUCCAAGCUUGAGAAAGUGAGAGACAGAGAAGAAGCUGAGGAGGCAAAACUGCGAGAAAAAAGAAUGAACAAAUUGGUGUUUAAAUGGAGUGAUGAUGAAGUUAACAGUAGUGUCCGUAACGAGGAUGUGCUGGAAGGCCUGCAGCCUCACCCAGACAUAAGAAGCUUGACAAUUGGGGGUUAUGGAGGUGAAAAUUUCUCAUCAUGGAUAUUGCAACUCAAUAAUCUGACGGUGCUGAGAUUGAAUGGCUGCAGCAAGUUGAGGCAACUCCCAACACUUGGAUGUCUUCCUCGCCUUAAGAUUCUAUAUAUGAAUAGAAUGCCUAAUGUGAAAUGUAUAGGCAAGGAGUUCUAUAGUAGCGGCAGUGGCAGUGCAACAGUACUGUUUCCAGCACUAAAAGAACUCACUUUGAGGUAUAUGGAUGGUCUUGAAGAAUGGAUGGUACCAGGUGGAGAAGGUGAUCGAGUAUUUCCUUGUCUUGAAAAGUUGAGCAUUGCGAUGUGUGGCAAGUUGAGGCAACUCCCAACACUUGGAUGUCUUCCUCGCCUUAAGAUUCUAAAGAUGAGUGGAAUGCCUAAUGUGAAAUGUAUAGGCAAGGAGUUCUAUAGUAGCAGCAGUGGCAGUGCAGCAGUACUGUUUCCAGCACUAAAAGAACUCACUUUGGGGGAUAUGAAUGGUCUUGAAGAAUGGAUGGUACCAGGUGGAGAAGGUGAUCAAGUAUUUCCUUGUCUUGAAAAGUUGAGCAUUGAGAUGUGUGUCAAGUUGAGGCAACUCCCAACACUUAGAUGUCUUCCUCGCCUUAAGAUUCUAGAUAUGAGUAGAAUGCCUAAUGUGAAAUGUAUAGGCAAGGAGUUCUAUAGUAGCAGCAGUGGCAGUGAAGCAGUACUGUUUGCAGCACUGAAAGAACUCACUUUGAGGUAUAUGGACGGUGUUGAAGAAUGGAUGGUACCAGGUGGAGAAGGUGAUCGAGUAUUUCCUUGUCUUGAAGAGUUGAGCAUUGAGAUGUGUGGGAAGUUGAGGCAACUCCCAACACUUGGAUGUCUUCCUCGCCUUAAGAUUCUAGAUAUGAUUGGAAUGCCUAAUGUGAAAUGUAUAGGCAAGGAGUUCUAUAGUAGCAGCAGUGGCAGUGCAGCAGUACUGUUUCCAGCACUAAAAGGACUCAGUCUAUUUAGCAUGGGGGGUCUUGAAGAAUGGAUGGUACCAGGUGGAGAAGGUGAUCAAGUAUUUCCUUGUCUUGAAAAGUUGAGCAUUGAGUGGUGUGGAAAGUUGGAAAGCAUUCCGAUAUGUCGUCUUUCAUCUCUUGUAGAAUUUGGAAUUUACGUAUGUGAUGAACUGAGAUAUUUGUCUGGUGAGUUUCAUGGCUUCAAGUCUCUUCAGAUUUUAAGGAUACAGAGGUGUCCAAAGCUGGCAUCCAUUCCAAGCGUACAACACUGCACAGCUCUGGUGGAAUUGUGUAUAUUACUGUGCAGUGAGUCGAUCUCAAUUCCUAGUGAUUUUCGAGAAUUGAAAUAUUCUUUGAAGAGAUUGGAUAUUUGGGGAUGUAAAAUGGGAGCUCUUCCAAGCGGACUACAAUGUUGCGCAUCUCUAGAGGUAUUGGACAUAAUUAAUUGGAGUGAGCUUAUCCAUAUCAGUGAUUUACAAGAAUUGUCUUCGCUUCGAAGAUUAAAGAUUAGAGGUUGUGAUAAGCUCAUCAGUUUUGAUUGGCAUGGUUUACGACAAUUGCCUUCUCUUGUUGAUUUAGCAAUCACCACAUGUCCCAGUUUGAGUAAUUUCCCAGAGGAGCAUUGCUUAGGCGGCCUCACGCAACUGGAGGAAUUGAGCAUCGGUGGUUUCUCAGAGGAGAUGGAGGCUUUUCCUGCAGGAGUUUUAAACUCAAUCCAACACCUCAACUUGAAUGGGUCCCUCAAAUCCCUAAGGAUAUGUGGAUGGGAUAAACUGAAGAGUGUACCACACCAACUUCAACACCUCACUGCCCUCGAGAACUUGCGUAUAUGUGAUUUCAACGGUGAGGAAUUUGAGGAAGCUUUGCCAGAUUGGUUGGCCAACCUUUCUUCUCUUCGAUCUCUUGAGAUUAGUAAUUGCAAGAAUCUCAAGUAUCUGCCAAGCUGUACUCAACGCCUCAACAAAUUAAAGACAUUGGAGAUUCAUGGAUGUCCACAUCUUAUAGAAAAUUGUAGAGAGGAGAAUGGCUCUGAGCGGCCCAAGAUUUCUCAUAUCCCAUCACUCCAUAUAAGAUAGAGGGUACACGUGUACAGGUAAGUUGGUAUUUAAAUUAUUCUGUUACUUUGUAUAUGCAGAGGAGAGAGAACUAAUUAAAGUAUUCAAAUUAAUGAAAGCAAUAAUUAGACUUUAAAAUUUUGUUAUUAUGUUAACCAAAUUUAUACUUAUUAUUGUAACCAUCAAUCAUUAUUGUAACCAUCAAUCAUUAUUGUAAUAUUAAUAUCACAAAAUAAUUUAACUUAAAAUUAUUUCUGAGUAUUACACUAUCACAAGCCAUUAUUAAUUAGCUUUUACUAUGUAUCAAAAUAUACUUGUUAACAAAAUGUAUACUUGUGAUCAAUGAUAAAAUCAAUAGCCAUCCAACAUUCUUUCAAUCAUUAUUCUAAUAUCAUUUUAAAAUAUUUGCAUAUAUUACAUAUAUUACAAAUAUAGUAAAGUAUAGAUUUAUAAAUUAUAUACUGAUAAUAUAUUAUCUAACAACAGUUUUGAAUUUUAGCAUUGUUUAUCUUUCAAUGGCUAACACCAUGUUAGCUAUUUUAACUGUUGUAGGAACCUCCAAGACACCAUGGAAUGGUUAUUUGAAGCUUAUGCAGACUAGUGUUAAUUUAUUGGGAUAAAUGUGUGACUUGUAUAGUUUUCUGUGGUCUUUAUGAGAUUAGUGUGUUUGUCAGAAUGUAAACAUGGAUGGAGCUGACAGCUUCUCACUAAGAUAGAAGCGAUUAAUAUGGAUAUGAAUGUGAAUAUUUAUGUAGAAAGUAGCUUGGAGGAUCCUAGCAUGUUAGUUGUGGCUUAUAAAGGGGAACACAAUCACUCCAAAAUUGCAUUUCAAUCUCCCAGCAUGAUGCUUCAUAUUUAACAAUCAAAUCAAACCAUAGGACAACUGUAUUUUCCAAGCAAAGUAAGUUUCUUCUUCUGCUCCAUGUUCCCUUCAAAAAAGAUCUCAUGAUUUUUAACUUCUAGGUUAUUGCUUCUUCUUCAUCAAUGUCUAAUUGUAUAUAUGUUGUCUCAAGAUUUUCUAACAGAGGCUCAUUCGCUUCAUGCACGACUGAAUUUUUCAAGUUUGGUUUUCCAAUAUCUUUCACCUCAAAAGAAAGAAUCAUUUAACCAGGAUUUUUGUCAUAUGCCUUAUCAAAUUUACAUAAACAAAGAUCACAACAAAAGCAUAUGUGCUGCACAACAGGCUGGAAAAUCCAAGGAAAAUAACAAAAAUAAAAGAAUGAAAAAGAGAAGAAUAAAGGCCUCUUGAAAAACCUGAUUAUAGGGCCCGAGAUCGCUAACAGAGCACCAACAUAAACAACACCUUGCAAAGUCAUAAAUCUACUGAUCAAUAGGAUGCUGAGCCAGCGAAAUGAAACGAAAUGUUGGAUAAAAAACAAAAAGGGUAACAGAGUGCAUGCACAAUGUAGAAGAGAAAACAACUGCGGCAACAAAAAAAAACACAAAAGGAACUACCGGGGUAAAAAUGGAGGUUGGGAGCAUAACAAUUGUGUAGAAGCAAACUUAAAAGAAAGAUGGAUAAGGAUUAAGUAAAGGAGGGGGGUACUUAAAGUAACAACUAUGAGAAGCUAAGAACAUGUAUAAGCGAAAGAAAAAAAAUGAGAUGUACCGUCAGAUCUGUCGCACGUUAUAUCCGCGCGGCGUCGGCUGGAGAUUUUUUUCUUUUCGUUUGCUUGAUUGGUUCGUUGGGAGUCGCCACCUAGUAUUUAAUUGAGAGCAACUAGGAAACCCGGGUGUACUUAUCUUGUCAGAGAUUCACGAGUAAGGAACUGAUUGUGGUUAGGGAAGGUAUUAGCACCCCUAACGCACCCUACCUGAGGUAAGUUGCUUCGUGGCUUUGAUGUGAUAAAGAAGUUUUAAAAAAUUUGUUCUUUCAUCGGGUAUUAGAAAUACAACUUACAUGUAAGUUCAUAAUUCUUGACUAUAAUCAAAUCAAAAUAUUAAAUUCUUCUUUAUUCUUUACAAUUUUAUCAUAAAAAAUAAAAUCCAUAAAACAAAUACAAACACAUACAUACACUUUCACUAUAUUUUUUUCCUUUUUCUUUUUUUUUUUUUUUUUUUACAUCCACACUACAAAAUACAAAUUCAAAACUAAACAAAAAUUACAUUAAACAAUAUUCAAAAAUUACAAAAAUAACCUCCAAAACAAUCUGUAAUUACAUGGAAAUCUUUCUGGAACUGCAGGAACAGUGGCGGCGCGUGGUCCCACGCGCAGCCUCAGGAAAAAGCCAGGCACCCGGUGGAUCCGGCCGGCUUUCUUCUCCUCUUCCCUUCUACAUCGGCGGUGAGAAGCAAGGUCACUUGCAAAGCCAAGAAAAUGCAACAACCAGUUGGUUUUAGUUCUGUUUUAGAUCUGCUUUUAUUUUAUUUUUUUCUGUCCGUUGUUCCUUUCUUCUUCCCCGGUGGCAGAUCUGCUGCAGAGUGGCUGUUCGGUCGGCAGCUUCUGUGUAGUCUGCCAUGUUUGGGCUGCUGUGGGAGGCGAUGAGCUAGGUCUGCUGCCGGCCGGUUUGUGGAAGAGACCGAAGGAGAAGAAGAUCUGUUGAAAUGGGGGGAAGCUCCGCUGGCUGAGGGGCUGGUCUUGGGUUGGUGUUGGCUAGGAGGCUUCGGUGGAAGCCGGUCGGUGCAGAUGAGGGAAGAUCCGUGGUCGACGGUGAGGGAAGAGGCGGUGAUCUGUGGGCUGGAAGGCGGCGUCCUCGGUGGCGAAGAAGAGCAACAGGGAAAGGAGGGGAGGCUGAGAGGGCUCAGGGAUCUGCGGCUGAGAGGGGGAAAUGGAGACUUGUGAGGGGAAGGGCCCUCUGAUUUUCAAACGAAAAUAGAGACGCGGCCAAGAGAGGGUUGAUGGAGAUCAGGGGUCGGUCCCGGUGCAGGGAAAAAGAGAGGGUUAGUGGCGAUGUGAAGUGGGGUGCUGGAAGUUGUGGUUGCUCUGGUUUUGUGUUUGGGCAAAAAAGGGGUGAACGGCUGCCGGAUGGAUGGGGGGCAGCUGCUGGCUGUUUUGGUGGAGAAAAAUCAAAACCGGGUAGGGGCCGCUGUUUGGAAAAAAAAUAGGUUUAGGUUUAGGGUUUGAGUUUUUUUUUUGGUUUUUUGUGAUUCUUUCACUUGUGCAAAAUUGACCCCCUUUUUGUGUGUUUUGGAGACCAAUAUUUAUAGGUAAAAAUAUUGCUUGGGCCGCAAAAUUGGUCCCUCAACUUUUUUUUUUUUGUAAAUUUGAUUUUUCUUGUUUUUUUGGAUUUUCUUAUCAACAUCGCCUCGAAUGAGGAAAAUCAGUGAUUUUAAAAAUAACGCGUUAAAAAUCGAACGCGUUCCAAAGAUCUUCGAAAAUUUAAAUUUUUUUGAGACGAUGUUGAAAAUGCUAAAAACGAUGCAAAUAUAUUAAAAAAACUAUUUUUUGGAUUUUUUUGUUGUUUUUUGUUAUUUUUGGAUUUUUCAACAAUUUUAUUAAAACAAGGGUCAAAAAUUGAGUAACAACAGAUGCCCCCUCUUUACAAUGCUUACGAAGCAAAACUCCUCAAUGUUUUGCAUAGUAAGCUUUGUAAAGAAGAAAAGGAAAAGGAAAAUGAUCUCAUUAUUUUGGGCGACCUGCCCCUUUUGAAGAAAGAUGGUCUAUUUUCAGGGGCGACCAGCCCACACACUCACACGGUCUAUUUUUCAUGGACGACCUGCCCUCAAACUCACACUGGUCUAUUUUCACGGGCGACCUACCCAUACAUGUUCAUCAUGGUCUAUUUUCACGGGCGACCUACCCAUAAAUGUUCAUCCUGGUCUAUCUUCAUGGGCGACCUACCCUUCCACUCACACUGAUCUAUUUUUACGGGCGACCUACCCACACAUGCUCAUCCUGGUCUAUUUUCAGGGGCGACCGACCCACAUGGUCUAUUUUCAUGGGCGACCUGCCCUUCCAUUCACAUUGAUCUAUUUUCACGGGCGACCUACCCACACAUGCUCAUCCUGGUCUAUUUUCAGGGGCGACCUGCCCACAUGGUCUAUUUUCAUGGGCGACCUGCCCUUCCACUCACACUAAUCUAUUUUCACGGGCGACCUACCCACACAUGUUCAUCCUGGUCUAUUUUCAGGGGCGACCGCCCCACAUGGUCUAUUUUCAUGGGCGACCUGCCCUUCCACUCACACUGAUCUAUUUUCACGGGCGACCUACCCACACAUGUUCAUCCUGGUCUAUUUUCAAGGGCGACCGGCCCACACACUCACACGGUCUAUUUUCAUGGGCGACCUGCCCUCACUUCAUCCUGGUCUAUUUUCAGGGGCGACCUGCCCACACACUCACACUGGUCUAUUUUCAGGUCGCUCAGGGGCGACCUGCCCACACUUCAUCCUGGUCUAUUUUCAGGGGCGACCUGCCCACACAUGUUCAUCGUGGUCUAUUUUUAGGGGCGACCAGCCCACACACUCACACUGGUCUAUUUUCAGGGGCGACCGGCCCACACCUGUUCAUCGUGGUCUAUUUUCAAGGGCGACCGGCCCACACACUCACACUAGUCUAUUUUCAAGGGCGACCUGCCCACACAUGUUCAUCAUGGUCUAUUUUUAGGGGCGACCGACCCACACACUCACAUGGUCUAUUUUCUUGGGCGACUUGCCCUCACACUCACAUUGGUUUUUUUUUUUGAAAAUUUCCUAAUGGUAGGGUUCUUCUCACUUUUCUUUUCGUUUCAGGGUCACAACAAUGAUUCUCUUUUAUUAUCAGCUCAAUGAUUCUUGUUUUCUCUCUUUUUUUCUUUUUUUUAAUCUUGCUGGACUUUUUUUUUUGGAUUUUAUUGUAACAAAUAAACAUAUGUGUGCAAUGCAUGCAUCCUUACCUGAUUUGAAAUAUAGGUCCCCCCCUCUUUGAUGUUCAGUCGUCAUAGGGUGCCUUUGUUUGCUAACCAAAGCCUUCUUUGCUCUUCCCAUGUACUGGCUCAUUCGUGUGCUAGCCUUCCACUCAGAUGUAAGUGCAGUGCCCAUCUUGGGCUGUCCACGAUGAUUACUGCUCUCGGUUGUUCUCAAGCUUGACCAUGCUUCCAAGUGUGGUGUUGCUCGAUUCAUCCUGAAGGAGUUGAACAAAUCAUCCAUCUCCUAGAUUCUCUUAAAAAUUGUCCUUUGAUUUGGUGUGCGUGUUUUGUCAACACCCCUCAAGAGGUUUUCUGGUGUUUAACCUCAUUUUAGAUUGUCAAUCAGUCAUGGACUUGCCCCCAAUUGAAACAUACCAUUCAAGUAUAUAUGGUCACCAUCCUUCAUGGAACUGCCAAGUCAUCCAGACAUGGAUCUUAUACUUUGCAAUAAAAGGCUCAUCGUUGUAAGCUUAUUGUUCUUCUUCAUGGUUCUUCUCAGCUCGUCAAAUCAGAUCAUGAAAAGAAAUGUAUUGGCAUCAUCAAUGAUGUUUAUUUUAUCACCCAUAUUCAUGUGGUAAAGUGCACUUUUGAUCUUCAAAACAGAUGGUCUCACAAUCAGUCCUGAUGGUGUGUAUCUUUUCAACAUUCAUAACAUUCAGUCGUGUGUCCACAUCGGUCGAUAACCAUGUUUAAGAGGUAAACCCAGAUAAAGAUGUCCUUCAAGUGCAAUUGCACUCUCAUUUGCUGCUAGAGUUCACUAGAUCUUGACUGUCUUUGAAUAAUAUUGCCCCCAGUGUGAUCUGAAUGUGUUUGUUCAUUGAUUAUCUUUCUUUGAGCCAUAUUGUCCUCCGUUCACAGAUUCUUCAUUUAAUCAUCUUUCUUUACCCCCCAGCUGAUCUGAAUACCGCUUGUUUUUUCUUUUUAGGGUCCACUGUAUUGCCCCAAGGUGUCUCAACUUUUCAAGGAGUGUUGAGAAGAGUUGAUGUCAUUUCAUGUCAAGGAUUCCGCAGACUCAAUCAAUGUUCUUCUUUGUUCGACAAUCUUUCUUGUUCUGGAAUCAAAUCUCAUACUUCAAAGGUCAUGUCUAUUCAAGUCUAAUUGUUGAAAUGAAAUCAGAGAGAUAUCACUUUUGGAAAAGAUCUUUUAAAAAUCAAGUUUUUUUAUCAAAGACCCAACACACAUCAUUCAAUGUAGUAAUCUUUUCGUUGUCUUGUAUUUUGAAAACAGAAAUUGACCCGUUGCAAGAUUAAAAUGGCCUUUCCCAUGGUUCUUUGUGUCCACUUUAAACUAUGAUUUUGGGUAUAUCUUUUUGAUGGUCUGUGAUGAGGUGACAUUUUUGUGAAUUUCACAAACAAGAUGCUCAGGUUUUAUCAAGAAAGGUUGUUUCUUUUCUUAGCAUUCAUUUUAUCAACAUGCAUAAUAACCUAUAGCUUAAUUCAUGAAGUCACGACCCUUAUAGAAAAGCUCUUCUAGUUUUGAGAGCGCCAUUUAUUGGUUCAGAUUGCUUACUUGAUCAAAAAGGGCUUUUAAAAGCAUGUAAUGCAGGCUAUGGUUCAUGGCUAUGAAAGAAAGGGAAAUUCACAGGCUCAAAAAAAGUGUUUGAGGGUUUCAAAGACUUAGGAUCAACAUCAACUAUUCAUCAAUUCUCUUUCUCUUGUUGUCUUUGUAGAGAAAGUGACAUAUAACCUUGUUAACCUCAAAGAUCAGAAUUCUCUUAACAUAGGUCAUAAAUCAAAUCCAACUUCUUCCUUGAUGAAUAACCAAUCUACUCAUUAGAGGCUUUAUCAUUGAUACCAAAAGACAAUAUUUGUAACUCAAUUUUUUUUUUUCUGGUAUUGACUUUUGGCUUAUGCUGUGUCUUUUCUUAAUUGAAACCUCUUUUGCUCUUUUUAGACUUGAUAGGCGUUCUCCUUCCUUAAUCGUUGACUUGCCUUUAAUUUUUUGUUUUUUUUUUUCAUAACCUUCCUCAAAGUUUUCUCACAUGCCCCCAGUCUAUGGUUUCCUUCUUUUAGCCUUCUCUUAAUUGUUGGACUUUUUUCUUAGCCUUCCCCCUUAUCCAUUGAUUCUAACAUUGUCUUCAUCUUUGCUAACAAAAAUCUCUUAUUUGCCCCUAGUGUGGGGUGUGAUCCUAGUCAGGGUUUCUUUUGAAAAGAAAUAUUUUAUCAGGCUCAAAUGGGGAUUGCAAGGGAUAUAUAUCUUUAGAAAGUGAAGGGAUGAACAAAGAUGGCCUUUUCUCAUUUCAAGCAAGGUCAGUUAGAACCAAUAAAUUUUGACCUCAUCCAGUGUAAUGAUUUGGACUUGUAAGAAUCAUGAUUCGUGAGUCCGUAACUACUGAAUCCUCUACAUGUCAUUAUGCAUACUGCUAAAAUUUAGCUACAUUAUGGGUGGUUCAGUUUCAUGUGUGAGCUCAAAAUUUGUUUGGUCACAUCUUAUUGUUUAUCUUGCCAUUUUAACAAAUAUCGAGUCAUUUCUGCAAUCAAAAUACUUUUAAUCUUUUAGGAUUGACUAACCUUAAUUUUGCAUGUUGGAGUUUGAUCAAAAUAAUUUGUCAAUAUACCCUUUGAAAGAAGCAUCUCUUGAUUUCAAAACAACAGGAAGACAAAGGAAAGACAUGUUUCAUUCAAAGAUGAGAUGUAACCCCAAAACAAAAUGCAAAAAUGGCAAAAUUCCAUAACAAAAAUGAUUGACAAUUCAGCACCAUCCUUGGAUCAGCUUUUCUGGCAAUGUUUGUGCUUGGCCAAGCAUUUUUUAUCUUUUAUCAAUCUGAGGAUGUUCUGGUGACAAUAUGGUUGAUGACAUCAUCAAACUCAACUCGUUUCUUGCUUACCACGAUCCGGUCUCGAUUCUUGAAAAUUUUGCAACUAUUCAAACGAAUGGCCCAAGACCCCACCAUGAUAUUCACAUUUCUUGUCUGGAUUAUACCACCUAGAAACAGUGGUUGUAUGGAAUUUAACGGAGUCGAGGCAACAAGUCUGGAGUCUGACAUAUGCUGGUAGACAAAGUCGAGUGGCGGAGAUAUGUCAAUCUUAGAAAAGAUAUUUGAACAGCUGAUGCUACAGUGAGACAUGGCUAAAUCAUAUAAAUAACAUUUUCCACCUUCAGAGUUAUCUUCCGAUUCAUCUCUCAUCAUUGUUCUGGAAUCCAUGGCAGAACCUUCAAUCUUUCCCCUCAUUAUAGCUUGUUCAACUCUUUUAGCAAUCCUCACAAUCUUAUGCCAAUCUUUUUUUUUUUUUGCUUGUUGUGGUUGUUUGAAGAUUGGUGGAAACCUUUCAAGGUUGUUAAGUAUCCUGGUAGCGCACAAAAACUUGCAGUACCACCACUGCCGACGUGCGGAAUCACGCGUUGUCUCAACUGGAAGAGAACUUGCUGAAUUUAAAACUCUUCUGUCUCAUCUUCGAUUGCUCAUAGACAGUGCAACAAACAGACACCUGUAGAGGGAGUUCUCCUUUAUUGCAGUUUCAGUCUUCUUCUUGUCUUUCAAUUUAGGUCUGUCUCUUCUCCCUACUUUUGUGUUUUGAUUCUAACACUAGUAGGAGAAAAUUAUAGAUGAUUUGAAACUACUGCAUCCCUUCUUGGAUUCUCCACUUGCAGAUCCACAAACAAAUUUCUGUAGAGAGAGCUCUGCCACGUGGAAGUUUGAUGUCUGCUCAUGUUUGUCAGACCGGGUCCGGCUCUUCUGCCUACUACAAUGUUUUGCUGGUGCCACUGGUGGGAGAAAGUUUCAAUGCAUAUACAACUACUACAUCCUCGCUUGCAUUCCCCACUGGCAGAAUAAAAAACAAAUCUCUACAGAGAGAGCCUGCCACAUAGAAGUUCAGUGUAUAAUCAUGGUUUUAAUUUUUUUUUUUUUAAGACCAACAUCUUGUGCCACUGAACUGGAAUUGAGCUCAAAGUGGAGGUAACUUCAAAGAAGACUAAUGCACCAUGCACCGAAAGCUAACAAUUAUUUGGUGCCAUUAGAAGAUGUGGAGGCGAUGAACAAUUAACAGUGCAACUGAACAAGAACAAAGGCUGUCAUUAGCUGAUGACUGAAGACAUUGCUGCUGUUGUUCAUUACUGAAAAGGAGAGGUGCAACUUUAAUUGGACUGGACAAGUAGUGUUCCCACAGAAGACUGUGCAGACAUUCCAUUUCCAUUUGAUGCUCAACACUUGUUCAAGCAGAUCUGAGUCUAGCUACUUCACCUUUAAUACUCUUAACUUCAUUUUGAUAAUGAGCCUCUAUCUGAUAUCUUUCUUCAUUUCGAUCAUCUUUUUUCAAUCACGUGUAGCACAGCUUGUGUGGGGGAACCUAUCUUUCAACCCGGUACAUGCAUGAUAAAUGUAUGAACAUGUAAACUAUAUGAUGAACUCGUCCUUCGAGGGGUGACAUAUGGUCGUAACUCUUGUAUGAUGAAACAAGAAUCGUGAUUCUUGCCCAAACUCUACAAUGAAAAUUUUCUGAGUGACGACCAUUGGGUCACCCACAAGUCUUGAGUUCAAGAUGCUUCAAGAAGGGUUUGCCCUGAUGCAAAUAAAAAUAGCACAUACAACCUAAGGACAAGGUCUAUUCAUUAUGUGAACAUGGGUAGGUUUUCUACCUGGUCUCAAAAGAGUCUCAUAUCUGCCUAGUGACGAUCUUCGUAAAGACAGUAUAGGGGCGUUGCAAGAAAUGGUUAAGGCACGUAUACCACCAUUACCAAGCAGGCACUCAGAUAUGAGUUCGGUUUUUCACGCAUCUGAACCCUGGCCAAUAAUCAUAGGGCAGAUCGCUAAUUCACCACCUAACUUAGAAGCUUGUGUGUGCUUUCAAAAAUAAAUACAGGUGAUGCAUGAAACAAUUCUAAAAAUGCAUGGAUAAAACAAAAAUAAAACAAGAAAAAAAUGCAAAAACUUAUAUACAUCAAAUACACAAAGCUUAGUCCAAUAUUGUUAGAAACAGUACCUUCCCCAGUGGAGUUGUCAUUCUGUCGCAUGUCAAAUCCGUGCGGCGUCGGCUGGCGAUUUUUUUCUUUUCGUUUGUUUGAUUGGUUUGUUGGGAGUCGCCACCUAGUAUUUAAUUGAGGGCAACUAGGAAACCCGGGUAUGUUGGUCUUGUCAGAGAUUCACAGGUAAGGGACUGGUUGUGGUUAGGGAAGGUAUUAGCACCCCUAACGCACCCUACAUGAGGUAAGUUACUUCGUGGCUUUGAUGUGAUAAAGAAGUUUUAAAAAUUUUGUUCUUUCAUCGGGUAUUAGAAAUACGACUUACGUGUAAAUUCAUAAUUCUUGACCGUGAUCAAAUCAAAAUAUUAAAUUCUUCUCCUCUUCCCUUCUGCACCGGCGGUGAGAAGCAAGGUCACCUGCAAAGCCAAGAAAAUGCAACAACCAGUUGAUUUUAGUUCUGCUUUUAUUUUUUUUUUCUGUCCGUUGUUCCUUUCUUCUUCCCCAGUGGCAGAUCUGCUGCAGAGUGGCUGUUCGGUCGGCGGCUUCUGUGUAAUCUGCCAUGUUUGGGCCGCUGCGGGAGGCGAUGAGCUAGGUCUGCUGCCGACCGGUUUGUGGAAGAGACCGAAGGAGAAGAAGAUUUGUUGAAAUGGGGGGAAGCUCCGCUGGCUGAGGGGCUGGUCUUGGGUUGGUGUUGGCUAGGAGGCUUCGGUGGAAGCCGGUCAGUGCAGAUGAGGGAAGAUCCGUGGUGGUCGACGGUUAGGGAAGAGGCGGUGAUCUGUGGGCUGAAAGGCGGCGUCCUCGGUGGCGAAGAAGAGCAACAGGGAAAGGAAGGGAGGCUGAGAGGGCUGAGGGAUCUACGGCUGAGAGGGGAAAAUGGAGACUUGUGAGGGGAAGGGCCCUCUGAUUUUCAAACGAAAAUAGAGACGCGGCCAAGAGAGGGUUGAUGGAGAUCAGGGGUCAGUCCCGGUGCAGGGAAAAAGAGGGGGUUAGUGGCAAUGUGAAGUGGGGUGCUGGAAGUUGUGGUUGCUCUGGUUUUGUGUUUGGGCAAAAAAGGGGUGAACGGUUGCCAAAUGGAUGGGGGGCGGCUGCUGGCUGUUUUGGUGGAGAAAAAUCAAAAUCAGGUAGGGGCGGCUUUUUGGAAAAAAAAUAGGUUUAGGUUUAGGUUUAGGGUUUGAGUUUUUUUUUUUGGUUUUUUGUGAUUCCCUCACUUGUGUAAAAUUGACCCCCCCUCUUGUGUGUUGUGGAGACCAGUAUUUAUAGGUAAAAAUAUUGCUUGGGCCUCAAAAUUGGUCCCUCAACUUUUUUUUUUUUUGUAAAUUUGAUUUUUCUUUUUUUUUUUGGAUUUUCUUAUCAACAUCGCCUCGAAUGAGGAAAAUCAGUGAUUUUAAAAAUAACGCGUUAAAAGUCAAACGCGUUCCAAAGAUCUUCGAAAAUUUAAAUUCUUUUGAGACGAUGCUGAAAAUGCUAAAAACGAUGCAAAUAUAUUAAAAAAACUAUUUUUUGGAUUUUUUUUGUUGUUUUUCAUUAUUUUUGGAUUUUUCAACAAUUUUAUUAAAACAUGGGUCAAAAAUUGAGUAACAACAAGAUCCUUGAAAGAAGACGAAGAAGCUGACUGACGAGAGAAUGUGCGUGAUCCUAGCAGAGUUGACAGCAAAACAGUAAGGCAAGUGAUAGAUGUUCCACAAUAAAAAUUAGAAAACAAAGGUAAGGGAAGAGGAAAGAAGAGCAGAACAAAAGAAAAGAAUACAACACUAUUAUACUAAAGAAAAGUCAGCACAACAAAGUUUCAAAAAACCAAAUCCUAAACAUUUAGCAACUAAUGAAUUCUUUUAACUCCUUUGUGCAUCAUCUUUUAUGAAACAUGUAGCCUUGGAAGUGUUGAAACAUCUAGUAAAUCAUCUUUAAAGCAUAAUCAAAAUUUUCUAGGAAACCUCAUUAGCGUUCAAGUAGCCACAAUUAAAGUAAAAAAAAAAUUGAAUCUUUAAACAUGCAUCAACGCACAACAUGAACCUACUUAUGAACGUAAAAACAACCAAAGAAGGAAAUUUUUUCAGCACCCAACCAGCCACAACCAAGAGCAUAAAAUAUGAAGUCUCGAACAUCCACAAAGGAACAACAUCAUAAAACAACACAAAACAACUCAUGAAUGCACUAAUCUUUAAAGGAAAAAAAAGAGAGCUAAAAAUGACCUCAAUGGUUGGCCUUACCAGCAAAAUAAAACCACAUAAGCUCACCCAACAAAGCUGGAAACGCAGGAGAAGAGGCCCUAAAAGGCAAACAAAACCCAUAAAAAAAACAAUGUAUAAGAUGCCAAAUCUUCUGGUUAACCUAUCAAAACAAUAAGAAAAACCCAAAGAAAAAACAUCAAAUAGGGAUUGCAAGAGCAAACAAUAACCAAAAGCCAAAGAUGCAGAGCAAAUAGAUCAAACAACCGAUACAACCACCGCCCAAAAACAUUCAACAAAGAUUAGCAAAACCAAUUUUCACAGCCAUACUCACAAUCGAAAUAAAAAAUUAACAAUGAACAGAUGUUGUUAAGAGGGAAAAAAAAUAAAGAACCAAAGCCAAGAACAGCAUAGAGAAAACAACCAAAAAACAAAUGCAAGAAAGAAACCGAGAGAGCACACAGCCAUGCUUUUCAGGGCAAAAAAAAAACUAACCAUCUGUUACUCUCUUAAAGAAAAAAAAAUUAGACAACUUGACACGGUGGGAAAGAAGCUAAUAAGGGCAGUAGCUAUGAUAGCCAAAGCAAACAUGGCAGCCCAUCAUAAAACGAAGUGAAAUGGAGUGGUAAGGGUGUGCGAGAAAUAAAUAAAAAAAAGCAAAUGAAAUGAAACUGAAAAUAAGGCUUUACCAAACCUGGCUGCAUGAAGACCAUACCUAGCCACCAACCCACAGAGAAGAUGGAAUGGCCAGGCCCGAAACCAGUCCCAGAUGAAUAGGACACUCAAUCAACACUUCCUUCCCCCGACACAAAUUAUAAUCUGAACAACUUGCCAAAUUGAAGCGCUUUUCAUUGGCAAUCUUUACAGUGCACCAAUCCAGGAAUGAAUGACCUGCAAAUCAGAGAAAAAAAAGCCACAUCAGCAACGAGAUGUCUCACAAAAGCAAGCCAAAAACUCAAUCGAAAAAGAAAAAGGAGAAGGGCUGAGAAGCUGCAGGUCAAGAAUCUCUUACACUUCUUUGAGUUCUAAUAGUCUUAUAGGUCAAAUUCUUUCAUCCAUUUCAAACUUACAAAACCUGUGGCACCUUAACUUGUCCAGAAUUGAGCUCUCAAAUCCUUUGUCAGUUAUUCAAGGUAGGGGUUUUCCUCGUCUAUUAUCAAAAGACCUGACUUACAACAACCUCAGUUUAGGGUUAGUUCUUGAUUGGAUCAAAGAUAAAGAACUUUCAGGUGUUCAUCUAGCUAACUGUAAACUCAAAGAAAACCUUUCAAAAUUUACAAGACCAGAUCCUUUGAGCUCUUGAGACCUAUCUGAUAACUUUUUAAUGGAUAGCAUUAGUGGUUUCUUCACCAACAUGUCUAAUUUGCUAAAGCUCAAGCUGUCACAUAGCCAAUUAAAGUUUGAUAUUUUAGAGAUACAUCCUCAGUGGAGCUCAAAUGAAAUCAGCUUAGUGGGUUGUCGCACGUCACCCGCGCGGCAUCGGCUGGCAAGCUUUCGUUAAUGUGUUUGCUUUAGUUGGUUCGUUGGAGUCGCCACCUAGUGUUUUAUUGAAGGCUACUAGGAAACCGGAAGUACUGGUCUUGUCAGAGAUUCACGGGUAAGGGACUAGUUGUGGUUAGGGAAGGUAUUAGCACCCCUAACGCACCCUACCUGAGGUAAGCUGCUUCGCGAAUUUGAUGUGUUUAAAGAAGUUUUAAUAAUUGUUUUUUCAUCGGAUAUUAGAAAUACAACUUACAUAUAAGUUAAUAAUUCUUGACCGUGAUCCAAUCAAAAUAUUAAAUUCUUCUUUAAUCUUUGUAAUUUUAUCAUAAAAAAAUAUAUAAAAAAAAAUAAAACAAAUUCAAACCCACACAUUCACUUUUACUAUAUUUUUGUUUCUUUUCUUUUCUUUUCUUUUUCCUUUUUUUGCUUCCAUAUUUACAAAAUACAAAUUACAAAAACUCAAAACUAAACAAAUAUUACAUUAAACAAUUUGGAAAUUACAAAAAUGACCCAAAACAACCCGGAACAGUGUCAGGCCGACUUCUGGAGCUGCUGGAACAAUGGUGGCACGUUGCUCCACUCGCCACCGCCACUGACGGCGCGUGGAUUCACGCACCGCCGCCAAUGAAGGUGGCAGAAACCGGUGGAUCGGGAACCUCUUCCUCUUCUCUGUCUCCCUACGCCGGCAGUGACCUGCAGCAACAACAAAAACGCAACAACCAGUUGAUUUUAGUUUUUAUUUCCUUUGUUUUUGUUCUGCUUCGGUUUUUUCUUCUUUUUGUCAGAUCUGGCUUCUACUUCUCUUCUUCUCGGUUUCGGAUCCGCUUCUUUCUACAGAUCGGUCUGUUAUGUGUUUCUUCUUCUUCUCCUCUACAUUCAGGUGGUGGCGGAGUUGUGGGUGUCGCCGCUGUGGUCCAGGCGUUGAUGAUUUUCGCUCCUCUUGGUAGAUCUGGCGGUGGCCGUGGAAGGAGCGCCGGAGUCCGGUCGGUGCAAAGGAGAGCUGGUGGAUGAGGAAGGGGACGGUGUCUGUGGGUGCUGCUGUUGUCUGCCGCUGGGUUCUUCGGUGGGAGGAGGCUGUGAACGGGACUCCUGCUACUGCUGUGUGGCUUGAUGGAGGGAAAUCGGAGAGCUUGAGAGAGCGGGGCUCUCGGGUGAAGAAGGAGAUGGGGCGAUGGGUGUUAGGGAGAAGAAGAUGNNNNNNNNNNNNNNNNNNNNNNNNNNNNNNNNNNNNNNNNNNNNNNNNNNNNNNNNNNNNNNNNNNNNNNNNNNNNNNNNNNNNNNNNNNNNNNNNNNNNNNNNNNNNNNNNNNNNNNNNNNNNNNNNNNNNNNNNNNNNNNNNNNNNNNNNNNNNNNNNNNNNNNNNNNNNNNNNNNNNNNNNNNNNNNNNNNNNNNNNNNNNNNNNNNNNNNNNNNNNNNNNNNNNNNNNNNNNNNNNNNNNNNNGGAAAGGGGGCAGUAGCUUCGUCAAGGGGCGGCUGGUUGCUGUUUGGUAGAGAUAGGUUUUAGGUUUAGCUUUAGGGUUUGGUUUUUUUUGUGUUUUCCCUCUAUAUGUAAAAUUGCCCCCCCUCCCCCUUUUUGUGUGUUGUAGAGACUAGUAUUUAUAGGUAAAAAUAUUGCUAGGUUUUCAAACUUGUUCCCUCAACUUCUUUCUUUUUUGUAAAUCUGAUUUUUCUUAUUUUUUUGGAUUUUUCUUAUCAACAUCGACUUGAAUGAGGAAAAUCGGUGAUUUUAAAAAUAACGCGUUCAAAAAAAACUUUGAAAAUUUAAAUUCUUUUGAGACGAUGCUAAAAAUGCUAAUAACGAUACAAAUAUAUAUAAAAAAGUAUUUUUUGGAUUUUCGUUGUUUUUAGCUAUUUUUGGAUUUUUUCUGAAAAUUUAUCAAAACAUGAGUCAAAAAUUGGGUAGCAACAGAUGCCCCCUCUUUACAAUGCUUACGAAGCAAAACUCCUCAAUGUUUUGCGUAGUAAGCUUUGUAAAGAAAACCUGUCUUUUUGUCUUCCUAACUUGCUCAAUAUCCACUCAUCUAAAGACCCCCCCUCUUUUUUUUUCUUUUUUUUUCUUUCUCUUUUCCUUCUCCUUUCUUUUCCUUCUUUCUUUCCUUCUCUCUCUUUUUUUUUUGUUAACCUCAGAUCCCAUCCGGCGAUCCCCUUUAACCAGAACCAAUAUCCUGCGUGGUUGGGCUAACCUGAGAUCCCGUCCGUCGAUCCCCUUGAACCAAAACCAAAAUCUGUGUGGUUGGGCUAACCUGAGAUCCCGUCCGACGAUCCCUUUUAACCAGAACCAAAAUCUGCGUGGUUGGGCUAACCUGAGAUCCCGUCCGGCGAUCCUCUUUAACCAGAACCAAUAUCCUGCGUGGUUGGGCUAACCUGAGAUCCCGUCCGGCGAUCCCCUUUAACCAGAACCAAAACCUGUGUGGUUGGGCUAACCUGAGAUCCCGUCCGGCGAUCCCCUUUAACCAGAACCAAUAUCUUGUGUGUGGUUGGGCUAACCUGAGAUCCCGUCCGGCGAUCCCCUUUAACCAGAACCAAAAUCUGCGUGGUUGGGCUAACCUGAGAUCCCGUCCGGCGAUCCCCUUUAACCAGAACCAAUAUCCUGUGUGUGGUUGGGCUAACCUGAGAUCCCGUCCGGCGAUCCCCUUUAACCAGAACCAAAAUCUGCGUGGUUAGGCUAACCUGAGAUCCCGUCCGGCGAUCCCCUUUAACUAGAACCAAUAUCCUGUGUGUUCUUCCUGAUGGCAGGGUUUGAACUUUCUUCUCUUGUUUUGAGAAUUUCCUAAUGGUAAGGUUCUUCUCAUUUUUCUUCUUGAUGAUAAGGUUUGAUUAAACUUUUCACUUGAUGCUUUUUUUCUUUUUAUGUUUUUGCAGGACUGACAUCUGUCCUUCCUAAUUGCAAGGUUGACAUAUGUCCUUCCUGAUGACUGAAAUUAACUGGAUUUUUCUUGAUGACAAGGUUGGAAAACUUGGUGCUUCCUGAUUGCAGGGUUGACCUGAAGACUCCUCAUGAUGACAAGGUUGAUCUUCUCAUUUCUUUGAGAUUUUCCUAACAGCAAGGUUUAUCUCAUCUUCUUCCUGUUCCAAGGUCACAACCAUGAUUCUCUGUUAUUAUCAGCUCAAUGAUUUUUCUUCUUCUUUUUUUCUUUUUAAAUCUUGUUGGACUUCUUUGAGAAUUUUCCUGUAACGAAUAAAAAUAUGUGUGCAAUGCUUUGAGGUUAGAUGACAUGCAUGCAUCCUUACCUGAUUUGAAAUAUAGGUCCCCCCUCUUUGAUGUUCCAUCGUCAUAGGGUGCCUUUGUUUGCUAUCCAAAAGCCUUAUUUGCUCUUUCCAUGUACUGGCUCGUUCAUAUGCUAGUCAUCCACUCAGUUGUAAGAGUCGUGCCUAUCCGGGCAGUCUUCGAUGAUUACUGCUCUCGUUGUUUAUUAAGCAUGAGUGUGCCCCCAAGUGUGGUGUUGCUUGAUUCAUCACGAAUGAGCUUAACCGAUCAUUCAUCUUUUGGAUUAUCCUGAGAAUUGUUCUCUCAUUGAUUGUGCGCAUCGUGCCGACACCCAUCAAGAUUGUCAAUCAGUCAUGAACUUGCCUCAAGUUGAAACAAUACUCUUCAAGUAUAUGUUAUCACCAGCCUUCUUGGAACUGCCAAGUCAUCCAGACAUGCAUCUUAUAGCUUGUAGUAAAAAGCUCUUUGUUGUAUGCUCAGUGUUCUUCUCAAUGGAUUCCUCUUAUCUUGUUGAAUCAGAUUGCGAAAAGAAAUGUUUGGCCUCAUCAAUGAUGUCCAAUUUAUCACCCAUAUUCAUGCCGUGAAGUGCGCCUUUGAGCUUCAAAACAUAUGGUCCCACAGUCAGUCUUGGUGGUGUGCAUCUUUCUGACAUUCAUUCAAAUGCAACUAUGCGAUAACAUCUGUUAUAGCCAUGUUUCAAAGGAUAACCCCAAAUGAAGAUAUGAAGAUGUCCUUUAAGUGCAACAUUGUUCCACAAUCAGUCUUGGUGGUGUACAUCUUUUCAACAUUCAUUUACAUUCAAUCGUGUGUCCACAUCGGUCGAUAACCAUGUUUAAGAAGUUAAACCCAGAUAAAGAUGUCCUUCAAGUGCAGCACCACUCUCAUUUGCUGCUAGAAUUCACUAGAUCUUGACUAUCUUUGAACAAUAUUGCCCCCGGUGUGAUCUAAAUGUGCUCGUUCAUUGAUUAUCUUUCUUUAAAACAUAUUGUCUCUCGUUCACCGAUUCUUCAUUUAAUCAUCUUUCUUUGCCCCCCCAGCUGAGCUGAAUACUGUUUGUUUUCUUCUCAGGGUCCACUGUAUUGCCCCAAGGUGUCUCAACUUUUCAAGGAGUGUUGAGAAGAGUUGAUGUCAUUUCAUGUCAAGGAUUCCGCAGACUCAAUCAAUGUUCUUCUUUGUUCGACAAUCUUUCUUAUUCUGGAAUCAAAUCUUAUACUUCAAAGAUCAUGUCUAUUCAAGUCUAAUUGUUGAAAUGAAAUCAGAGAGAUAUUAGUUUUGGAAAAAAAUCUUUUAAAAAUCAAGCUUUUUGGUCAAAGACCCAACACAUGUCAUUCAAUGUAGUAAUCCUUUCGUUGUCUUGUAUUUUGAAAACAGAAAUUGACCCGUUGCAAGAUUAAAAUGGCUUUUUUUUUUCAUGGUUCUUUGUAUCCACUUUAAACUCUGAUUUUGGGUAUAUCUUUUGCUGGUCUGUGAUGAGGUGACAUUUUUGUGAAUUUCAAAAACAAGAUGCUCAGGCUUUAUCAAGAAAGGUUGUUUCUUUUCUUAGCAUUUAUUUUAUCAACAUGCAUAAUAACCAGUAGCUUAAUUCAUGAAGUCACAACCCUUAUAGAAAAGCUCUUCCAGUUUUGAGAGCGCCAUUUAUCAUUUCAGAUUGCUUACUUGAUCGAAAAGGGCUUUUAAAAGCACGUAGUGCAGGCUAUGGUCCAUGGCUAUGAAAGAAAGGAAAUUCACAAGCUCAAAAAGGUGUUUGAGGGUUUCAAAGACUUAGGAUCAACAUCAACUAUUCAUCAAUUCUCUUUCUCUUGUUGUCUUUCUAUGGAAAGUGACAUAUAACCUUGUUAACCUUAAAUAUCAGAAUUUUCUUAACCUAGGUCAUAAAGCAAAUCCAACUUCUUCCUUGAUGAAUAAUCAAUCUAAUCAUUAGAGGCUUUAUCAUUGAUACCAAAAGACAAUGUUUGUAACUCAGUAUUUUUUCUGGUAUUGACUUUUGGCGUAUGUUGUGUCUUUUCUUAUUUGAAACCUCUUUUGCUCUUUCUAGACUUGAUGACUUGAUAGGCGUUCUCUUUCCUUAAUCUUUGACUUGCCUUUAAGUGUUGGCAAUUUCCACUCUCUCCUUUUUUUUUUAUAUAGCCUUCCUCAAAGUUUUCUUACAUGCCCCCAGUCUAUAUCUUUUUCUUUUAGACUCUUCCCAACCGUUGGACUUUUGUUCUUAGCCUUCCCCUUAUUUAUUGAUUCUAACAUUGUCUUCAUCUUUACUAACAAAAAUCUCUUAUUUGCCCCCAGUGUGGGGUGUGAUCCUAGUCAGGGUUUCUUUUGAAAAGAAAUAUUCUAUCAGGCUCAAAUGAGGAUUGCAAGGGAUAUAUAUCUUUAGAAAGCAAAAGGAUGAACAAAGAUGACCUUUUCUCAUUUCAAGCAAGGUCAGUUAGAACCGAUAAAUUUUGACCUCAUCCAGUGUAAUGAUUUGGACUUGUAAGAAUCAUGAUUCGCGAGUCCACAACUACCGAAUCUACUACAUGUCAUUAUACAUACUGCUAAAAUUUAGCUAUAUUGUGGGUAGUUCAAUUUCAUAUGUGAGCUCAAAAUUUGUUUGGUCACCUCAUAUUUUUUAUCUUGCCAUUUUAACAAGUAUCGAGUCAUUUCUGCAAUCAAAAUACUUUUAAUCUUUUAGGAUUGACUAGCCUUAAUUUUGCAUGUUGGAGUUUGAUCAAAAUAUUUUGUCAAAAUACCCUUUGAAAGAAGCAUCUCUUGAUUUCAAAACAACAGGAAGCCAAAGGAAAGACAUGUUUCGUUCAAGGAUGAGAUGUGACCCCAAAACAAAAUGCACAAUGGCAACAAUCCACAACGAAAUGAUUGACAAUUCAGCACCAUUCUUGGAUCAGCUUUUCUAGCAAUAUUUGUGCUUUGCCAAGCAUUUUCGAUCUUUUGUCAAUCUAAGGAUGUUCUGAUGACAAUAUGGUCGAUGACAUCAUCUUUCACAAACUCAACUCGCUUCUUGCUCACCAUCAUCCGGUCUUGAUUCUUGAAAUUCUUGCAACUGUUCAAUUGAAAUGGCCGAGGUACGUACAACGAUAUGAACAUCUCGUCUGGAUUAUACCAUCUAGAAAACAGUGGUUGCAUGUGAUUUAACGGAGUCAAGGCAACAAGUCUAGAAUCUGGGCAGAUGCUGGUAGACAAACUUGAGUGGCAGAGGGAUGUCAAUCUUGGCAAAGACAUUUGAGCAGUUGAUGUUAUGACAAGACCUGACUAGGCAAAAUAACUGAGGUUUCUCAAUUGAGAGUCAUCUUCUGAUUCAACUCUCAUAACUGUUCUGGAAUCCAUGGUAGAUCCUUCAAUCUUUCCUCUCUUCAUAGCUUGUUCAAUUCCUUCGGCAAUCCUUACAGCAGCAUGAUGUCAAUCCUCCAAUGUUGUUAUGGUUGUUUGAGGAUUGUUAGAACCUCCUAACAGCUAGGUAAUCUUGGUAGCGCACAACACUACCAUUGCCGACACGUGGAAUCAUGCAUUGUCUCUACUAGAAGAGAAACUGAUGAAUCUGAAACUCUUAAGUCUCCUCUUUGAUUCCUCACUGGUGGUGUAACAAACAAACACCAAUAGAGGGAGUUCUGCUCUGUUGAAGUUUCAGUCUUCUUCAAGGUUUUCAGUUUAGGCAUGUCUUUUCUCUCUACUUUGGCGUUUUAAUUCUGACACUGGUAGGAGAAAAAUCAAAGAUGAUCUGAAACUACUGUAUUCCUUCUUGGAUUCCCCACUAGCAGAUCCACAAACAGAUCUCUGCAAAGAGAGCUCUACUACAUUGAAGUUUGAUGCCUCAAUUCCCUUUAGACAAUAACCCUCUUAUCGGACCCCAUUCUUUGUUUCCCAACUUUUCACAAUCCAGUAAAGAAGACCUCGGGUGAGGGAACCAACUUUUCAUCCCGGUGCAUGUAUGACAAAUGUAUGAGCAUGUAAUCUAUAUGAUGAACUCGCCCUUCGAGGGGUGACAUAUGGUCGUAACUCUUGUAUGAUGAAACAUGAAUCGUGAUUCUUGCCCAAACUCUACAAUGAAAAUUUUCUGAGUGACGGUCAUUAUGUCACCCACAAGUCUUGAGUUCAAGAUGCUUCAAGAAGGGUUUGCCCUGAUGCAAACAACAAUAGCACAUAUAACCUAAGGAUAGGUUCUAUUCAUUAUGUGAAUAUGGGUAGGUUUUCCUGGUCUCAGAAGGGUCUCAUAUCUGCCCAGUGACGAUCUUCGUAAAGACAGUAUAGGGGUGACACGACCAAAAGAUUGAUGUCUUCUCCCAAGUGCAGGAGUGUCGAAGUAAUAAAUAACCCGGCAAGACCAGGGUCGAACCACAAGGAGGUUAAUUGUAUAAAUUAUAGAUAACAACAACAAUAACAACAACAAUAACAACAAUAAUAAUAAGUUAAAUAGAGCUUUGAGAUGUGAUAUUGAUGUAAGGAUUAAACAAGGAUAAAACAAUUGUCAAGGUUAGAGGAUCCACUAAUGGUAUUUCAAACAAGUAUAGUAUAAACUCUUUUUAUUACUCAACUGGAAACCACACACAAAGGAGGUUCCAAUCGGAUUACAAAUUGUUAACAUGAUUACAUUAGUUAUCUUAUUCGAAUAAAGCUAAUACUUGUAAAUGUUGUCAGGCAUUCAUGAUUAUAACUUAUGUUAACAACAAAUCAAGUUCCUUUCAUAGCUCAGGUGUCAGUUAUACCAUACAGUAUGGGCUAUGAAAGUGUCAAGUAUUUGUUGUAUCAAGUGUUAUACAACAUAAAUCUAGAUUAACCAUUUAACAAGCAAAGUAUUAAAAGUAAACAAGAUAACAAAUAUAAAGCAUGUUAGUAUCCAACAUUAAGGUCCAUGUUAAGUUUAUAUUAUACUUAUUAUUACACCAUUAGUGUACCCUUUUCACCUUGACAUAAUUAACUUAGCAACACAUAAUGAAAGAAAGAAACAUAAAUAAACAAGGAAAUGAAAUGAAAAGCAUAAGCAAGAAAUUAAUAUAAGCAAAACUUAAGCAUUACAAAACAUAAAGAGAGAGUAAGAGCAUGAUCUCGAUCUGAACACCAAGAUGCCUAAAUACAUGGCAAAUGCCUCCUUUUAUAGGCCAAAAUUCGGAACUAUUGAUUUGUUGACUAAUUGAUGAAUGGGUGGCCACAUCUUGACUUGGUGACAAUUCUUAUCUUCUUGUCUGCCAAAAAGGUCAUUGAUAACGUCAUAAUUUGAACAGACUUCAAUCAUGAAAGUUCUAGGAAAUUGUCUCAUAUUUCAAGGGUAAAAAUUUGAGAUCAUUUGGACUUCUAGAACUUGAGAUAUGGGCUGAACACUGAAUAGUGUAUGGGCUGCAGGACAGAUUCAGACUUCUUCGUUGUUGCUACAAUUUGGACUUGAAAACAGCCUUGUUAAAUCUUGGGCUCCUCAUGAAAGUUGUAGGUCUAUGUCUUACCUUUCCAUCCAUAUAAAGUGGACCUAAAGAUAUGACCCGAUUACCGAACAAUGUUCCAGUUUGGACUGCACCAACAUCUCUUUUCUAAGUUUGGCCAUCUCUUUGUCCUUUCAAUUUCAGUACUUCAACUCAUCAAUCAAUUCUUUCAUUUAUGUGAUAGGCCUGCAUUUAAGAUGAACAUUUACCAUAAAUUAAAGGUAUCUUAUAUUAUUAGAUAUGUUAUUAUAAAACAUGCUUUCGUUAAGGAGUUAUUGAUACUUCAAGUGCAAAAUGAUGAUAUAAAACCUUGAUAAAAAUGCACUUUUAAGUACAAAUCAAGGGGCGUUGCAAGAAAUGGUUAAGAUAUGUAUACCCACCAUUACCAAGCAGGCACUCAGAUAUGAGUUGGGUUUUUCACGCAUUUGAACCCUGACCAAUAGUCAUAGGGCAGAUCGCUAAUUCACCACAUAACUUAGAAACUUGUGUGUGCUUUCAAAAAUAAAUAAAGGUGAUGCAUGAAUAAAACAAACAUAAAACAAGACAAAAUUGCAAAAACUAAAACACAUCAAAUACACAAAGCUUAGUCCAAUAUUGUCAGAAACAGUACCUUCCCCAGUGGAGUCGCCAUUCCGUCGCACGUCACCCGCGCGGCAUCGGCUGGCGAGCUUUCAUUAAUGCGUUUGCUUUAGGUUGUUCGUUGGUUCGUUGGAGUCGCCACCUAGUAUUUUAUUGAAGGCUACUAGGAAACCGGAAGUACUGGUCUUGUCAGAGAUUCACGGGUAAGGGACUAGUUGUGGUUAGGGAAGGUAUUAGCACCCCUAAGGGCGAGAAAAUCCAUUGAAAAACAACACCAAUGUAGAAAUUAAAGUUUAAAGAUGAUCCAAAAAGCGCAGAUAAAAAAAAAAGAAUAGCAACCAAAUUUGAAACUGGAUCAACACAAGCUCACGAAAACCACAGAUGAAGCCAUUCGAAUGAAAAGCUCCAAGAGAAGCAACCAAGAACCCACCACUCUAAACUACAGAAACAGGGGAAAGGCAGAGAAAGAUAAGAAAAAGAUGCAAAGGCAAUACAUAAACAAAUGAAAGGCUUGGAAAGAAGUAAGGGGACAACUAGAUCCAAAAUGGAUGAAGCUGGCGGCUUAUCACCAAAAUAGUAAUACCUUAAUUUAGGGAUGGAUGUGAAUUAUUGCUUGUAUGCGAUGUUACUUCUAUCAUUUCAUUUUAGACUUCUUCCUCAACAUUUAGGAAUUCAAUUUUCAUUAAGCUAUGUAUAUUGACAAUUGAGGUGAAAUUCAAUAUUCCACCUAAUGCUCAGAAAGAUGGGUCGAAACUGUCAUGAACAUCACCAAAAAUGUUCAAAACGACUUCUUUCUAAACCAUUUUCCUCUUCCAUCUGCCUUCAAACCAGUAGUUCAUGACCAGGUCUGUGUACCUGUAUUUAGAUAGUACACACUCCACACUUGAUGCAUUUGCACAAACUAAUUGCUUCAUAUAUUUUAGGCAAUUAUAAUAAUAUUUACAAAUAUUUCUGCCUGCGGUGUCCUCUACACUUGAUGAGAGAACAUAAAUGCCAAUUAUGGCCCUCGUAAAACAAGAAAGAAAACAACCAAAAACAUGCCUUGACUCUUUUCCUGCAAAUUGUCGUCAGCAGCAAAGAAAAUUAUCUUUGAAAACCAUGGUCAAAUUUCAAAUAUAAGAACACAGAGAAAUGCACAAACGAGGAAAAGUAUUAGAUAAUAAAUAGAUCACACUUCAAGAUUACAAGUAAUAUUCUCAUUGUCAUUUACAAAGGCUUCAGCCUCUGGCACCUGUGUGACUAUCAUGCCCAUCUACAACCCUGGAAGUGCAAUUUGUUGCCUUCCUGAUAAGUUUAAUGAGAUUAAAGUGGCUGUCAAGUAAAGAGUAGCCAUUUGAAGAUGAAAUAUUGAAUGGUAAUGCUCUUUCAAAUUUUAACCCUAAAAGCCGCUUCCGUAGGCUUGAACGCUAGGCAUAAUGACACCCAAGAUUAAGAAUAUCAGACGAUACAAGAAAAUUGCAGAACAAUAGCAAAACAAAUUGCUAACAUAAAAAUGAAGUAGUACCAUAAACCUGACAUGUUACUCCUGAAAACAACAGGUAGAACAGAAAUGGUAAAACCAACCCUCUUCAAUCAACAGCUCGAUGGUUUCUGAGGAUACACCAGCCAUUCUUAUAUCUAACAACUUGCGGUCAAAAGGUUACAUGGAUCGAACCCACGAACCACCCUUAUCAAUCUUCUCCCACAUUUCCUGCGGACACAUCCCUAUCGCACGAGACGCGUUCCGGCAAAGAAAAUACAUCAAUGGCUCUUAAAUUUCCAGUUCAAAAGCUAGUGCCCAAUGCCUAGGUAAGAAAAGGCAGUCAAAAGCAUUGCCAUUUCGUAAAAGAUAAACUCACCUGUGAAAACAUACCUGAACAUGGGGUCUGCGAAAACUGGAGUUAGAAGGUGAGAGUUUGAGCUUCAAAGAAUGGGAAAACUUGUUCAGGUGUUUAAGCCUUGGCAACCCAUUGAUAUAAAUUCUUUCGCAAAGCACCAAAGUCCCUAGCUUUGAGUUCAUAACUCUCAAGCUAGGUGAUAUUGGCACUUUACUACUCUCACCAACAACUACAAGACCCCGAGAAACUAAAAGUACAAAUCUUUUAAAAAUAUAUAUUAAUAAUUCUGAUAAUUACUGUAUUUAAAUAUCAAAUUUCUUAGACUUUAAGGGAAAAAAUUAAGCAAAGAGAGACUAGGGUACCUAAAGAGAGUUGAAGGGGAAGGGAAGGUGGGGCAAAUAACUAAAUAUAGAAAAAAAGGAGAACGGAGAAGAUAGAAAAGGAGGUCCCAUAGGGUUUUACAGUAUCCAUUGGCUUCUGAGUUCUGGGUUUGGGGAAAGCAAUGAGGAGGAGGGUAUUUUCGCUAUUUCAGUGAGUCAAGUUCAAGUUCAAGCCUUUUUCUUUUCUUUGUUUUUUCCUAAGUGGAAGAUGAUUAUCUGUCCUUGCAAAUUAUGGGGUGGGAUUAGGCAUACCUUGACCGGUUCGGUCUAAGACUCAGUUUUUAAGUUUUGAUUGGAUUAUUAGGUUAUUCGAGUUAAUUUUUUUAAAAAAAAUCAAAACAAUAUUAUUUUAAUAAAAAAAAUAAAAGUCAACAGGUCGCAACUGAAUUUUUGAUCGCGUCUUGUCAAAUCAACCAGGUCGCAGGGUCAACCCGCCAGGUUUUUUCUUCUUCUAUUUUUUCUUUAAUCCAACCCGAUUCCAGCCACGGAUCGAUCAGGUCCCAAGUCGACCCACCAUGCCAGGCCGAGUUCAAAACCAUGGAAUUAAGGAAGUACAAUUUCAAAAAUAAUAAAAACAUUUUUGAUAUAUCAGGGAUUUUGUGAUAUUUCAUAGAUGUGGAAUAUAUACUAAGCAAACUCAUGAAUUCAAGUUAAUCACGUAAAGAUAAUUUUUCCAGACCUUUAUCGCUCCAAAUAUGUAUUUGGAUACCCGUGCGCAUUCANNNNNNNNNNNNNNNNNNNNNNNNNNNNNNNNNNNNNNNNNNNNNNNNNNNNNNNNNNNNNNNNNNNNNNNNNNNNNNNNNNNNNNNNNNNNNNNNNNNNNNNNNNNNNNNNNNNNNNNNNNNNNNNNNNNNNNNNNNNNNNNNNNNNNNNNNNNNNNNNNNNNNNNNNNNNNNNNNNNNNNNNNNNNNNNNNNNNNNNNNNNNNNNNNNNNNNNNNNNNNNNNNNNNNNNNNNNNNNNNNNNNNNNNNNNNNNNNNNNNNNNNNNNNNNNNNNNNNNNNNNNNNNNNNNNNNNNNNNNNNNNNNNNNNNNNNNNNNNNNNNNNNNNNNNNNNNNNNNNNNNNNNNNNNNNNNNNNNNNNNNNNNNNNNNNNNNNNNNNNNNNNNNNNNNNNNNNNNNNNNNNNNNNNNNNNNNNNNNNNNNNNNNNNNNNNNNNNNNNNNNNNNNNNNNNNNNNNNNNNNNNNNNNNNNNNNNNNNNNNNNNNNNNNNNNNNNNNNNNNNNNNNNNNNNNNNNNNNNNNNNNNNNNNNNNNNNNNNNNNNNNNNNNNNNNNNNNNNNNNNNNNNNNNNNNNNNNNNNNNNNNNNNNNNNNNNNNNNNNNNNNNNNNNNNNNNNNNNNNNNNNNNNNNNNNNNNNCGUAAGAUAAUUUUAUAAAAAAAAUUUAGAAAAACCUAUAAAGUAAAUUAUAUAUAUAUAUAUAUAUAUAUAUAUAUAUAUAUAUAUAUAUAUAUAUCAAAUGAUAAAAUAAAAAAAAAUACAAUCCAUGUGAACUUGUUAUUUUUAUUCAUGAUCUUGAUAUCAGUUAAUAAAUUGAUAAAAUAUAUAUUUUUAAGACAUGCAACAUUUCUAUUUCUACACUUUUUAUUUUGUUAUUUUUAUUUUAUUUUUUAUUUUUUUGGGUUGGAUUGGACCUAGCCAGCCCGGUCCGGCCACCAACCCAAGCCAGUGGCCCGGGCUGGGAAAAGUACACGUGAACUUGUUUACGCGUGCAUGGCACUGUGCAAAGGUAAUUAAAAUUACCUCCGCGCAAUGCGUUUGUUUCCCGGAAAGUGGUUUCCGGAAAACCACUUUCCAAACUUUCUUGUGUUUGUUUACCAUUAGAAAAGUUGAUCAACAGAAAAUAUUUUUCAGUCAAAUGAAAAAUUUUGCUUGGUUUUCAGAAAAGUGUUUUCCUUUUAUUUUGGGCGGAAAACACUUUCCGAAAGUUGUGAAAAAUUUAGAAAUGUUAUGUUAUUUGCUGAUUAUAUCAAAUUUGGUCCUCAAACUUUUGAUUGUUAUAUAUAUUUUGUUUUAAAUAUUUGUUUUUCAAUUUCAUCUCUUAGAAUUUAAUUUUUAUAUUAACUUUGGUCCUCAUUUUUAUAAUUGUUAUUUGCUUUUCCCUUAUUAUUUUUUAAUUGAAAAUUUUUAUUUAUCAAAUUUAGUCCUUAUUAUUUUGAUUGUUACUUAUUUUAUUUGAAAUAAUUUAUGAAAUGUUAAUUAUUAUUAUUUUAAUUUCAUCUUUCAUUUUUUUUAUUUUUUAGAUUUGAUCUCUAUUAUUUUGAUUAUUAUUUAUUUUAUUUGAGAUAAUUUAUGAAAUUAUAUUUUUUUUUUCAAUUUCAUUCUCAUUCAACCUUUUAAUUUGUAAGAUUUGUUUCUCAUUAUUUUAAUAAACUUGAAAAAAUAAAAUAUUAAUAAGUUAUUUUUCAGCUCAUUUUCCAUAACAUAAUCAAAUAUUAAAAAGUAUUUUCCAACUUAUUUUUUAUUAUACUACCAAACAUAAAAAAAAUAAAUUAUUUUUCCGAAAUUUAUUUUUUUAAAAAAACUACUUUGUAGCAAAACAAACGGCCUUAAAGAAUGCAAAAUGAAGAAACGGGCAUACCUGCUUUUGGAGACCGAAGAUGCUUGCAACGCUGAUGGAUUCUUACCUACUGCUUCCCUUUAUCUUCCUUCUAUGCUCACUUGUCUGCGUUUUCUUUUUGUUUUCUCAGCAACUUUUGAAGUCGAGAAGAUGAUGAAGAGGUCAGCCUGCUGUGAAUUUGUUUUGAUUCUGGGUCUUUCUCUGUCUGCAGGGACGAAAGCAAUAGCAAAGCCAAUACUCCUCGUUGUGUUGCUCCUUUACUUUUCCUUCUCUUUUCUGUGUUUUUUUUUUGUUUGGUUCAUGCUCUCUGCUUCGUUCCUCUCUGUUUUUGUUCCUCCUCCCUUUUGUUCUCCCCCGCGAGGUUGCCUUUACCCGGAUUUUUAUAGGGCUAGAGAUCGAUCGGCGCUAUAACGGCCGGCGGUAAUGCUGUGGGGUGCUCCAUUCAAUGGAGAAACGUCUUUACCUUUAAUGGCAGAGCCGUUGCAGAGGAAGAAAACGAGCAAACAGUAGCCUGCCAAAACGACUUCGUUUUCCAAUUCCAAAGGCUGCUUUCAAUUUGGUCCUUGGAAUUCUUGUAAUUGUGCAAUCAAGCCCCUGGAUAAAAUGUGAUUGGAUCCUUGCAUUUCUGCGCCAUUUUUAAGCUAGUCCUUGGAUUUUAAUUUUUGCAAUUUGGACCCAAUUAAACCCCAAACUUUGAUAUUUCUUCAAUUAAGUCCCUGAUUUCAUUAAAUUAAUUCCAAGCUCAAUUAAGUCUCAAAACUUAUCAAUUCUCUAAUUAAACCCUUGAUUUGAUUAAUUAAAUUAAUUCCAAAUUCAAUUAAGUCUCAAAACUUAUGAAUUCUCUAAUUAAGUUUUUGAUUUGAUUAAUUAAAAUAGUCAAGAGUUUAAUUAAUCUCUAAACUUCCAAACAUGUUGCACUUAACCUAAAUUUUAAUUCAUUCUUUAUUUAUUUUAUUUUUUAUUUGUUUUUCAUUAUUAUUUUUUAUUUUUUUAUUAUAUUUUUUGGCAAAUAAAAUAAUAAUAAUAAUAACAAUUAAAAUAAAAGGGAUAAAAAUUGAAUUAUAACAUAAGGUAAAAUAGUAACAGCACUAUUAUAGUUAAUAGUAAAAUAUGUCUAGGUAUACAUUAAUCUUCCUUUUGUUUUAGUUUUUUUUUAACCAUUGGUGUGACCUGAAGUACUGAGCUGUAGGUUUGCAUUAAUCAUUGGUGUGACCUGAAGUACUGAGCUGUAGGUUUGCAUUAAUCAUUGGUCUGAUCUGAAGUACUGAGCUGUAGGUUUGCGCUAUCGGACUGGUGCCUUCUAAUCUCGUAAUUUUAAAACCUGCACCAGUACAGCUGUAGUGGAAACUGAUUCAAUGUGCUGUUGAUGUUCCUGUUGUUUUAUUGUUGUUCGUGGAAGAGAAGGGAAUGGAAGGCAGCGCCGAAGAGGGUUUUGUGAGAGAGAUAGUGGGGGUGGGGGUGCUUUUCAAGUUCCAAUUUCUGAAAAACUCUGCAAGGCUGGUUUCCAUGCCCCACCACCAGCAUCACCAUAAUGUCUCCCCACUCCUCCUCUGCUGCUGCUGCUGCUGCUUGCACCGCCACCAUUGCUUCCCAGUCGGAUAACCUCCCGCUCCACCUGCAAAAAGAUGAAAAAGAAACACAAUAGACACGCACCAUGAGACAAUAACAACUCAGAUUUACACACCUGCACUAUUCAUUUCGCUGUUGAUUUCUUCUUUUCUCGUAGGCAUUCACAAAUAAUUUCUUUGAGAUAAAGAAGGCUACCCUGGAAAAGAAAUCGCGCAACUUUUGAUUUGUGGGUACACUCUAACUUUGUCACUUUGCGAAGGGGACAAAUAUGACAAGACCCCAUGACCAAGGACUAGCUAGCUACCUGCACUUGCCUGUAAAUAUACUUUGGACGCUCCAAUUUAUCAUCGUGGUUAGUUAAUAACUUGAGAUGAUGAUUCAAUUAUGCAAACAAAUAAAUCAUUGCAAGGUGAAAGAGUCAAUUUCUAAUUUAGACCAAAACAAUGUACUGAAAGAAGGCUGCACUUCUCUGAAAUUACAGGACAUAAACAAUAAAAACAACAAUUUCAAGAGAUAGAAAGGCUUUCCUUUUCUUGCUAAGCAAAUCGAAUUUCAGUUCUGUUUUUAUUUUUCAAUAUCAUACUAUCCACUCAAACCCUUUCUAUAAUAAAAGAAAAUCAAAUUAAUGAAAGAAUAAUUACAAGACCCGACCUGAUCUAACGAGUCAUCUGAUGACUUAUCAAACCAAAGCCUGGUCUAGGCCAAAUCAAUGAGAAAACUCAGGUUUUUUUUCUAGAUUAAGAACCCGUUUGUUAACGAGGUUGUGUCUGCGUUUUGUUUAAAACGCAGAUGCAACCCGUUUGGUAACCAAAAAAACACAUUUUACUGUGUAUGGACCCCACGUUUUUUCGCGUCCGAGACGCAGGAAAGGAAGAAGCAGCAUUUUGCUGCUUUGUGGACACUGUUCACGCUAAAUUUAAUUAGCAUGAACAGUGUAGCACACACUGUUCAAGCGUGAAUUGCACUGUUCACGUGAACAGUGCAAUUCACUUGCACUGUUCACACACUUUUUUUUUUUUUUUUUUUACAUUUAAAAAAAAAAUUAGUUUUAGAGUAGAUUAAAUUCAUUCGCACUAUGAUAUGAAUAAUAUUUUUUUCUUGAAAAACUAGUAUAUAGUGAAUUAAAUUCACUCGCACUAUAAUAUCAAUUUUAUACCUGGUAAUAUUUUAUCUAAUUUUAUUACACGCUCAAAAUAUUAUGAAAACUGUAGUUCUUAUCGGAUAAGUUUUAUACGUAAUGGAAUUAUAAAUAGUUUAAUGGAAUAAUAAAAAAUAUUUUAUAUAAAGUAUUAUUUAUUUCAUGAUGUAAUAGGAGUAAUUAAUUCUACAAUAUUUAAAUUUAAAACCAUCAAUAUUAAUAUAUAUUUUUUAAAAUUAUUUUAUAACCUUAAUUUCAAAAUCAUUCUUAACCAAACACAUUAAACUACUUUUUAUUCAACCUCAAUUUCAACCACAAUUUUAACCAAACACCUAUUUUUUCAAACCAACCACAACUAAAAAUACUUUUUUUAAAACAACUUUUUUCAAACCACAACUACAACAGCUACCGCAAUACCAAACACACUUUAACUCCCCGACCUGUGAACUAAGUAUCGGGCUGGAUUGAUUUCUUGGAUCAAGUAUAAGUAUGAAUGCAACUAUGCAAGUACUGUAUAAACUUUACCCAAAGAAAAUGCAACCAGAUGAGCAGGAUGCCUUAUAUUUAUUUUUCAAAGAAAAUCUUGCUAUCAAUCUUAAUCUUAUUUUUCAAAGAAAAUUUUUUAAGAGUUAAAUAAUGAGGUGUUUCUCAAGUUUAAAUUGGUCAACUUACGUUCUUUUUCUCAAAAUCUUAACGAGCUUUUUAUAUAUAUAUAUAUAUAUAUAUAUAUAUAUAUAUAUAUAUAUAUAUAUAUAUAUAUAUAUAUAUAUAUAAUGAAACUUUUAUUUUUAAUAAACAAAUGGAGGUGAAGCUUAGCUCGUGGAUAAAUGUUAGAUCUGCAAAACCACCUGGGUAGUGUAUAACGAGGGAGAGAAUAGUCUCAUAUAUAACCACUGAAAAUUUAUAUAAUUAUUAAUUUUAAAUUUUUUUAAAUUAAUCAAGUUACAUGCAAACUAAUCCAAAAAUACACAUUAAAAAACAAAAUAAAAAAAAGAAUGUGCCACAAAUGUUAUUUACGCGUGUCAGAAGAAGUUAAACUCCAGUUCAGCACUAUUAUUGUGGUGACUUUUCUGAAGAUACUAUAACUUAGUCCCUGUAGUUUAACAAAAGUAAUUAAUUAAUACUCAUAGUCUUAGGAAUUAUAAAUUUAAUAUUUAUAUUUUUAAAUUUUCUGAUAAUUUAGUGAUUUUAUCUAUUUUAUGUUCGUUUUAAAUUUAAUUUUUUUUUGGGAAGAAAUAGAAUAAAGAAAAUAGAAAUAAGUAAAAUGAAAAGGUGUUAUUAUGAAAUAAAGUAUUUUUGGAAUAAAAACUAUUGAAUCGAGGAUGGUCAAAAUUAGUUAAAGGUCUAUUUAAUUAUUUCUCAUGCUAUAAGAACUAAUUAAUUUUUUAUAUAUACACUUUAAGAAAUAAAUUUUAAUUAACUCGAUUUUUUAUUUAAUAUUUUUAAUUAAAUCUGUAAGACUAUAGAUUUGGGUGAUAUUAAUACAAAUGAAAAUAGGUUGCGUAAUAUAAUGUACUAUCUAGAGCCAGUCGUCCAUCUUCCCUCUUCCCCUUGAGAUGGUUAACUCUAUACAUCGACAUUAAAUGGUUUUUUGAAAUUAAACACUAGAUGUUGAUGCCAAUACUUAAAUUCAGUAUUAUUAAAUUUAGUCUAAUCUAAUUGAAAUUCAGUUUACAUCUACGUUAGAUUUAAAAACAUUAUGGGAGUGUUGACCGGUCAAAUCUAAUAACUUGAUGAGUCAAUUAAGAUUGAAUUUAAUUUUUUAAAAAAGAUUACUUUUAAAAUAAUAUUAUUUUAAUUUUUACCGAGUAAACUUAACCGACCUAUAUUCAAAGCAUUUACCUAUUACGGAAACUUAAGUUAAAUUCCGUGUUGUACCAAUAAACUAAGUGGCCUAUAUGGGCUAGAAACUAGCUUAUUUAAUCACUAGAAUUGAAAUUAAAAGAAUCUCAUUUCAUAUGUCAUGUGUAAAUCCAUGGUUUUGCAAGCAAGCAGGAAUCGAUGCCAAAGCUGUAGAUUGUAUAGAAGCAGAAGAACAGGAAUCAAUUGAACUGCUUGUUAUUUGCAGAAAUAUAUAUAGGGGAGGAUGGAAGAAUGUAAUGGAUCAUAACAUAAUCUUAUUUUUAUAUAUUGUUUAUAAUGUAAUAAGUCAUCAUAAUUCUAUUCUUUCAUUAAAAUAUAAUUUUAAAAACUAAAUAUAGAAAAAUAGUGAUCAUUGCACAACAUGAUUCAUAAUUGUAUCCAAUAAACAUAUCGUAAGUUCAUUUCAUUAACACUUUCGCAACCUUUAACUUCAUCACUUUCGUCUGAAAUAAUCCACAAUAUAAUAUCACUAGCAAAGGUUGGAGAUUCUACCAAUGGCCGAAGCCAGCAAGAUCAACAUUUCGAGUCUCUUAAUUUUACAAUUAUGUGUUUGGCAUUUUUGCAGAUCGAGUUACGUACUGGUAUUUUGCUUUGUUUAUCCUUCCAUAUUUAUCUGUUCUCGUUUUCAUUCUCAACAAGCGAGACAACUCCCAUAAAUUUUUUACAUAGGAUUGUAUCGUAACUACUCUCUGCAAUGUAAUUUAAUUCAUUUAGAUAAUUUUGUCUUCGACUAAUGAAGACGUAGUUAAAGUGGUAUGUGCACCUUGGCACUCCUAGUAUAGCGUAAACAUUAAAGGAGGGGAUCGGAGUAUUAAAUGCUAGCAUUUAGCGUAAACGUUAACUGUUUAUAUAUUUUGCGCUCGUUUGCUCCAACUUCUACUCGGCCUCUGCCCAAACUGCUUGGGCAUUUUUGAACUGGAAUCAACUCAAGAACAUGCCUGAGAGUCUGAGACACCGCAUAUAGUAUGAUUUACAGUCAAAGGCAUUCGAUCACAUGACUGCCCUCUGACCUUAUUAGUGAGACCUACAGGCCAUCAGUCCUUCCACCAGUGUUCGUCCGUUGCACCCUCUGUCCUUCUCCUUCUCCUGACCCAUCCGUUCUUUCACUGUCCCUAUUUCCCCCUCGAUUUCUAGUGGCGCCCACCACUUCUUCACGUUGAAUAUAUCGUUCAGAACGCUUCUUUAGCUCUCAUAUUGUUUCAGGCUCUUCUAAUGCCAAAGCCAUUUUGAAUUCAUUGCUAUUUAUUACAGAUAUCAUCACUGGCAACAAUAACACCAACAUUGAUACACUUAGGCCUGCAAUUUCUAAGGUCUUCAUGUAAAAUCUUAUCAUGAAAUCCCUCAGCAACUCUCGUCUUUCUUGUCAUUUACUCAUGAAUGUAAUUGUAGUCUUACUUGAUCUCCUGCUUGUCGCAAAAUGAUGUAGAGAUUCCAUGUCUGCCAUCUGAUAUAGCAUCAUCAUCAUUGGAAAGCAAUUAACAUGGUUGCUCGGAUUGGUCAGACCAUCACCAGUUUCCAAAAAAGGGAGCCUAGUGCGCGGUAGAGGAGGUACCAAUAUAUGUUUAAAAAAUGGAGACUCCCUCCAAGAGCUCCGUCCCCUUUUGCCCUGAACCUUAAUGCUUCCUUUGUCUUCUAGUCCACCAUCUUUAUCAUAAAAUCUACUAUGAAAAACAUGCUUAUAGUUCAAAAGUUACAAUUAGAAAAUUUUUUUUUCCAAUUUGCAAGAUAUCUAUAUAAAAAAAUAAACUUACAAUUCAGAGUGUGUAAGGUUAGGCCCUUAAAAGGCUAUUUGAUUUACGGCAAUUCAUGUUCUUGAACCAUAUUUUCAGAUUUCUAAGUUGUGUAAGAGCUAGCUUAAUUAAAUCGUAUUAAAGGAGAAAAGUCAGUUAUGCAUCUCCAGAAAAUAGAUUGGAGCGCAUUUCCAAGGACAAUAAUUCACGAGCCUUCUCCACGGGAUCAAUGGCUCUCAACUUGUUGGGUUAGGUCACGCUACCCAAUCUCCCCCAAAACACUCCUUUCGUAAGACAAAGCCAGGAACAAUAGUAAGGUUGAGUCCUCGGAGCACAAGCUUUUAUAGCCAUAAUUGGAACUAAAUAGAUACGAAGAAGGUUCGUAGAAAAAUUAUUUCCAUUGAAAAGCAAGCCAUCGAGAUUGGUAAAAACCCAAUCAAGCAAAGUUAUCAUCCAAUCUAAUCCCAUUUCUUAACUUCCAAUACAAUAUAUGAAUUCUUGUCAAAUGAUUCAUGAAGGGUUUUAAUGGUGCUAUGCAUGAAUUUGAAGCUUAUACUUUAUUUUAUAAUUUUAUGAUUUAUGAAUGAAGAUGUUUAAACUAAGAUUUUAAUUUUGAAAAUUGAAUUAAAGACAGGACAGGGUCUCUGUUGGAUGGAGAGAAUCCUCCAUCCGACUUUACCCUAGUGGAUCAAGGUGCGUGACGGGUUUGGAUAUUCCAGGUUAGAAGCCGAUGGACAAAACACCUGCCCUGACCCAAUCUAUCGCCAAUUUGGCAUCCCUCCCUGUAAACAUCUAACGUUAUUAUUGCAGCAUGAUCUUAAGCGGCAGAGAAUAAUUUUGGCAAAAUUUUGGAUACAAGACAAGCACUACUACAGGAAUUUAGUCACCCACCGAUCCUAAAAUUGGCCCUACAGAAAUUUGGCUGCUCUUUAAGGAAGCUUCAUGCAAAUUACCUACAUGCAGUCAUGUCAAAAUCAAAAGCAGUGAUUAUCGGAAUAAAUAUAUUAGAUAUACCAACACCACAAGUAGCGAAAAGGUUCUGCACCUUUCCUCUGCUGGAAAAAUGAUGCUCAGUUGCAUUGAGUAAAGAUCAGCUACAAUAUGUCUGUCUCGACAGAUGUUUCCAGUACUCCUAUUAACUUGUACUGCAACGAAACACCCAGUGUUGCACUUUGCUCAAGAUGCACUGAAUUGGAUGCUAAAGUUUGAUUCUAGUCUUUUAAAACCACUCCCCUGUGCGAUUUUUCUUUCUUUCUUGGUAAUUAAAUAUCAUUUCUGCUUUGCAGGCGCAUGCUUCCUACCGGUUUAAGCCUGAAACAGCCUAUCUUUCUGUCAGCUAUUUUCAUUGCUUCAUACUAUCUCGUCCUUUGCAGGUAAUGUGCUCUUAACUUAAUGAUCAUUAUAAAUUUCAAUCGUAGGAUGGUUAAUUGCUAACAACAUUGGAGCCACAUACCUUAAAGAACAAAUUAAUAGGUAUCAGAAUCAUUCUCUACUCUAACAUUAGGAUGCCCUGCCCAGAAGAUUGACAAGAUUUAGCCUGUCAAAUUCUCAUUCAAUCGUUGUUUCAUGCAGCAAGGUAAAGGAUGGCCCCUGCAGCUAUUAGCAGUAGCAUGCCUAUCUCUAGCAGCAAAAUUGGAGGAAACAAGAGUCCCAUCUCUUUUAGAGAUACACAUUAAUGAAAGAAUAGUACUGGAAAUACUAUGCUGAAAUAGAUUAAUUAAUUAACAUUUUUUUCCAAAGAGAUAGGAAUACAAAGAAAUCAAUAUCCCUGACGAAGAUAGAACAGCUUAAUAUGGAUGGGCAUGGAUGUGAAUCUUUAUCUGUAUGCAAUGCAACUUCUACUAUUUUAUAUUAGAUCUUGUUUUUUAACAUUUAAGGAUUCUAUUUUUAUGGGGUUAUAUAUGUUGAUAAAUGUUUUUCAAAGCUGAAUUUUCGAAAUGUAGAAUGACCAUUGUUCUUGGUGGAUAGAUGGUAAUGCUGAUGUACUGCAAAUUUCUGAAGAUUUAUUCUACCAUCUGUCUUGUAAUUAUUCCUUCUAUCUCUCUCUUUUUUACUCUUUUAAGAAUUUAAACAGCUGAAAUAAGUCAUAAAGGCUAUGAUAAGAAAAAUGGUUCACUUGACAAAGUCUAUUCAAACAUUAAUAAGUGACAGAAAUCUCAAAGUGAAAGCACAUGAAUCUAUAGAAAGGCUUCUGACGUACAAGUAUAUAUCAAAUGGAAACCUCUGGCUUCUGUUGUCCAGCUAGUAUCAAGACUCAAACGAGACAGAGGCUCUCGCAAUUAGGAAAGAUUUGGAAAUAGUUGCAUCUUGUUCCUUAUCUCAACCUGUCCUUUGAAUCUUCCACUCGAUCAGCAAGUUGUCAAAGAAGUUGAAAAGGUAACUUAUGGUCAUAUGUCAAGGGGUGGAAAUGUUACAGCCGAAUGUCAUGUGCAAUGUUAACAAUAUCAUAAAGUUGAAUCAUUCAGAUGCUGAAUGUAAUGCAAGAAUUAAAGCAUCAGCAAUAAUUAUCAUGCACAAAUCAUCAAUUUGACAGAGGAGAUCUGUACUGCAUGUUUUGGCUAGUUAUUAAAUAGUGUAUAUGAUACAGUACUCUUUCCAUUCAUCAGGUAGAGGUCUUGAUUAUUAACAUGUUUUUCAUUGAGAACGAAUGAAAAAACACCUUUUGUUUCGAGAAUUCAUGAGGUAGGGGCCAAACCUUGGGAUCAGUGUUGAAAUCUUUAACAGCCCUGUCUCCUGUACUCAAAGUAAUUGUCCCGUCAAGCCUCCUAACUGGAUGCAAUACUGAUUCAGUGAAAUUUCAACCAAAUCCAACAUCCUAGUCCACUGGGAGAAAACAAAUGCUUUUAUUGGCCCUUCAGUUGACGAGUUUGAAUAUGCCAUUGUCGUUGCACUGGAUCCUGUAGAACCAUUAAAUCCUGAAAUUGGAUUCUCUACCUUACAAUGGGAUUGAACAGCUUUCAUUUUUUAGGAACUAUACUCACGCUGAAGGACUAUUGAUGUAUCAUCAAAUGUGGAAUUUGAGGAACUAGCAUCAAGGUUGUCAGAGAUUCUUCUUCUAAGAGUAGCUUCAGAGAAAACAACAUCGGAACCAAGUUGUUCUCUGAUGACAGUUGCUUCAUUUGCUGCUGAAGAAGAGGUCUUCGAUGCUGAGAAGAUAUAGUCAAGAUUAGCUCCAAUUUGUUAAGAUGUUAGUUACAAAUAAAGCAGUUAUAGAACAACUUUUUUUCAGUUAAAAUCUUGUCAUUAUUUUUCUAAAGUUUGUUAUCAAAACUCUUCUAUAAAAGAGUGAUUUCAUUAAUAAAGAUAUUAUGCUUGCAGUCACAAUAACAACAAUUCUUAUUGCUGGUUAAUUUAUUUGUUUCUUCUGUAUCUCUAUACUGUCUUACAACUUUAAAUUGGUAUCAGAGCUACAUUUGAUCUUACGGACCAGCUUGAGUGAAGAGAGUAACAUGUGAGAAACCUUUUAACACCAAAAAUACAAACAAAAAAGCCUCCUAUCUUUUUUCAAUGGCAUCAAAUAUGUAUUCUCUUGCAUCACCACCAGAAUUUACUGGUGGAAACUAUCAAAUGCAGGUUGUAAGAAUGAAAACAUACUUACAAGCCUGUGAUUUUUGGGAUGCUGUAGAACAAGAACAUGAAACACAACCACUUCCUGCUGAUCCUACUCUUGCUCAAAUCAGAAAUCAUCGUGAGGAAAGAGCCAGGAAGUUCAAAGCAAAAACAUGUCUCUACUCUGCAGUUUCAGAAGCAAUAUUUUCCAGAAUAAUUGCACUUGAUACAGCCAAGCAAAUAUGGAAUUAUCUUCAAGAAGAAUUCCAUGGUAAUGAGAGAAUAAUCCAGAUGCAGGUAUUGAAUUUGAGAAGGGAAUUUGAGAUGCAGAAGAUGAAAGAAACAGAAACAAUUAGAGAUUUUUCUGAUAAAUUACUUUCCAUAGUCAACAAAGUAAGACUAUUGGGAGAAGAUCUUCUUGAUAAAAGAGUUGUUGAAAAAAUUCUUGUAACUUUACCUAAAAGGUUUGAAUAAAAAAUUUCUACGUUAGAAGAAUCUAAAGAUCUAUCAAAAAUUUCUUUGGCAAAAUUACUCAAUGCUUUACAGGCACAAGAACAAAGAAGAAUAAUACGGCAAGAGGAGUCCAUGGAAGGUGCUUUUCAAGCUAACAUGCAUGUUCAGGAAGGAGACAAAGGCAAAAAGAAGAUCAACAAAUAUAAGGGAGCCGGUAGCAACAGUAAAAGAAUUGGAAACUUUCCUCCCUGCCAACACUGUAAGAAAACAAAUCACUUAUAGAAAUAUUGUUGGUGGAGACCUGAUAUUAAAUGCAAAAAGUGUAAUCAACUGGGACACAUGGAGAAAAUUUGCAAAAGCAAAACUAACCUGCAAGAGGGUGAGGCUCAAGUUGCAGAUCAACAACAGGAGGAGCAGCUGUUUGUGGCCACUUGUUUUGCUAGCAAACAUGCAAGUGAUUGUUGGCUUAUAGAUAAUGGUUGCACAAAUCACAUGACAAAUGAUGAAAAUCUAUUCAAGCGACUUGACAAAUCGAAUGUUUCUAAAGUCAGAAUUGGAAACGAUGAAUACAUUCCUAUCAAAGGGAAAGGAACUAUUGCUAUUGAAGGAAAUUCAGGUCUAAAACUCAUUUCAGAUGAUCUUUUUGUCCCUGAAAUUGAUCAGAAUCUGAUAAGUGUUGGUCAGCUUCUUGAAAAAGGAUACUCAAUUGUAUUCAAAGAUAAACAUUGCUCAAUUUUUUAUCCUGUUGGAUUAGAAAUAUUCACUAUAAAGAUGAAAGGAAAAAGCUUUUCACUCGACUAGAUGGAAGAGGAGCCAGCUGCUUUUCCAAGCACAACAAGUCAAACAAAAUUAUGGCACAAGAGGCUGGGACAUUUUAAUCAAGCAAUAUUGGUGCAGAUGCAGAAAAAAAAGAUGGUGCAGGGAAUGCCAAACCUAGAAGAAGAAAUUACAGUAUGUUCUUCUUGUCAAUAUGGCAAACAAAACAAACUUCCAUUUCCUCUAAACAAGGCCUGGAGAGCAAUAAAAAAGUUUCAGCUUAUUCAUACUAAUGUUGCUGGACCUCUGAAGACAAUAUCUCUGAAUGGAAGCAGGUAUUAUAUAGCUUUCAUUGACGAUUAUACAAGAAUGUGCUGGGACUAUUUCCUAAAGUUUAAGAUUGAGGUAACAAGUGUUUUUCUGAAGUUUAAAAACUGGAUUGAAAAUCAAAGUGGUCACAGAAUUCAGGUUGUAAGAUCUAAUAAUGGCACCGAAUAUACAUCAAACAAGUUUGUCAAGUUUUGUCAUGAUGCAUGGAUUGAACAUCAAUACACUACACCUUACACUCCUUAGCAAAAUGGUGUAAGUGAACGAAAAAACAGAACAAUCAUGGAGAUGGCAAGGUGUCUGUUAUUUGAGAAAGAUUUACCCAAGAAGUUUUGGGUAGAGGUAGUGAACACUGCAAUUUUCUUGUUGAAUAGGCUGCCAACAAGAGCAUUACAAAACAAGACUCCAUAUGAAGCUUGGCACGGUUAUAAACCUACACUCCAGAAUUUAAAGAUUUUUGGUUGUUUAUGUUUCGCUUAUGUUCCUCAAGUAAGAAGAGAUAAACUUGAUAGAAAGGCUGAAGCUGACAUCUUUGUUGGCUACAACAAUGUAACAAAAGGCUAUAGAGUUUUUCAACUUCAAACAGAAAAGGUGAUAGUUAGCAGAGACAUCAAGUUCAUUGAAUUUGAAAAGUGAAACUUCAAAGAUGCAGAAAAAAGUGCAGGUAAGGAGAUUGUGCAGGAUAUUGAUGGCAUUGAUGAAGCACCAGUCAGAGGAACUAAAUUGCUUACAAACAUUUAUCAAAGCUGCAAUGUAGCUGUGUUAGAACCUGCAGAAUUUGAAGAAGCCAAAAAUGAUCCAAAAUGGAUUGAUGCAAUGAAUGAAGAGCUGAGGAUGAUUGAGAAGAAUCAAACGUGGGAGUUGGUGGACAUGCCGAAACACAAAAAACCUAUUGGAGUAAAAUGGGUUUACAUAACAAAAUUGAAUGCUGAUGGCACUAUCAACAAAACACAAAGCCAGAUUGGUGGUUAAAGGUUAUGCACAGAUUUUUGGUGUAGAUUUUUCAGAGACCUUUGCACCAGUUGCACGCCUAGACACCAUAAGAAUGCUACUAGCAGUUGCAGCUCAAAAGGGUUGGAAAAUAUUUCAACUUGAUGUGAAGUCUGCAUUCUUGAAUGGUUAUAUGUAGGAGAAGAUUUUUGUGGAACAGCCUAAAGGAUUUGUUGUGAGAGGUGAAGAAGAAAAGGUUUACUUAUUGAAGAAAGCUUUAUAUGGAUUGAAACAGGCUCCAAGAGCCUGGUAUAGCAGGAUUGAUGAGCAUUUACUCAAACUUGACUUUAAGAAAAGUUUGAGUGAAACAACCUUAUACAUAAGAAAUUCAAACUCUAAUUACAUUGUGGUUUCACUUUAUGUGGAUGAUCUUUUUGUUACAUGAAACAAUCCAAGCAUGAUAAACAAAUUCAAAGCAUAAAUGAUGAAGGUUUUUGAAAUGACAAACCUCGGUGAAAUGUCUUAUUUUCUUGGUAUGGAAGUGCAACAAAACCAGUGUGGAAUCUUUAUUUGUCAACAGAAAUAUGCCAAAGAGAUUUUGAAGAAAUUCAAAAUGGAAGAAUGCAAAUCAAUGACUACUCCCGUGAACGUGAAAGAAAAAUUUUGUAAAGAAGAUGGAGCUGAUAAAGUAGAUGAAGCAAUUUACAGAAGCUUGAUUGGAUGUCUGAUGUACCUCAUAGCUACAAGACCUGAUAUCAUGCAUGCUGUAAACUUGUUAUCGAGGUUCAUGCAUUGUGCAAGUGAAGUUCACUUCAAGGUUGCGAAAAGAGUUGUGAGAUAUAUCAAAGGUACACUAAGUUAUAGUUAUGGCAUUCAUGACAUGAAGAGCAUCUCUAAAUAUUGUUUUAGUUUUGGAUCAGGAAUUUUCUUUUGGUGUUCUAAAAAACAAGAGAUUAUUGCUCAAUCAACGGCAGAAGCAGAGUAUGUUGCAGCUACUGCAGCUGCAAAUUAAGUUUUAUGGCUUAGAAAAAUCUUAGCAGAUUUGGACAUGGAGCAGAAGAAAGCUACCAAGGUCAAUGUUGAAAAUCAGGCUGCAAUUGCAAUAUCCAACAAUCCAAUCUUCCAUGGCAAAACAAAGCAUUUCAAGCUUAAGUAUUAUUUUCUUAGAGAAGUUCAGAAAAAUGAAGAAUUACAACUUAUUUAUUGCAAGACAGAAGACCAGCUUGCUGAUAUGUUAACCAAGCCAUUGUCAAAAACAACGUUUGAAACAUUGAGGAAGCAAAAGAUGCAAGGAGGAGUGUUGACAGUUGCUUCAUUUGCUGCUGAAGAAGAGGUCUUCGAUGCUGAGAAGAUUUAGUCAAGAUUAGCUCCAAUUUGUUAGGAUGUUAGUUGCAAAUAAAGCUGUUAUAAAACAGCUCUUUUUCAAUUAAAAUCUUGUCAUUAUUUUUCAGAAGUUUGUUAUCAAAACUCCUCUAUAAAAAAGUGAUUUCAUUAAUAAAGAUAUUAUGCUUGCAGUCACAAUAACAACAAUUCUUAUUGCUGGUUAAUUUAUUUGUUUCUUCUGUAUAUCUAUACUGUCUUACAACUUCAUUCUCUGCAGUCAGAAGCAGGGCAAGUAUUAUCAUCUCCUGUCAAGUAUUCUGACACACACUGAAAGCAGAAAACUUGGCCACGCCUGUUAACGACAGAGUCCUCAAGCGGAUCCUGUAAGAGCAUCAUACAAUAGAAAAAAGAUGGGCCUGAUGCAAGGUGGUACAAUUUUUGUCUUCACUGGUCAUAUAUUAUCAAUUAACUUAUUGCAGGUACAUACUCAAACUUCAAAAGAGACUCCUCUAACAUGGUAUAGACAAAGAUGUAAUCACUAGAUGCUGAAAAAGGUGUAAUCACUAAGUAGCAUGGUACGGGCAUGUCCAGAAAAGAACUAGACACUCCUCUAACAAGGUUGGCAAAGAAGUACAUCAGUAACAAGAAAUUAAGGUUCUCGUAGGUGAAAGUUUGAGUUUUCACAGAUACUAACAAGAUUAAGAUAGCAUCCAACAAAGAAUGUCUAAGAUCAGUAGAACCUUGUCUGCCAGCACAGGCAUGAAGCUGGACAGUUUAUUAAUAAUUCUGAUAAUUACUGUAUUUAAAUAUCAAAAUUAUUAGACUUUAGAGGGGGGGGGGGGGAAUUAAGCAAAGAGAGAGUAGGGUCCUAAAGAGAGUUGAAGGGGAAGGGAAGAUGGGGCGAAUAACUAAAUAUGGAAAAAGAGGAGAACGGAGAGGUAGGGUUUUGCAGUAUCCAUUGGCUUCUGAGUUCUGGGUUUGGGGAAAGCAAUGAGGAGAGGGAUUGGGGGGUUGAGGGUAUUUUCGCUAUAUCAAUUAUUGUUAUGGUUUCAGAGUUGUUUUUCACCAUAAUUAGCUUCUUAGAUUUCUCUAUAUAUAUUUUUUAUUUUAAAAAAAAAAAAAUUGUUGUUAGAUGCGCCGGUGCAUGCAUAAUUAUAUAAUUAUGGAAUGAAAAAUGAAAGAAAUGAGAUUCAAAAACUUGCAGGAUUAAUUAGAGGUCCACUUUUCCAACAAAAAGAUUAAUGAAAGCAUUGAUUAUUAUUUGCAUAUGAAUUAUUUCAUUAAAGCAAGCUUACUUUCUUCCGUGCAUGAACUAAUUUAUGAUUAUUUUAUAAUGUUAAAACUUUAAUGUUUUCUUCAAUUAUUUUAAUAACUUUUAUUUAAUAUUCUUUUAUCUUAUUAAAUCUAUUAAUUAAUCAUUAUAGAUUCAUGUAAAUACUAUCUUUUAAAAAUAGUUAAGAUUUUUAUUUUCAAGGAAAAGAGAACUUUCGAUUUUUUUUUUAAUUUUUUUAUCCAUAACAGAUUUAUAAUACAAUAAUUGAUUUGGAAAACACGUGUAAUGGGUGGGGUCCUGCGGCCACAUUUCCAUUGACGAGCAAGAAUGCUCCCAACUGGUAGGAAUAAAAACAAUAUGUUUCAAAUUUGACGUGGAUGGUGGGAUACACUGUGCUGAUUGGAAUAAAAGCAAUACAUUAGCUUGCUGGUAACUGACAUGCUAUGCCAACUAUACACACUGACACUAUGAUUGCAUCAUGAUGAAGUUAUCUUUAUUCGGGUCAAUCACUUGUGUAGUGUCGUCUGGUAUUUGGAUCAGGUCAGCCGAUCCAAAUACAAAAGACUCAUUAUCAACAUGUGUUUGCCUGUACGGCCAUGUCUCAUGUUAGAAUUUUGCACCGUUUUCAUCAGCGUGCUCCUCUUAAUCUCCUCUACACAGUGGUAUGUUCAAAACAUUGUUUUGAGAACUUUUAUUUUUAAGCAAAAAUCAAACAUCACUCUAAACCAAAGGUCUAGUACCAAUUGUUGGGUUUUUAAUCUAUGGUGUUCAUGAUCAUUGUUUAUUGAAAGCUGAGCACGCUGAUACAAUAUUUAACAUAAUUCAUCUAAUUACUUAUAUCCACCAGAGAAGUUUAUAUUAUUAAAAAUAAAUAAAAAAAGAUGACAAUACAUAUGGAAGGGAUCACUUCAGUGAACUCAACUACUCUCAUUGCACAUUGCUGCUCAAGGUUGCUGCCCUUGACAGCCCUACUACUCUCUUCUAUAUUUUUCUCUCCUCUUGCACUUCACUUGCUCACCUUGCACUCUAAAUGAUAUCUUUAUUUAUAGACAAGAACGAUAAGACAAAAACUAUAAAAGCACCAAUUGUGCCACAAAAUUAGCUUUUCCUUUGUACCAAGUGGGUGAUAAGUUGUUCCACACUUAGUGGAAGUGUGGUCUUGGCGACCAAAAUAGCAAUUUCCUAACAGGGUAUCCAGGUGGUGGAUAAGCAUCCUUUGGAUACCCUACAAAUCCAAUAAACAAAAUUAAAAACCAUAAACUCCAAAACUCCUUAGUCCAAGAAAAGCCAUACAUACCUUGCCGUGGAGGAACACUAACUGGCGGCUGGUGCUGAUCGUAAUAACUCAUCUCCCCUCUGAUCAAAAGCUUUCUUUUUUCUUCUUGGGUUCUUCUCUUUUUCUUUGACAAAGAAGUCGGUUUGGUGCAAGGGAAGGAAGGGUACUAUAAAACAAAGGUAUGUAAAGGAGGUUUUGACAGUGGGAAGCUUAGAGGGAGUUUCUUUCUUUCUGGAGAGGUAAAUGCGGUUGCUUUGCUUUAUAGAAAGAAGAGAAGGGAAGGGUAGAAAAGAGAAAAGAUGUCAUCCACUAAGGGAAGCAAUGAAGAAUCUUUGCCCUUUCUAAGGAGCUGUCUCCCUGUAAUUUUAAUAAAUAGGAGCAUGUCCCUUUUGCUUCUGAUUUUAUAUAUAUAUAUAUAUAUAUAUAUAUAUAUAUAUAUAUUGUCAAUUUCCUCACCUGUUUUAUUUUGAUCUAUUAUAUUUUUAUAUUUAAUAAAAAAAAUGAAGAAUCUUUGCUUUUCCACACAGUAGUGUAUGUAUAUGUGUAUGUAUUGGCAGGUACAGGGCAAGGCAAUAUUAGAACAGGUUAUUUACUGCGACUUCCUCUCUAUCUUCAAGCUUUCCACGCAGUCAGAUGAUGUCUUUUUCCUCUGCUACUGCGUCACGAUGUGUUUUUGGAAAUUUAUUGGUAUUCAAUUUUAAGAUAAUUAAAAUAAGUAUUUGUAAAAAAAUUGAUAAAUUAAUUUUACAUAAAAAAGUCGAAAUUCUCUUUUAUUAUUUAUUAUUUAUUUUGACAAAAACAUAUAUAUAUUUUAAUUAGCAACAUAGUUGUUUUAAUAAAUAAAAAACAUGGUAAUUUAAAUAAGUAUUCAAGAAUUUUUAAUUAUUUAAAUUAAAAGGGAAAAAAUAUAUCUCUUUAAUCAAAACUUUAAUUCUUAAUUUAUAUAUUUUUGUUUUAAUAAAAAUAUAUCUUUUUUUAUUAGAAGAAGCGUGGUUUUUCAAAUAAAAUGAUUUUAAAAACAAUUUUUAAUACAAAAAUAAAAACAUUGUUUUUCCAUAAAUUUCUGUUUUUCAAAUUAAUAUCUAUAAAUUAUAUUAAUCAUCCUAAAGUAAUUAGAGCAGUUGGAGCAUAACAAAACAAAUGUGUUCCUACAGAGUAAGGCUUAAAAAGAUUGUGAAGCAGAAAGAAUAGCAGAUCAAUUUACCUAGCUACGAUACACCGUUUCACCAAUAUUUCAGGUCUUCAAAAUCCUGAAUGGUAGUUUAUAAAUUUGUUUUGCUCUUUGUUUUUUAGUUACUUUUUUCUAUUUUUUUAUAUGCUUUGUGUUGGAUUCCACUUGUUGAUCCAGGCUUCUUCUUUUUUACUAGAAUUCCCCAUAAGUCAUAUGAUUAAAAGAUGAGCAAGGAAUUUCAACAACAAUUGAAAGAAGGGAAGAAAAAUAAAGGAUGUGGAGUUGCUGAAGAUUAUUUGAGAGAAAACAAAAGAUGUGUCCUUACAAGAAGAUGAUUGUAAGGAACGUGACAUCUCCCAAUUAAAGCUUAAUCUAAUAAAGAUAUAUAAAAUCAGAGUCCAAAGAAGGUACUACAAGAAGAAUUUGGAACCCCUGAUGAAACUAAAGAAGAAAUUAACUGAUAUGGUUAAGUCUUGUGAUACGAACCAAGCAAGGUUAUGUUCGGAUUUUGGCGUAAAAGUUUCUACCGUUCAGUUUUACGCCAUUGAGCAUAACUUCAAAUCCAACCGUUGGAUCGAACUGAAACUUUAUCAAAAGAUUCCAAAAGUGUUUGUCUAUGUUGGGGUACAUUUUCAGGAGAAUCCACAUUCAGAAAGGACUUGCAAUAUAGGUCCGAACAUGCUAUAUGAAUUUUGUUAUUUACUUCCUUUUGAUUUGUGGACUUCCUAUUUAGUAGAUCAUUUUCCUACAAGGAUGUGAGAGUUUAUUUUGGGAAUUUUUUAGUUCCACAAGGAUCUUUAAUGAGUUGCAAUAUAAUUUUCAAGUGUGGCAAGGAUUCAUUAAUGUUUUUGUAAUGUUUUAAAUUAAAGAGAUAGGAAAAGGCAACAAAGCUUUUGGAGGCUUAAAGAGAGGGUAUAAAUGAAUGAGGGGUAGUGUAGUAAUUCAAAAAACUUGAUAAAUAUAAAUAGAAAGAAAAAAAAAAGAGAUCUGAAAAUUUAGAGUGAAAAACUGACGGGAGAGAGAAGGGAGAAAGAAGAAGAAGAAGAGAAAAGAGGGAAAUUAGAAGGGAAAUAGAAAGGAGUUGAAGGGAAUAAGUUUAAAGGUAAGAUUUAGGUUGUUAAAUGUAUAAAUGUGUAUUAUUGAGCUUUUAAUUUCGGUUUUGAUGAAUGUUAGGGUUUUGAAAAUUUGUGUUUGGGUUUAAUUGAUGAAUUAAAUUAAAUGUUAUGGGGUUGAUUGUUGUGGGUAAUUGAUUAUUUAGUUGAUUUUGAGAGAUUGAAUUGAAAGAUGAUGAUUUUGAGUUAUGAUUUUGUUUGAAUGGUGAAUUUGUGUUAGAAAUUUGGAGAGAACAGUAGGUUUUCUGUUAAAAUUCUGGGUUGGAGGUUGAAGAUGAUAAAAUUUCGGUUUGGUCCCUCAAUUUGUGAAAAUUACAGUUUAGUCCCCAAACUUUGGAAAAUUUACAGAUUGGUCCCUGGAGCAUAUUCCGAGAUUCUGAACAGAAUAAAAGAUGAAUUAUGGGCAGAUUUCCAGUAUAGUUAUGAAAUUUUAACACUUUCAAUUUAGUCCUUCAAUUUGACAAAAAUUACAAUUUGACCCUAAAAAUUUGGAAAAAUUCCAGAAUGGUCCCUGGAAUAUAAUGAGAUAUUCUGGAUAGAAUUGAGGAUUAAUUAUGGUCAGAAUUUCAGUAUAGUAAUGGAUUUAUGACAAUUUUAGUUUGGUCCUCCAAAUGGACGAAGUUACACUUUGACCCUUAAAAAUAUGAUAAAUUACAGAUUAGUCCCUAGCUGUAAUAUUUGCUUUUUUAGAUUGAUUUGAUGAAUAAUUCAGGGUUAUUUAGUGAAUUAUUACCAAUUUUAUUAUUUGUUUUAUUAUGGAUUAGAUUUCGGGAAAACCGUUAGAUUUUGGGUUUUUGGGAAAAUAACUAGUUUAGUCUAAAAGCAUAUAGGGUUAUGGAAUAUACCCUUAGAUAAGUGUAUUAAAUAGGUUAUAUGUUCUUUUGAGUCAUUCUUCUUGAAUAUGUCUCCUUUAUAUUCAGAUAAUCCUGAUAUUCUACCAGCGAGAUGUCAGUAGGAUUUCCUUCGGUAUCAGCUUUUGAGUAUUGUUUGCUUUGAGUCAGGUGAGUGGAUAAUUUUCUAUAUGCAUGAGAAAUAUUAUAAAUACUUGAUUUGUUAAUAUGAAUUGGAUCAUGCUUCUUGAUAAUAUAUAUGUUGAUUAUUAUCCUUGUUAUGAUAAAGCAUGAUCAAUUGUUGAAUCUGAAUUCUUGAUAUGAACCAAUAUAUAUUUUGAAUUGACUUCUGAAUUGAUAACUCCUCAUUUGAUUGAUAUCAUGAGUUGAGCCUUGAGAUAUGAAUAUGUCUGUUUGAUUAUGAUUAUGAACCUAUGGUAUGUCAGUCAGAAUACCCAUGCUAACAGGGUAGUGUUAGUCUUUGUGCACAUCGUAUCUGAACCCUAGUUGGUUGGGGGAGUCACCAACCUGUGUGGACUGAUCAUCCCACAGUACGGAGCCUCAUGCUCAUUGCAUUUUGAUUUUCUGACGAGUUUUACCAUAUGAUAUUCUUGUUAUGGCCUAUUUGAGAAACCUUUCUAUAAGAACCUAGAGCCAUACUUGUAUAUAUAUUUCUCAUUGCUAUAUUACCUCGUGUGUGUAUAUUGAACGUUAUCUACUCACUCACUGAGUUGUUGAACUCACCAUCUCAUUAUUUAUUCAUUUCAGGCUUAUAACUUGAUAGCAGGUCAUUUUUUUUUUACCUUCUGAACCUGCUCUUUCGGUUGUAAAUUGUACUUUUUCCUUUAUGUCUAGUUAGUGCUCCAAAACUAUGAAUUUAUAUGAACUCUUGUAUUAAGACAAUUAAAUUAUAUUAUGAAGUUAAUUUUGUUAUUAAUGCUGCGUUGGACUCUGAUUGAGUUAGGAUAAGUUUGUAUGUAAGUUUGAGUUCGCAUAGGGAUGGAACCUUGGAGGGGAAUCUUGCCUAUGUGCCGGUCAUGGAUCAGGGAAUCGGGUUGUGACAGUUUCAGAAUCCUUUUCUUAUAAGAAUUCCUUAUUCAUCCUAACUACACAAGGAAAGAAGGGAUGGUGGUAUUUAAUGACAAGUUAGUUAUUUUUAUUAUUUUCUUUCAUGUUUGGACUUAAUUAAUACUUUGUUUUUAUUUAGGAUCCAAGGCUUGUUUGGAUUAAGUUAUGGGUUUUUCAGUUUAGGGUUUUGCGUUAGUUUUGAGUGGACCUCAUAUAAGUCCACAUAAGGGGUCCAUUAAGGUUAAUUUUUCAAGAACGAUUUAAACUCAUGUGAGCCAAAAUUUCAAAGCUUUGAUGAUCAUUACUUCUGGAUUUUUCAGUUUUAACGUGUGAGAGUGAUUCUUGCAUUCUUCAGUUCUUGAACGAACUGAAUCUGACUUAUGGAAGAUUAAUUGGCUUUGUGGCGUCAUUCUACUCAUUCCAAUAGUGUUAGUGCCUUGGGGCAGGUUUCCAUUGUGUCACACUCCUAUCAGACAUAUUUCAGCUUUCCGAGUCAGAUCUCAAUCUUGAUUGUGGGUUGCAUGACCACGUGAUCAUGAGGUUUGUAUCAUUAAAGGUUCAAAAUUAGUCUCCAUGACUAAUUCUUAAGGUUUGAAGCAUUAAAAGAAGAUGGGAGUACUUCAAGUUAAACUAUCUUAGAAGAGAAAUUAAAAGAGCAAAAUCAAACACCGGUAAUGGAAUUUUUUUCUAAGAAAAAGAAUUGUAUGACUGAAAUGAUUAUUGAGAAUAUUAAAGAGUUUGUGCAAGUAAAAAUUUUAACUGAUCCAUAAAAUCAAUCUCCACCAAAAAAUAAUAGGAGAUGCAUGUUUGCAUAAGAAUGGAUUCUUUUGUAUAAUGAUUCAUGAGCUCUUGAUAAGUUGAUUUGUGUGCUUUUACUUGGAUCCCACACAACUAUGUAUUCAGCUCAUAAUCCCAGUUAGUGAAGCGUGUUAUGUCGUGAUUGGUUAUUAAAAAAAAGUCUAUUAUUUAGUUUUGGUAGUGCCGCCAAUCGUGUGGUUGGCCACGUUACCAAACGGGUACUGAGAUCUUAAAGUGUUAAGCACUUGUAAAUUAUACUUGACUAUAAAUUCUUCAUUAAAAAUAAAAACAAAAUAAUAAUAAUUGCGGUUGUUCGAUUAUUUAUCGAAUUAGCUAUGUGAAUUUUGCUCCUUCGAGGGCCAGAAAAAAACGAUGUAAAGCCGACGCAGCAGUGGUAGUAGCAGACCCAUCAGUAGACUCAGCUCUUCCUCCUCCUCCUCCUUACUGCUUAGAGUUUUUAAGAAUGAGAAUAAAAAUAAAAAUAAAAAGAGAAGUGUUGUGUGUCUGAUUGAGUGGGAACCAAUCUGGAAAACAUCCAGAGGUGCCUUAGUGAUGGAAAUGGCUGGUAGCCAAGCUCCAGUCAUGGUGUUUACUGGUUAGUGAGCAAAUGGAAGAAGAAGAGAGAGAUAGAAGCGGAAUUCCACGAAUUCAGCUCAACAUUCAUUCAUUAUGUUCAUUAUUACCCUUCUCCAAUUCUGUUACAGAUCAUAUACAUGAAGAUAACCUCCUAUAUUCUCGUUACUGGCCACACGUGGCAUCUUUUCUUAACAAACCCUGCACUAAUAAAACGCGCGUAUUGCUAUAACUAAAUUCUAAUAACGUUCAUUAGAUUUGAUAACAACCUUUGUGUCCAGUGCAAUUCUUUCCUCCCCUCGAAUCAAACUUAACUUGUGACAAGAAGGAUAUUUCAGUUAUGACAGUUGUAAAAUGGCGCUAAAUGGUUGGUUUAGGUUUUGGUAUGAGAGGGAAAUCAUUUUGACAUGGACAAAUGACUUGGACUUCUCAUCCAUCAUUGGAUUUUUUUCAUGGUUUUAUAUCAACAGCUUAGAUUCAAUCUCUUAUUUUUAAGUAAUUUAGUCAUUUCCUUAUAUUGCAGCUAUAGUGUGUCUAUCUGGGUAGGGAUGGAAGGCUGUAGAAUUCCAUUACACCCCAAAUUUUAAGUUAGCCUUUCUACACUCUUAAGAAGAAUCACAUAUCCAUCCUAAAUUCCUGGGUUUUUUUUUUCCUGAAACUAUAUUUAUAACUAAGAGGAUGAUAUUCAUUCAUUGAUUCCUUCUCUGGCCUCUACUUUCAGUUCUAGGGAGGAACGCUCUCACGCUCGCAAGUGCAUACAACAUUAUUGCAAUGGUAGCGUAGCAACCGGAAAUUUAUAAGUUAUAAACCCAAAUGACAAUUGUAGUAGUGAGUGUGGAGUUAUUUUUUAAAAUAUUUUUUAUUUAAAAAAUAUUUUAAAAUAAUAUUUUUUAUUUUUAAAAAAUUAUUUUUGAUAUAUAUAUAUAUAUCAAAAUGGUAUGAAAAUAUCAAAAAAAUAUUAAUUUAAAGAAAAAAAAAUCAAUUUUUUUCAUAAAUACUUUUAAAACAUAAAAACAAACUCCAUUGAUUUUUUAGAUAUAAGCACUAAAAUACAAUUAAUUAAAGUGACAUGGAAAUAAAAUAACAAUAAAAAGAAAUUAUUUUUCUACGAUCUUAAAUUUCAAUUUCAAUUUCAGUGUUUUUUUACUUUUCCUAGAGCACUAUUGCAAUUUUAGUUAAAAAACAGUAUCCAGUACACAUACAUGGCCGAUAGGUAGAAGAAAUGCGUACUUAUAUGAGAUUGUACUAGUGAUAUACAUGAUUUUGUGAUGUUAGCAUUAUUGGCUUUUCAUCUGAAAUAUUAUGAUUUCUAAAUUAGAAAUCUUCUGUGGAAUUAAAAGUAUUAUUGAAGUUUUAGUGAGUGAAGUGCUGUUUUCAUAUUCAUUAAGUUAUAAUCAUAUUAUUGUUUGGCCAACUCUGGCCAUUUCUCCUUGAUUUUUAGCUUCAAGCUCCCUCACAAAAACAUCUACAAAAAAAAUCUGAAUUUUACAGAAAAAUUUGUGAAUCAUUUAAGCUAAAAGAUUCAUCUCCUCCAUCGAAUUAGAAUCAGAUUGCGUGCAUAUAUUUUGCCUGUUGAUCAUAAGUUCUUUUAUCAUUUUUCAGACAAUUCUGGUGAGCGAUCUAUUAUAGAGUCAAUGAUGAGGUGGUUUUCUUAAGAGUGUGUAACAAGUUUUAUGAGUCUUAAGUAUUAUUUUUAUGAGUUAGUGCAUAGCUCAAUCUCAAUUAUUUUUUUUAGAUUAAUAUGGUAUAUAAAUCAACUUACACGUAUCUUGAUUAAUUUUAAAAACUCUAAAACUAACAAUUAUAUAAAUUUCCAAUCAAUUUUUUUUAUGUAGUUGUGCUUGUAAAAGCGUUUUAAUCAUUUGGAUGAAGAUAAUCACAAAUAAACUAUGUAGAUAAUUUAUCAGAUGCUUUUAUUUAUAUAAAGAAAGACUAAUUGGCUGUAAGAUUAGUAUGACCAGCUAGCUUACUCUAAAAUACAAACAUCCAAGAAAAUGCAAUUAACUGUGUUUUUUUAAAUCCUGUCAUUAUCAAAUUCAACAACUUGCUUCAUUAAAAAAAAAAAACAAUAAAGAAAGACUUCAACAGGGAGUAGACACAAAGUAAUUUUUUAAAAUGAAGGACCCGAGCAAUAGGUGGGUUCACACAAGAACAAGACAAAUAAUUAGUGUGAAGCCUUGCCAGUUGUGACCAGCCAAUUAAGUCAUUAUUAGGUAGACUAUAUUAAGAACAUCAGAAAUCAGUUUUCUGAUAUAGUUUGGGGUGCACGGUGAUUAAUGUCAAAUUCAGUAAUUAUUUUCGUUUUCUAAUGAUGUUCAUGAAUAUCCAUCGUUUAGCCAGACAGAAAAAAACUAAAGAAUUGCAGAAAGGAAGGGGGCAUCUCGCAGUAUCACAUGGCAAACACUUCUGUAAACUAUUGAGGGAAUAGAUUAAGCACAUGGAAAUGGAUAGUGAGGUUGAGGUCUGGUGCAUAGGAAAGGAGAAUGAAACACAACACUGUACUAAAGACAGCAAAAAGAAAUAAUUAAUAUUGUCAGGCACAUCAGGGUGCGGUGCUACCUAUGUAUUAGCACAAGACUCGAAGAAAAGUCCAUCGGCAAAGAGAACCUAGCUAAAAACAGGGGUUAGGUUUGUUUAGCAGCGGUUGCGGUUGUUUUUUAAAUAGUUUUUUAUGUUAAAAUAUAUGUUAAUAAUUUUUUUUAUUUUUUAAAAAUUAUUUUUGACAUCAUCACAUUAAAAUGAUUUGAAAAUACUAAAAAUAUAUUAAUUUAAAAUUAAUAAAAAAAUAAAAAAAUUUCAAAUUUUAUCAAAAAAGUUUUUGAAACACAGAAAUAAAUAGGUGUGAUUCAGGAAAACGCAGCCACCUUGAGUGUUUUUCUUUUAUAUGAAAUCAAAUAAGUUCAAAUAAACAUAGAUCAAUAAUAAUUAAUCCGAUUAUUGACAAUUAAUGUUUAGGGUGACGAUGGGGGUGAUCACAUCGGAUGCGCAGAUCGCAAGCUCUCUUGUCUGCCAAUUUUUUUUUCCCAUUUGAGAAAUAUAAUUGAGGGCCUUUGAACAAGUAGUGAGUGUAUGACUUCAUACUCCACUAAUACUAAAUCACAUGACAAAUCUCAUCACAUUGAUUGAAAAAGUAGAGUUCUAGAAAGCAACCGGCCGGCCAAUAGAAUACUUGAACUCAAAUAUAUGUUUAUAUAAAGAAAGACUUGGCAGAAGACUGUACGUAAGAUUAGGAAAUGCAAUUAAAUAUGUUUGUUUUUUUAAAUCAUCUCUUGAACAACUCGCUGCAUCAAAUAAAGAAAGAAAGAAAGACUUGGAAGAAGACUUACAAUUUUUUUUGUUUUUUUUGUUUUUAAAUAACAUUAGACAGGGAGUGGAUACACGGGAAGGGAAGUGAAGGGAAGGGAAGGGAAGAUAUGACAUCUAUUAAGUUCCUGUUUAUUAUUUAUUAAUAGAUGUUAAAUAAUAUUUAUGUAGUUUUAUUUAUUAAGGGUAGAAUAGUACUUUUAAUUUAAUCUGUAUAUAUUUUAAUUGUAUUUAGGUUAAGAUUAAGCAUUCAUAAUAUACAGAUUAUUCAGAAUUCUAGCCUAUUUUUUGUAUUUGAUCUCAAUUAUUUUAACAUUAGAAGAGUAGUUUCUUUUUAGAAAGUAAAUUUUGGGGAAGUGAAUUCCAGGAAAGUGAAUUAUUUUCUGAUAUUUGUAGUGUAAUGAAAAAUAAGUUGAAAAAUAUUUUCCAGUGUUUGGUUAUGUCAUGUAAAAUGAGCUGGAAAAUAACUUAUUAAUGUUUUAUUUUUCUCAAAUUUAUUAAAAUAAUUAGGAUCAAAUCUUACAAGUUAAAAGGUUGAAUAAGAAUAAAAUUGAAAAAAAAUAUAAUUCAUAAAUUAUCUCAAAUAAAAUAAAUAAUAAUAAAAAUCAAAUCUAAAAAAAUUUAAAAAAAUAAAAGAUGAAGAAAUUAAAAUAAUAAUAGUUAACAUUUCAUAAAUUAUUUCAAAUAAAAUAAUUAACAAUCAAAAAAAUAAGGACCAAAUUUGAUAGAUAAAAAAUUUCAAUAAAAAAAUGAUAAGGAAAAAACAAAUAACAAUUAUAAAAAUGAGGACCAAAGUUAAUAUAAAAAUUAAAUUUUAAGAGAUAAAAUUGAAAAAUAAAUAUUCAAAACAAAAUAUAUAUAGCAAUUAAAAGUUUGAGGAUCAAAUUUAAUAUAAUCAGCAAAUAAUAUGACAUUUCUAAAUUUUUCAUAACUUCUGAAAAGUGUUUUCCGCCCAAAUUUUCUAGAAAAACACUUUUCUGGAAACCAAGUCAAAUUUUUCUUUGACUGGAAAGUGUUUUUUGUUGACCAAUUUUCCUAAUAAUAAAUAAAUAUAAAAAAAAUUUGAAAAGUAAUUUUUUCAAAACUAGUUUUCAAGACCUAAUGAAGACAAUGAAGAAUCUUUGCUUUUCCACACAGUAGUGUAUGUAUAUGUGUAUGUAUUGGCAGGUACAGGGCAAGGCAAUAUUAGAACAGCUUAUUUACUGCGACUUCCUCUGUAUCUUCAAGCUUUCCACGCAGUCACAGCUUCACGAUGUCUUUUUGAAAAUUUAUUGGUAUUUAAUUUUAAGAUAAUUUAUGUGUAUGUAUGUGUAUGUAUUGGCAGGUACAGGGCAAGGCAAUAUUAGAACAUGUUAUUUACUGCGACUUCCUCUCUAUCUUCAAGCUUUCCACGCAGUCAGAUGAUGUCUUUUUCCUCUGCUACUGCGUCACGAUGUGUUUUUGGAAAUUUAUUUGUAUUUAAUUUUAAGAUAAUUAAAAUAAGUAUUUGUAAAAAAAUCGAUAAAUUAAUUUUACAGGAAAAAGUAAAAAUUCUCUUUUAUUAUUUAUUUUGAAAAAAACAUAUAUAUUUUUUAAUUAGCAACAUAGUUGUUUUAAUAAAUAAAAAACUUGGUGAUUUAAAUAAGUAUUCAAGAAUUUUUAAUUAUUUAAAUUAAAAGGGAAAAAAUAUAUCUCUUUAAUCAAAACUUUCAUUCUUUAUUUAUAUAUUUUUUGUUUUAAUAAAAAUAUAUCUUUUUUAUUAGAAGAAGCGUGGUUUUUCAAAUAAAAUGAUUUUAAAAAAAAAAUUUAAUACAAAAAUAAAAACAUUGUAAAGUAAUUUGAGCAGUUGGAGCAUAACAAAACAAAUGUGUUUCUAUUUAUAGAGUAAGGCUUAAAAAGAUGAUGAAGCAGAAAGAAUAGCAGAUUAAUUUACCAUUUUACCUAGCUGCUACGAUACACCGUUUCACCAAUACUAGUCAUAUAACCCGCGCGAUGCCGCGGUUUAAUUUUUUUUUUAAAAAAAAUAUAAAAUCUAAAAGUGUUAGGUUUUUCUACAAAGCUAUAUCCAAGAAUCUUGGGUUUGGCUAUAACGCCUGACCCAAAAGUAAUAUUUAUAAUAAUAAUAAUAUUAAACUUGCAUGACCCAGUAGGUCUCGCUCUAAUACCAGACCCAAUAGUCUUGGAUGUGGAUAUGGUUGCAAGGUCAUGUCAUAAAAGUAUGAUAAUUAAAUAAAUUAAUUAAAAAUAAAAAAACCAAUAGAAAGAAAAAAACUAAUGAAGAAAAAGAAAAAAAAUCUGAAUUAACUGGGUUAAUCCGUAAACCUUGAAUUCAUGUUGUGAAAGUUUGAUAAUUAAAUAGAAAAAAAAAAUUGACGGGUUAACCCAGAAUUAACCGGGCUAACCCGUCAAACCAGGUUACCUGUCAAACCUGGGAUCCGUGUCAUGAAAGUCUGAUAACUAAAUAGAAAAAAAAUUGAACAUUAACAACCUAAACUAAACGAAAAAAUUAACUAAAAAUAAUAAAAAACAAAAACAAACAAAAGACAUAAGCCUGUUACUAAUGAGGAAAAAGAAAAAAAAAUAUGAAUCAACUGAGUUAACCCGUCAAAUCAGGUUAACCCGUCAAAUCUGGGAUUCGCGUCAUGAAAGUUUGAUAACUAAAUAGAAAAAAAAAAUCGAUGGGUCAAACGAAAAAAAAUUAACAAACUAAACUAAACGAAAAAAAAUAAUUAAAAAAGAAAAAAAUUAGGUUAACUCGUUAAACCAGGUUAACCUGUCAAACCCGAGAUCCGUGUCAUGAAAGUAUGAUAACUAAAUAAAAUUUUUUUUUCACAUUAACAAACUAAAUUAAACAAAAAAAAAAUUCAUUAAAAGAAAUAGAAAAAAAAGUGAACAUUAACAACCUAAACUAAACGAAAAAAUUAAUUAAAAAAAACAAAAACAAACAAAAGACAUAAGCAUAUUACCAAUGAGGAAAAAGAAAAAAAAUCUGAAUCAACUGAGUUAACCCGUCAAAUCAGGUUAAUCCGUCAAACCUGGGAUUCGCGUCAUGAAAGUUUGAUAACUAAAUAGAAAAAAAAUUCAGGUUAACUCGUCAAACCCGAGAUCCAUGUAAUAAAAAUAUGAUAACUAAAUAAAAAAAAAUUUCACAAUAACAAACUAAAUUAAACAAAAAAAAUUCAUUAAAAAAAAACAAAGAAAAAAAGCAAAAAAAAACAAAAACCCAUGAGCCAAACAAAAAAUAAAGGAAAAAAAAAAUCAAGUGUUUCACUGUGCACUGUGUGCACAGUGAUACAUUAUAUAUAAAAAAUAAAAAUAUAUAUAUAUAUAUACAAAAUAAUAAUAAUAAAAAAAAAAACUGCUGCUACAGUGAAAACCCACACGUUUUAGAAUUCUUUAAUAAUUAAUAAUACAUUUCAGGGCUUUCUUAACAUUUGUAGAUGGAGCGCAUGCCAGCGAGGGUCCUUAUGCCUGAAGAGAUGGCAAAUAUACCAGCGAGGGAUGAAUCGGUCAUUUACGAUUAUCUCACAAAUUAAUAAACAGUUGGUAAUUGAUUAUCAUUCCUUUCCAGCAAGAUAUACUGUUCAUUAUUGAAGUUAUCUUUGAAGUUAAUCUCGCUUGUCAAUAUUAUUUAUAAUUUUAUCUAGGCGUGUUUGUAGUUAUUUUUUUAAAUUAUUUUUUAUUAAAAAAUUUAUUAAAAUAAUAUUUUUUUAUUUUUAAAAAAUAUUUUUAACAUAAAUAUAUUAAAAUAAUUUUUGACAUUUUUUCUUGAUUCUUAGGUUCCACACCUUAGAAAGAAAGGUUUGCCUAUGUUAAGAACUCAUUUAUCUAAUACACUCCAAACUCCAAAAAUGUAUGGCCAUAUAGUCAUGUAAAAAUAAAAUAAAAAUGAUACGCAACAAGUUUUUAUUUUUAACAUUUUUUUGGUUCCAUAGGGUUGACUGGACUUUCUGAAAUUUCUUUUUCUACUAUGGCUUGGAGGCUAGGAAUUAGAGGGGAGAAGAUAGAAGAAAAUAGAGGAUGAAGAUGAGUUAAGGAAAAAAGAGAAAAAUUAGGGGAUUUUUUUUAUAUAAUUUGGUGAUAAAGUUGUAACAUUUAACUUAUAAGGUUUUUUUAGUUAUUAAAUCAAUUAUAAUAACAAUCCUCUAAUUUUUUAAAUUUUUUAUUGACUAACUUUUUGGGUUUUAAAGUUAGUAUUAAGAUGGAAAUAGAAAACUUAUAAAAUACAAAAAGCUUGAUAAAAAAAAUGUGGAUUUGUAGUGCUACACGAAUAGAAUUAUUAGGGAAAAACAAAAACUACUCAUAAAAAUAGACAAAUCAAACAGGAAAAAAAAUACUAAACAUACUCCCAUAAUUGAUUGGUAUAUAAUCUCAAAUAAAUAUAUCUAAUUAUUUUUCUUCAUUAUAAUGAUUCAAACCUCAUGAAAGUUAAUUAUAAAAUAUUUUAUGCUCUGCUGCAUAUAACAAUUUUUUUAUUCUUCUAUGAAUGAAUCCUUUGCUUCAUCGUAUUAUGUUAAAUUAGAACUCUAUUUCAUGCUAUAUACUAAGUUAUUAAAUUGGACCAGCCUGACAAAGAUAAUUUAAUAAAUAUUGAUGUGAACUUUACCUUAGAUCUUGUUUUAUUUCAAACUAGUUUUAAAAAAUAACUUGGUAAAUGUUGAUGUUAACUUUAGCUUGGGUCUUAUUUUAUUUUACACCAGUUUUAAGGUUGACUUAGUCAAAUUUAGUAAACUAACAGUAACAUAUCAGAUGGUAAAGGGUAAAAUAUCAAAUUAUUAAACAUAGGCAUCGCAAACCGGAAAAAACUUCUUCAAUACAAACUCGCAGGGCUGCUGCAGCAGAGCCCUGGCUAGGUUCAGCUGAUUUCUAAGAAAAUUUGUCCUAGCAAGUAAAUAAAAUAAAUGCAAAAAUUUAAAUCACCAUUCGAAUAAAAAACGAAUCUUCUCCUUCGAUUCCAGAGUUUGCAAUGAGUCUAAGAAAGCUUCACAUGUACGGAUCUUGUUAUAUCCUUUUCUUCCACAAUGCUGGAUCUUGACGCCUUUUAAGUGAUGCUGCCCACAAUUUGCAUGGGUAGCUGCAUUCUCUAUUUGCAGUAGUUUCUCGCAAAGAUUCUUAAUGAACUCGUCGUUUCUUGCACAGCCAGACACGAGUAAUAGAGAUUCUGGACGGCAAAUACAAAACAAGCCAUCAACAAGAGCGUGGCUUUCUUUCUCCCUGGUAAAGGUUUCCAGCUUCAAGUGACUGAUAUCAAGCAAAACAGGAUUGGAGGCAGUACUGCUGACUAUUUUGUGGAUCUCAGAAGAAGAACAAACGCAAAUACUCAGAGUGACAAGCUUGAUUUGGUUGAGAUUUUUAAGAUAUUCCCUAAAAUCUUCGAGAAAACUUUCACCAUGUUUGAUAUAGUUGAGAUCAACAAAUAAUUCAAGAGUAACUUCUUGUAAACUGUUCAAAUAAAACAAAGACGGGAUUUUGUGCAUGACACAUUUGAAUGACCGUAAUCUCGGAGUAUUGAUGAUAGCUUCCACUGCCGAUAUUUGAGCUACAAUGAGGUUUAAUUUCUCAAGCAGGGGGAUAGAAAUCUCAAUCCUCUGAAAGUGAAGGCGUUCACCGUGCAACACCAAAACUUUGAGGGCAGGGAAAUUACGAUUAAGGUAUUGAAUCAUGUCUUCUGUAAUGUUAUAACCCUUAAACUUAAAUUUAUUUAUGAAAUCAAAUCAAGAUUUGUAAUUUGUAAAAAUAUGAAUUUAAUUAGAUGGAUAUUGCCAAAUGAAAUUUGAUGAUUUAAUACUUUGAAAAAUAUUUUGAUUUGUCUUUAAAGUGUUAUUGAAAAAAUCUUGUUAAAUAUUUAGCCUUUAUCAAAUAGAGUUUUUAAGAGAGAUUCAUUGCUUAAAUAGCUUGUUUUAAGGAAAAGAUUCUAUCCCUAGAAGAAUUAUAUUCCUUUCUUUAUCUAAAAUGAUACCUUUUAUUUUUCAAGUUUUACAGCAGCACUCAUAUCUUUGGAAAAUGCAAUAUGUUAUUAUUUUAUUAAUUGAUUUUUAUUUAUGAGACAUUAUAUUUAUGAUAAAAUAUCUUAAAUAUUUUAUUUUAUUUAUUAACUUUUUAUUGGGAAAGAAAUAAAUGAAGACCUAUUUAUUUUUAUUAUCAUUUAUUUCAAAUUUAUUUUACCUUUUUAUGUAAAAAUAAAAUAAAAAUGAUAUACAAGAAGUUUUUAUUGUUAAAAUUUUUUGGUUCCACAGGGUUGACUGGAAUUUCUGAAAUUUCUUUUUAUACCAUGGCGUGGAGGCUAGGAAUUAGAGGGGAGAAGAUAGAAGAAAAGAGAAGAUGAAGAUGAGUUAUGGAAAAAAGAGAGAAAUUAGGGGAUUUUGUUUUUCAUAAUUUGGUGAUAAAGUUGUAACAUUAAAUUAUAAGGACUUUUUAGUUAUUAAAUCAAUUAUAAUUUCUUUAAAGUUUUUAUUGAUUAAUUUUUUGGGUGUUCAAGUUAGUAUUAAGACACUUGAAAACUAUGGGAAAAAAAAGCAAUAAAAGUAGAAAAAGUAGCAGAAAAUUCCAUUGCACCUUCAAUAUCCCUAAAGCAAUCAGAGUUGUAACAUAAUAAUAAAUGGCUCAACAAAUUUAUAUUGCAGAAAAAAUAGCAUAUAUUGCAUCGUCAAUAUUUACAGGAAAUAAAAAAAAUAAUAAAAAAUUCCAGAUUUUAAAGGGAAAAUUCAAAAAGUAAAAUUCUAGAAAACAACCGCUCGAAUAACAGAUUAUAGAAAUAUAUUACCGGUUAUGAUUUAAAAUAUUUUUUAUAUUUUUAAAAGUUAUUUUUAAUAUUAAUAUAUUAAAAAUAUAUAAAAAUUUAAUUUUAAAUAAAAAAAUUCAAAAAUUUUAAAAAUAUAGUUUCAAUCCUAAUUUCAUACACAACCGAAGUCUAUGUACUGACACUACUUUCUUAGAUUCAUUGUGCGUGUCAACAGAAUAUAGGCACUACUUUCUUAGAUUUAUUGUGCGUGUCAACAGAAUAUAGUGAGGGAGGGACCCACUGCUUUCAAGUUGUCUACAGGCUUAGAUGGAUUUGGACACUCAAGAUAAGAAGGUAGGGUCAUUUUCUUCGCCUUUGCAUGACUUUAAUUUGACAGCAGUGGUUCGUGGAAGAUGCUGCCAGCUGCCAGCUGCCAUCAAUCAAUUAAUACAGUGAGGGAGGGACCCUCUGAUUUCAAGUUGAAUGCAUCUCCCCAUUCCAAAAUACACUUCAUUUCAAACCAUCUAGGUGAUAUAGUGAUAAGAGCUUGGAACUAGGAGGUUUAUUUUUUUUUAGGUUUCAGGUUCAAACCCUGUAGACGCUCAUAUGAUGGUCACUGGAAGCUUACAAGGUCGUUAACUUCAGAGCCCAUGAGAUUAGUCAAGGUACACGCAAGCUGGCCCGAACACCCACGAUAAUAAUAAAAAAAAAUACACUUCAUUUCAUCCCUACUUCACAACUUUCAGACCAUUCUUAUCUCUCUUUUCCUCAAUCUUUCUUCUUUGAUUUCCCAAAGAACACAAGAGAAUAUGGCAGCAGAGCUUUUUCUUACGUUUGCCAUGGAGGAGACUUUGACAAGGGUCAUUUCCAUAGCUGCUGAAGGGAUCGGACUUGCCUGGGGAUUGGAGGGACAGCUGCUAAAGCUCGAAGAGUCAUUGACCAUGAUCCAAGCUGUGCUCCAAGAUGCAGCCAGAAGGCCAGUAACAGACAAGUCUGCGAAGCUUUGGCUGGAGAAGCUACAAGAUGUAGCUUACAAUGCUGAAGAUGUUCUAGACGAGUUUGCUUAUGAGAUUCUCCGAAAAGACCAAAAGAAGGGAAAGGUACGUGACUUUUUUUCAUCCCACAACCCUGCCGCAUUCCGUCUGAAUAUGGGUCGGAAAGUUCAGAAGAUCAAUGAAGCCCUGGAUGAGAUUCAGAAACUUGCAACUCGCUUUGGGCUGGGAAUUGCAUCUCAACAUGUAGAGAGUGCUCCUGAAGUUAUCCGGGAUAUAGACCGAGAGACAGAUUCCUUGCUUGAAAGCUCAGAAGUUGUAGUAGGAAGGGAGGAUGAUGUCUCUAAAGUUAUGAAAUUGCUGAUUGGCUCGAUCGGUCAACAAGUUCUGUCUGUUGUCCCUAUUGUGGGGAUGGCAGGUCUUGGAAAGACUACUAUAGCAAAAAAAGUUUGUGAAGUGGUGACGGAGAAAAAGCUUUUUGAUGUAAUAAUAUGGGUUUGUGUUUCUAAUGAUUUUAGUAAACGGAGGAUUUUAGGAGAGAUGUUGCAAGAUGUUGAUGGAACUACGUUGAGCAAUCUAAAUGCAGUUAUGAAAACACUUAAGGAAAAGCUGGAAAAGAAGACAUUUUUUCUUGUACUUGAUGAUGUGUGGGAAGGCCAUGAUAAGUGGAAUGAUUUGAAGGAGCAACUAUUAAAAAUCAACAAUAAGAAUGGGAAUGCUGUUGUUGUAACAACGCGUAUUAAGGAAGUAGCGGACACGAUGAAGACUUCUCCAGGGAGUCAGCACGAGCCAGGGCAACUUUCAGAUGAUCAAUGUUGGUCCAUUAUAAAGCAAAAGGUGAGCAGGGGUGGACGAGAAACAAUAGCUUCAGACUUGGAAUCUAUUGGAAAAGAUAUUGCAAAGAAAUGUGGAGGGAUUCCAUUACUUGCUAAAGUUUUGGGAGGAACUCUUCACGGAAAGCAGGCACAGGAGUGGAAGUCAAUUCUAAACAGUAGAAUUUGGGAUUCUCGGGAUGGAGAUAAAGCUUUGCGCAUAUUGAGACUCAGUUUUGAUUACUUGUCAUCGCCAACAUUGAAAAAAUGUUUUGCAUACUGUUCCAUUUUCCCUAAAGAUUUUGAAAUUGAAAGGGAAGAGCUGGUUCAACUUUGGAUGGCUGAAGGUUUUCUCAGGCCAUCAAAUGGGAGGAUGGAAGACGAAGGCAACAAGUGUUUCAAUGACUUGCUUGCAAAUUCCUUUUUCCAAGAUGUUGAAAGGAAUGAGUGUGAGAUCGUAACAAGCUGCAAGAUGCAUGAUCUUGUGCAUGAUCUUGCAUUGCAGGUCUCAAAAUCAGAAGCGUUAAAUCUGGAGGAGGAUUCGGCUGUUGAUGGUGCAUCUCAUAUUCGUCAUCUAAAUCUCAUGUCUCGUGGGGAUGAUGAGGCAGCGUUAACAGCGGUUGAUGCUAGAAAAUUGCGUACUGUUUUCUCAAUGCUUGAUGUAUUCAAUGGGUCUUGGAAAUUCAAAAGGUUGAGAACUCUCAAAUUGCAACGGUCUAACAUCACAGAGUUACCAGAUUCAAUUUGCAAGCUGAGACAUUUGAGAUAUAUUGAUGUUUCGUACACUGCUAUCAGAGAAUUGCCAGAAUCAAUCACCAAGCUCUACCAUUUGGAAACAUUAAGAUUCACUGAUUGCAAGUCACUAGAAAAGCUUCCCAAGAAAAUGAGGAAUUUAGUCAGCUUGAGACAUCUUCAUUUUAGUGAUCCAAAGCUAGUGCCAGCUGAGGUGAGACUCUUAACACGCCUUCAAACUCUGCCUUUAUUUGUUGUGGGUCCAGAUCAUAUGGUUGAAGAGCUGGGAUGUUUGAAAGAACUAAGAGGAGCAUUGAAGAUAUGCAAGCUUGAGCAAGUUAGAGACAGAGAAGAAGCUGAGAAGGCAGAACUGAGUGGAAAAAGAAUGAACAAAUUGGUGUUUGAAUGGAGUGAUGAAAGUAAUAGCAGUGUUAACAACGAGGAUGCGCUGGAAGGCCUGCAACCUCACCCAGACAUAAAAAGCUUGGAAAUUAAGGGUUACGGUGGUGAAUAUUUCACAUCAUGGAUAUUGCAACUCAAUAAUCUGAUGGAGCUGAGUUUGAAAGACUGCAGCAAGUGCAGACAACUCCCAACACUUGGAUGUCUUCCUCGCCUUAAGAUUCUAGAGAUACGUGGAAUGCCUAAUGUGAAAUGUAUAGGCAAUGAGUUCUAUAGUAGCAGUGGCGGUGCAGCAGUACUGUUUCCAGCACUAAAAGAACUCACUUUGUUCAAAAUGGAUGGUCUUGAAGAAUGGAUGGUACCAGGUGGAGAAGGUGAUCAAGUAUUUCCUUUUCUUGAAGUAUUGCGGAUUCAGCGGUGUGGAAAGUUGAAAAGCAUUCCGAUAUGUGGUCUUUCAUCUCUUGUAAAAUUUGUAAUUGACGGAUGUGAUGAACUGAGAUAUUUGUCUGGUGAGUUUCAUGGCUUCACGUCUAUUCGAGUUUUAAGUAUAUGGGGGUGUCCAAAGCUGGCAUCCAUUCCAAGCGUACAACGCUGCACAGUUCUGGUGGAAUUGGAUAUAUAUGGGUGCUAUGAGUUGAUCUCAAUUCCUGGUGAUGUCCGAGAAUUGAAAUAUUCUUUGAAGAAAUUGAUGGUUGAUGGGUGUAAAUUGGGAGCUCUUCCAAGCGGACUACAAUGUUGCGCAUCUCUAGAGGUAUUAUCAAUAAUUAAGUGGAGUGAGCUUAUCCAUAUCAGUGAUUUACAAGAAUUGUCUUCGCUUCAAAGAUUAGAGAUUGGAGGUUGUGAUAAGCUCAUCAGUAUUGAUUGGCAUGGUUUACGACAAUUGCGUUCUCUUGUUGAAUUACAAAUCACCACGUGUCCCAGUUUGAGUGAUAUCCCAGAGGAUGAUUGGUUGGGCGGCUUCACCCAACUGAAGGAAUUGAGAAUAGGUGGUUUCUCAGAGGAGAUGGAGGCUUUUCCUGCAGGAGUUUUAAACUCAAUCCAACACCUCAACUUGAGUGGGUCCCUUACAAGACUAUGGAUAUAUGGAUGGGAUAAAUUGAAGAGUGUACCACACCAACUUCAACACCUCACUGCCCUCGAGGAAUUGGAUAUACGUAAUUUCAAUGGAGAGGAGUUUGAGGAAGCAUUGCCAGAAUGGUUGGGCAACCUUUCUUCUCUUCAAUCUCUUUAUAUUUAUGGUUGCAAGAAUCUCAAGUAUAUGCCAAGUUCAACAGCCAUUCAACGCCUCUCCAAAUUAAAGUAUUUGUCGAUUUUGAGGGGGGAAUGUCCACAUCUUAAAGAAAAUUGUAGAAAGGAGAAUGGCUCUGAGUGGCCCAAGAUUUCUCAUAUCCCAGCAAUCAUGAUAGAGGGCAGAUUUGUACAGGUAAGUUGGGGUUUAAAUGAUUCCGUUACUUUGUAGUAUGCAGAGAGGAGAGAGAACCAAUUAAACUUUCUCUAAUAAUUAGACUUCAUUCUUUUAAAAGUGGUUUAUUUAUCAUAUCCCAACAUUCUUUAGACAUAUUAUCAAAAUUAACCAAAUCAAUCAUAAUAUCUUAUUAUCUUUUUACUAUUAUGUUAACAAAAUGUAUACUUGUGAUCAAUGAUAAUAUCAAUAACCAUCACUCAUUAUUGCAAUAUUAAUAAUGGCAUGUGAUAGUCUACGAAUGUUUAGACUAUUUUGAUGGACACUAUCACAUGCCAUUAUUAAUUAGCUUAAUUUUACUAUGUAUCAAAAUAUAUACUUAUCAAUGAUAAAAUCAAUAGCCAUCCAGCAUUCUUUCAAUCAUUACUCUAAUAUUAAAAAUAUUUGCUUUAUUUAUUUUAAUAUCAUCAACUUUAUUUACAAUUAUGAUACUUUAAACAAACCACUGAAUCUAAAGUUUAACCAAUUAGUAAAACUCACAUUUAAAUAAGAUUAUUAGUGAGAUUACAAACCAAUCACUUUUUAGUAGCAAAUACAAUUAAAGCUAAAAACUCUUUAGUUGACCCCAGGAUUUAAAAAAAGAAAAAAAAGGCAAACUUGGCUCCAGUUUAUAUAUCAUGCAUGCCUUCCUUCCUUCCUGCAUUACUUGAAUAUGAAUAGCACUCAUGUUGUGAAUAUUGUAGAAACCAUGUUUUUAAUAUCAUCCUGCAUUUUGCAGUUUAUCGUCGUUUUUCUUUUCUACACUAACAAGAAGCCGGCUAUUUAAACUAUUGUAUAUGCAGUGGAACCCCCAAUACUGAAGGAAGUCAUGGAAUGGUUAUUCAAAGCUUUUGCAGAAUAGUGUUUGCCAGUCUGGAUGGUGGAUAAACGUGUGAAUUCACCAAGAUGGAAGAAUUUUUAUCUGAGCACAUAUGGAUGCGAAUUUUUAUCUGUAUGCAGUGCAACUUCUAUUAUUUUAUAUUAGAUCUUGUUUCUUAACAUUUAAGAAUUCUAUUUUUAUGAGUUUAUUCAUGCUGAUAAAUGUUUUUCAAAGCUGAAUUUUCCAAAUGUAGACUGGCCAUUGUUCUUGAUGGAUAGAUGGUUAUGCUGAUGUACUGCAAAUUCCUGAAGAUUUAUUCUACCUUCUGCCUUGUAAUUCUUCCUUCUAUCUCUGUCUGUGUUUUUCUCUUUUAAGAAUUUAAACAGCUGAAAUAAGUCAUAAAGGCCAUGAUAAGAAAAAUGGUUCACUUCACAUGAAUAAGUCUAUUCAAACAUUGAUAAGUGACAGAAAUCUCAAAGUGAAAGCACAUGAAUCUAUAGAAAGGCUUUGGAAACCUCUGGCUUCUGUUGUCCACCUUGUAUUGAUCACUCCAAAGAGACAGAGGUUGUUGCUUAGGAACAGGGAUGGCUAACUGAUACGAUCACAAUUUCAAGAACUAAGGCUUUAUAACUACACUACCUGAAAAAGAACCGCAAGUAUUACAAGGAUUAAGAAUGUGAUGUUGUGGUAAAAUACCAAAGACUUGUUCAAAGUGGAUGCAAAGCUCACCAUAAUGACACCCGAGAUUAAGAAUGUCAGACGAUACAAGAAAUUAAAUUGCAGAACAAUAGCAAAACAAAUUACUAACAUAAAAAUGAAGCACCAAAAACCUGACUUGCUACUAACAUAAAAAUGAAGCACCAAAAACACCAAAGAAUGUUGUUACUCCUGAAAACAUUCUUUAGACAUAUUAUCAAAAUUAACCAAAUCAAUCAUAAUAUCUUAUUAUCUUUUUACUAUUAUGUUAACAAAAUGUAUACUUGUGAUCAAUGAUAAUAUCAAUAACCAUCACUCAUUAUUGCAAUAUUAAUAUCACAAAAUAAUUAAAAUUAAAAUUAUUUCUGUGCAUUACAAAUAACUUAGAGAUGAUUAUUUCUGUGGACACUAUCGCAUGCCAUUAUUAAUUAGCUUAAUGUUACUAUGUAUCAGAAUAUAUACUUAUCAAUGAUAAAAUCAAUAGCCAUCCAGCAUUCUUUCAAUCAUUACUCUAAUAUCAUUCUUACAACAUAAUUUAAACUUAAGAUUGUUUCCAUAUAUUACAAAUAUUAUCUAUACACUAUUAUUUAUUUUACUAUUAUAAACUUUAUAUACAAUUAUGAUUCUCAAAACUCACAUUUAAGUAGAGGCAUUCAUCAUAUACAUAUGAAUUUAAUGAUGAUUUAAAAAUUAUAACCAUGAAAUCAAUAAUUUAAGUUGUUAUUAGACUCUUACUUUUUUAAAAAAAAUUGCCUAAUCAUUUAUUGGGAUUCUUAGUGAGAUUACAAAUACGAUUAAAGCUAAAACACUCUUCAUUUCAUUUAAAACAUUUUAUAAAAGAGAUGAUUAUUGUAAUAAAAUAAAUAAUUAUGAUGUAUCCUUUUGUUAACAAAAUAUAUAUCGAAUUAACAGAAUCCAACGUAUUAGUUUUAAUCAUUAUCUAUAUAGUCAGUGGCGGGGGGUGGUAGGGGCCCGGUCCCUGCAAGAAAAUGCCCCUUCCUUAUAAAUAUUUAAUAAAAGUAAUGAAAUGUUUUCUUCGCCCCUCUAAUUUAUAAUUUGACCCCCCCCCUAAUUUUUUUUUCUUGUUCCACCCCUGUAUAUAGUAUUAUUUUUCUUAAAAUGUUUUUUUAUACAAAAUAAUUUAAAUUAGAUUUAUUAAGAUUGUUUCCACAUAUUACAAAUAAUUGCAUUAUCUAUAUAGUAUUAUUCUUAAAAUCAUCAGCUUUAUAUGAUACUUGAAAACAAACCACUAAAUCAAUCUUGGUAAAACUCACAGUCAUUCAUAUAUAUAAAUAUGAAUUUAAUGAUAAUUCAUUCAAAUUUAUAAUUAAUUUAUAAUCUUGAAAUCAAUAAUUUAAAUUGGUAUUAGACAUUAUUAACUACCAAAAUUAUAUCUUGGUGACUAGAUUACUUUUUUUAUGAAUAAAAUAAUUUAAUCAAAUAUUUUUAUGAUGAUUAAAUUUUUUUAAUUUUUUAAGGCUGCUAAACUCUUGAAAAUACGAUAAUAAUUGGUUCCACAAAUUUUUAGCUUUUCACAUGCUUAUUGAGAAUGCGGAUUUGCAAUUUGGAUUUUGUAAUCUUCAUUACUGAACACAAGCUUUCGACACUAUCUAAGAGUAAAGCUACCUAGACCACUAAAAUUGCUUACUAAAAUCUCUUUAAUUCAUUCUUUGGUUUCAAAGGAGAGUAAAUGCAGCAGCAGGAGGGGAUGCCCUGCAAGAAAACAUGUAGAGAGGAGCUUGGAGGAUCCUAGCAUGUUAGUUGUGGCUUAUGAAGAGGAACACAAUCACUCCAAAAUUGCAUUUCAAUCUCCCAGCAUGAUGCUUCAUAUUUAACAACCAAAUCAAACCAAAGGACAACAGUAUUUUCCAAGCUGGAACUGGUCGUGCACCUGCAAAGUAAGGUUCUUCUUCUGCUCCAUGUUCCCUUAAAAAAUGAUCUCCUGAUUUUUAACUUCCAGGUUAUAUGCUUCUUAAUCAAUGUUUAUUUGUUUAUAUGCUCUCUCAAGAUUUUCUAAUAGGCGCGGUGCGUGGGAAAGAACCAACGCAGUUGUUCAGCUGGAACUUCUGCAAACGAGAAGGGCGAGAAAAUCCAUUGAAAAACAACACCAAUGUAGAAAUUAAAGUUCAAAGAUGAUCCAAAAAGCGCAGAUAAAAAAAAAACAGCAACCAAAUUUAAAAAUGGAUCAACACAAGCUCACGAAAACCACAGACGAAGCUAUUCGAAUGAAAAGCUCCAAGAGAAGCAACCAAGAACCCACCACUCUAAACUACAGAAACAGGGGAAAGGCAGAGAAAGAUAAGAAAAAGAAGCGAAGGCAAUACAAAAACAAAUGAAAGGGCUGGAAAGAAGUAAGGGGACAACUAGAUCCAAAAUGGAUGAAGCUGGCGGCUUAUCACCAAAAUAGUAAGACCUUAAUAUAUGGAUGGAUGUGAAUUAUUUCUUGUAUGCGAUGUUACUUCUAUUACUUUAUUUUAGACUUCUUCCUCAACAUUUAGGAAUUCAAUUUUCAUGAAGCUAUGUAUAUUGACAACUGAGGUGAAAUUCAAUAUUCCACCUAAUGCUCAGAAAGAUGGGUUGAAACUGUCAUGAAAAUCACCAAAAAUCUUCAAAACGACUUCUUUCUAAACCAUUUCCCUCUUCCAUCUGCCUUCAAACCAGUAGUUCAUGACCAGGUCUGUGUACCUGUAUUUAGAUAGUACACACUCCACACCCUUGAUGCAUUUGCACAAACUAAUUGCUUCAUAUAUUUUAGGCAAUUAUAAUAAUAUUUACAAAUAUUUCUGCCUCCGGUGUUCUCUGCACUUGAUGAGAGAACAUAAAUGCCAAUUAUGGCACUCGUAAAACAAGAAAUAAAACACCCAAAAACAUGCCAGUCCCCACGAUUUUGAUUUGAGCUACAACAUGGGCAGGCGUUCACAAGUGCAGCAAUUGGUUUCCUCCUGGCUUCCUAACUGUUCAAAAUUCAACGUGAAUGAAUUGGGGGGCUUGUCCUAGAACAUAAAUAGAUGGCAAUGAGAGGCAACGUGAAAGAAUUUGGGGGGGGGGGGGGGUGUUUGUCCUAGAACAUAAAUAGAUAUUUGAGAUCUUUCACUGUAAGACGAGUAGCUGAACCCCCACUUUGACUCUUUUCCUGCAAAUUGUGGUCAGCAGCAAAGAAAAUUAUCUUUGAAAACCAUGGUCAAAUUUCGAAUAUAAGAACACAGAGAAAUGCACAAACGAGCAAAAGUAUUAGAUAAUAAUAGAUCACACUUCAAGAUUACAAGUAAUAUUCUCAUUGUCAUUUACAAAGGCUUCAGCCUCUGGCACCUGUGUGACUGUCAUGCCCAUCUACAACCCUGGAAGUGCAAUUUGUUGCCUUCCAGAUAAGUUUAAUGAGAUUAACGUGGCUAUCAGUAAGAGUAGCAUUGAAGAUGAAUAUGAAUGUAAAGCUCUUCAAAUUUAGCCCUAAAGCCACUCUGUAUGACCUAAUCACUAAUACCUUUUUGUUCAAUACUCGCCUUCCACAUUGAUGUGAUGUACUCAUAUUUUAUUGCAAGUAUCAUUAAUCCUCGAUGAUGUUUAUCUGUAAUCACUUCCCUCGAUAUAAAUAAAGCAAAAGGCAAUUCUCUUGGAUUUAUACUGUGCAAGGCAUGACAACCUCAACAUAGAUAAAUUAACAGAAUCCCUCCUAACUCCCAGACAGAUUUUCUGGCUUUUCUGGAUUGUUGUUGGUUUAUGAUAUUUAUAAGAGAUAACAAAAUGGGAAACUAAAGAUUCAUAAUUAGCUGGAAAAAAACUUCUCUCUGUAACCCUAGCAACAUAUGAUCCAGACUCUCCAGCAACCAAAAGGCAAGAAGAAGACUAAACAGUUAUCAAAAACAUAAGACGGAAUCAAUGCUUGUAGAAAGAAAUAAUACCGGAAGAGCUAAUAUUCUAUCUUCUAUCUUCUAUGGUAAGUCAUGUUACUGUAACAGGACGAGUCUGUGCAAUUCUAUGAGCUCGAUCAAUAGCCUGAUCCUUAGUGGUUGGAUUCCACCAAAGAUCCAGAAGGAUUUCAUGACAUGCAGCAAUCAUGUUCAAACCAAGGUUUCCUGCCUUUAAGGACGUUAGCAUCACAGUGACCUGCAAUAAAUUUCAAUCAUUCAGAUGCUGAAUGCAAUGCAAGAAUUAAAGCAUCGGCACUAAUUAUCAUGCACAACGUCAUCAAUUUGACAGAGGAGAUCAGUAUUGCAUGUUUUGGCUAGUUAUUAAACAGUGUAUAUGAUACAGUACUCUUUCCAUUCAUCAGGUAGAGGUCUUGAUUAAUAACAUGUUUUUCAGUGAGAACGAAUGAAAAGACACCUUCAGGAAUUCAGAUUGUUUUGAGAAUUCAUGAGGUAGGGGCCAAACCUUGGGAUCAGUGUUCAAAUCUUUAACAGCCCUGUCUCUUGAACUCAAAGUCAGUGUCCCGUCAAGCCUUCUAUACUGGAUGCAAUACUGAUUCAGUGAAAUUUCAACCAAAUCCAACAUGCUAGUCCACUGGGAGAAAACAAUUGCUUUUAUUGGUCCUUCAGUUGACGAGUUUGAAUAUGCCAUCGACGUAGCACACUAGCACUGGAUCCUGUAGAACCAUUAAAUCCUGAAAUUGGACUCUCAACCUUACAAUGGGAUUGAACCUCAAGAACAGCUUUGAUUUUUGAGGAACUAUACUCAUGCUGAAGGACUACUGAUGUAUCAUCAUAUGUGGAAUUUGAGGAGCUAGCGAGGUUGUCAGAGAUUCUUCUUCUAAAAGUAGCUUCAGAGAAAACAACAUCGGAACCAAGUUGUUCUUUGCAGUCAGAAGCAGGGCAAGCAUUAUCAUCUCCUGUCAAGUAUUCUGACACACACUGAUAGCAGAAAACAUGGCCACGUAUGUUAACAACAGAGUCCUCAAGCGGAUCCUGUAAGAGCAUCAUACAAUAGAAAAAAGAUGGG
rnacentral:lncRNA from 1 species